rnacentral:lncRNA from 1 species
GAGGUGUUGAUGGUAGGAAAGCAUGUAGGCUUGAAUCUCUUAAAAGCUUGGAACACCUUCAAGUAUGUGGUAUAUGUAGACUGGGUGAUGUAUCAGAUGUGGGCGAGGCUAAGCGAUUAGAACUUGACAAAAAGAAAUACCUCUCUUGUUUGAGACUUCGAUUAGAACGAAGACAAUCAACUACUUCUUGAAGCCCUGCGACCACCUCUGGAUUUAAAGGAAUUAGAGAUACAGUUCUACCGAGGCAACACUGUUUUCCCCAGCUGGAUGACGUCAUUAACCAACUUAAAGAGUUUAGAUCUCUCUUUCUGCGAAAAUUGCUAGCAGCUGCCUCCUUUGGGAAAAUUGUCAUCCCUUGAACAGCUCUUCAUAUCGUACAUGUCGAGUGUGAAAAUAGUGGGUGAUGAAUUUUUGGGGGUAGAAAGUGAUCGUCAUGACUCAUUGUCAUCUUCAUCAGUGAUUAUUGCCUUCCCCAAAUUGAAAUCACUUAGUAUUGAGGGAUUGAUGGAAUUGGAGGAGUGGGAUUAUGGGAUUACAAGAACGGGAAACACCGUCAUCAACAUCAUGCCCCGUCUUUCUUCCUUGGUAAUUGAUAGUUGCGACGAAUUAAAGGCACUGCCCGAUCACAUUCAUCAAACGACAACAUUGAAGCGAUUGUGGAUUUUGAAUUGUGGGCCUCUGGGAGAACGUUACCGCAAGGGGGAAGGAGAAGACUGGCCUAAGAUAUCUCACAUUCCCAACACAGAUAUUCGAUAAAAAGGAUUCGCGCAUUCGAGAUUUGGCGUUGACAAGUAAUUUCUUCUCUUACUCUGAUUUGCUUUGUUGUUGUUUUUAAUCUAAUUGAGAAGCAUAAAUAGCAUUUUGAAUCAAGCUGUAUAUCAGAAAUCUGUAAUACAUAUUUUCUAUUAUUCCGAUUUUCAUAUCUUAAGAAUAUACGCUUUUAAUUUGUGAUUUGGGUAACGUUACUGUAAAACAUUAUUAAUGCAAUAACCUUUCGAGGUCGCGACUAUAAAAUGGUGAGAAUGGUGAGAAUGGUGCCCCUUGAAUAAACUUGUCGUGACUGAACUUUGGUUGGCAGUUGGCCGUGAAUGGAGCCCCUUGAAAAUAUUCCCAACCCAUUGCACUGCAAUUACGAUCGUAAGUACGAUUGCACUGCAAUUUCGAAGCUUCUUCUCCUGCAUUUUUGUUAUUUGCUAUGAAGUGAUAUUCGUAAGUAUGAUUGCAUUAAGCUGCUGCUGGGAGAUAUGAGGUUUUGAUGGCUGCCCAUGCUAUUGUUAGAAGCUGCGGUUCUUUUUCAUCAGCCUGAACCUGGACCUGUCGUUUCCACUGUUUUGAAACUCUUAAGAUUAAACUUUAGUAAAGUUGUUUUAGUUAUCGAUGUAAUCAGGCUGAGGAUACUUAGCUGCCUAUUUAGGCAAAUGUCAGAAUUUAGUUUGUUCGCUGGGAACUGGUGUGGUAACAGCGUCCUGGCAAAGGAUGAUGAGAUAGUUUUUUGAUUGAGUAAAUUUUGGAAGCUUGAGUGUAUUGGGAUUUGCAAUUACAAUCAUCCUCUGCCUCAGGUGAUUUCUUCUCCUGCCCUAUCGUUGUUUGUUCUUUAAUUCAAAGUUAUAAAAUAUUUCAAUCAAAUUUUAUGCCAGGAAUAUGCAAAAGUUUCUAAUAUUUUAUUUCCAUCUGUUUGCCUUGAUAACUUUGCGGCAUAUGUGCUAGUUAAAGAACAAAUCGAAACAGAGCUCAGUUAAAAGUUUCUUCUGCCGUCAUAUUUGAAAAAUGAAACCAUUUCCAAGAAGCAAUGGGUGUUAAGGAAGCUCACAUGAGCAGAGUAGUCAGUGGAGCAGAGGAUUGCAACACCUGCAGCUUGCUGUUACAGGUUGAUGACAUGGCUUGCCAGCUGGAGCCUGGUGGUUAUAUAGUCUCUUGCACACGUGAAGAUUAACAGAGUUUGUUAUAGUAUUUCUUGUGCUUGUAAUUCGGUUUUAAUUAGUUAUAACCAGCUGAUUAGCACUUGCAAUUAGUUGAGAAUUAGUUCUAAUUACUACUGAUGUAUAUAAACAGAAGUAUGUACAGAUUCAGUCAAUUAAUGACUUGAGAUAAUAAAAACGAAGAAAGAGUUUUAGAAUUCUCUUAUUUUCCUUUAAGUUUUCUCUGUUUCCAAACAUCAUUGAAUUGUUACUUGGUAUCAGAGCCAACCAAUAAUGGCGUCUGUUAAUCUUGCUUCUUCUUCCUCAAUUCCAACUCUUAAUCAUGCUACAAAUUCAACAACUGUUUCCUUUACCUUUAACACACCAGUCAAGCUUGAUUAGUCCAAUUGUCUCAUAUGGCGAUCUCAAGUCCUAGCCUCAAUUCGUGGAAACAGGCUCGAAAAGUUUAUUGAUGAUGCAGUCACUCCACCUCCAUCUCAUAUAGCUCAGAGAGUUGAUGAUGAACUCAGAUCUGUGGAGAAUCCAGAAUUCGCAACAUGGAGAUCUCAAGAUCAGGUGCUGCUUGGAUGGCUGCUCUCUUCGAUGAGUGAAGGAAUCAUCAGUCUAGUGUUUAACCUGGAAUCAUCACUUGAAGUGUGGAAAGCUAUUAAGGUACAAUUUGGCUCGCAAUCUAAAUCCAGACUUUUACAUCUGAGAUACAUGAUGAAUUCAACAAGGAAAGAUUAUAUGAAAAUCAUAGACUAUUUUAUUAAGAUGAAAAACAUAGCUGAUAAUAUGGCAGCAGCAGGAAGUGCUUUAAGUAGUGAUGAUAUGAUUUUACAUGUAUUAUCUGGCCUAGGACCAGAUUAUAAUUCAGUAGCUACUUACAUUACUGGUCAAGUAGGAGUUGGUAAAAUGAAUGUAAAUGAAGCCUAUGCUAUGCUGUUAACUCAAGAGGCUAGGAUUGAACAACAAUCACAAAUGCUUGCUGGUGUGGAUAUGAAAAACAAUUUUGAGGCAAAUUAUGCUCAAAACAGAGGAGUAAAGAAGGGAAACAUAUCAGGUGGAAGAGGUUUUGGUGGUUAUGGCUAUAACUCUGGGUUUGGAAAAGGUGGUUAUUACAAAGGAAACUUUGGCACUGAAUCUGCUGGUGGUGGUACUGGUUUUAAUAGUCAGUUCAAAGGUUAUCAAUCUGGUAAUCAAAGAGGAGGAGGAGGAGGAAACUGGAACAAUAACACUAGAAUUAACAAUUUUAACAAUGGGAAACCACCUAUGAACUCUAAACCUCAGUGGAAUACUUCUAAACCUACCUGCCAAAUCUUCCUCAAGCCUGGACAUACUGCAAACAUUUGUUGGAAGCUGGAAGAAUUCAUUGCUUCAGGCUCUUACAGAUCACCUCCAAAUAGAGGACCAAAGGCUGCCUAUUUAGCCAACAUGGAUGCUCCAGCUGAUACAAAUUGGUAUCUUGACAGUGGUGCUACACACCACCUCACUAAUGAUAUGAGCAAUAUGAAUAUGGCUGAACCUUUUACAGGUAUUUCUAAACUUGUCAUUGGUAAUGGUGUUGGUUUAUUCAUAACACAUACAGGUUCUGCUGUUUUGAGAAUGAAAAGCUCUAUAAAUCAUGUUGAUCUUAAGCUAAACAAUAUUCUUCUUGUGCCUAAAAUAACCAAAAACCUGAUAAGUAUAUCAAAACUAACCAGAGAUAGUGAUGUUGUGGUAGAAUUUACUAAUGAUUUCUGUUUUGUUAAGGACAAGGUGAGGAAUUUGAUCAUGCUGCAGGGCAAAGCUGAAAAAGGAUUAUACAGAUUGCUAUUAGUCUCCUCAAAUAAAACCUCUCCUUAUCUGUCAAACCAAGGUCUUUUUGCUCAUGUUCAGUCAGCUGUCUCAACUCAACCUAUUUCCAAGUUUUCUGUUGUUGAUUCUAAAUGUCAGAAUAAAAUUGCUUCUCAGUUACAAACUGAAGCACAAUGUAGUCAAAACUCAGAUUGUAUGUUGAGUACUAUGGUUUUACACCAAAGAUUAGGUCAUCCCAAUGCUAGAGUGUUAAAUCAUGUUAUCAAUUCUUGUCCAUCUUUUAAAACCAUCGAUGGUAAUAAAGGUUUUGAUUCUUGUGAUGCUUGUAAGUUGGGAAAAAUGCACAAACUUCAUUUUCCAGUAACUGAAACUAAAACCAAAAAUGCACUUGAAAUCUUACAUACAGAUCUAUGGGGGCCUGCUCCUACACUUUCUAUACAAGGAUAUAAAUAUUAUAUCAACUUUGUAGAUGAUUACACAAGAUUCACCUGGAAUUUUCCUUUAAAAACCAAAGCUGAAGCAUUUCCAGUGUUCAAAGUUUUCAAAGCUCAAGUAGAGAAACAAUUAGAUAAACCUAUCAAGUGUCUUCAAUCUGAUUGGGGUGGUGAGUAUAGAUCAUUUGUUCAUUUUCUUCAAACAGAGGGGAUUCAGUUUAGACACUCCUGUCCCUAUACCCACAAUCAAAAUGGACUUGUGGAAAGAAAACAUAGACACAUCACUGAGUUGGGUUUAACCUUGCUUGCACAAGCCAAGUUACCUAUAAAAUUUUGGUGGGAUUCUUUUCAUACAGCUACCCAUAUUAUAAACAAACUUCCAACUCCUGUUCUUUCCUUGAAAACCCCUUAUGAAUAUCUAUUCCAUCAAAAACCAGACUAUCCAUUUCUCAAAACUUUUGGUUGUGCUUGUUUUCCUUUCUUAAGAGAUUACAAUCAUCACAAGUUUCACUUCCAUACUUCUAAAUGUGUCUUCUUAGGAUACAUCCCUUUACACAAAGGCUACAAGUGUCUUCAUCCAUCAGGAAGAAUUUACAUAGCUAGUCAUGUUCUUUUUUAUGAAACUUCCUUUCCAUAUUCUACUGAUUCUACCUUCUUACAGUCUAUGCCAUCUAAAUCUUCUGACUUCUUUUAUAAUUCCUUACAAGUAUAUCACAUCUCAGUUCCUAAUAGCAAUCAGAAUCCUUUAGCAGCUGCUCCUGCAGAUACAGAUUCUCAUGCCUCCAGUUCUACUCACAACAUCAUCUCCCUUCCUAUUCCUACAUCACAAGUAAAUUCCACCUCACUGAUUUCACCAAAUAAUACUAUAUCUUCACCCAUUGUCCACACAACAUCACCAGCUGCUACCAUAAACACUAUACCAAACACUACAACUUUACCUGCAAUACUACAAAAUUCACCUUCCAGAUCACUUCCCUCAGCUGCAACCAUAAACACUCAUUUUAUGAUUACCAGAGCUAAAGCUGGCAUAUUCAAACCAAAGGCCUUCUUGACAGAUCAUAACAGCCUAGAACCUUCCAAUGCUGGAGAAGCCUUAUCUGAUACUAAGUGGAAGGCAGCAAUGCAAGAUGAAUAUAAUGCUCUCAUUAGAAACAAAACCUGGAGCUUAGUACCAAUGAAUCCAGAAUACAAGUUAGUAGGCUGCAAGUGGGUCUUUAGAACUAAAUACAAUACUGAUGGUUCAGUCUCUAAGUACAAAGCUCGCUUAGUUGCAAAAGGGUUUCACCAAACUGCUAGGAUAGAUUACUCAUAAACUUUUAGUCCUGUAGUGAAAUCUUCUACUGUCAGAGUUAUUCUUAGCUUGGCAGUCAUGCAAGGCUGGAAUGUUAGACAAAUUGAUGUCAAUAACGCAUUUCUUAAUGGGAAUCUCACUGAGGAUGUAUACAUGCAACAGCCAGAGGGUUUUGUUUCAGAGGGAGGAUACAUCUGUAAACUAAACAAAGCUCUUUAUGGCUUAAAACAAGCUCCAAGAGCCUGGUAUGAUAAGCUUAAGGGAUGUCUUACAAGCUGGAAAUUCACUAAUUCUAAGGCUGAUACUUCUCUGUUUAUCAGGCAUGAUGUCAAAGGCAUAAUUCUUGUCUUAAUAUAUGUGGAUGACAUUCUGAUCACUGGACCAGAUUCAGACUUGCUGGAAUCUUUUAUUGCUAAGCUCAGCAAAGUUUUUGCAUUAAAAGACUUGGGUCUAGUAACAUAUUUCCUUGGUGUAGAAGUCAGCUAUACAGAUCAUGGAAUGCAUCUCUCUCAGACUAAGUACAUCAAGGAUAUGCUGUCCAAAGCCUCAAUGCAAGACUGCAAAGGAACUGACACUCCUUUCAGCACAGGCUACAAGUUGGAAAGGUCAGCAAAAGGCCUAUUGGGUGCUGAAUUUGAGAAUCCAACCCUCUAUAGAAGCAUUGUUGGAGGUUUGCAAUACUUAAUCUUAACCAGACCAGACAUUGCAUAUUCAGUGCAUAAGCUUAGUCAGUACCUCAGUGCUCCUACACUUCAACACUAGUUAGCUUGUAAAAAAGUGCUCAGAUACCUUCAAGCUACUGUCACAUAUGGUCUCUAUAUUCAACAGGAGGGAACUCUGGAAACUAUAGGACUAACAGGAUAUUCAGAUACUGAUUAGGCAUGUGAUAUUGAUGACAGAAAAUCCAUUGGAGCAUAUUGCAUUUUCCUUGGUAAUAAUUUGGUUUCCUAGUCUUCAAAAAAGCAAGCCGUUGUAGCAAAAUCUAGUACUGAGAGUGAAUACAGAGCCUUGUCAGCAGCCAGCUCUAAACUUUCUUGGCUAUAAUCAUUAUUCUCUGAGCUCAACAUCACAAAAUUACCAACUUCUGUUCUAUGGUGUGAUAACCAGAGUGCUGGAGAUCUAGCUAGAAAUCCAGUUUUUCAUUCAAAAUCAAAACACAUAGAGCUAGACAUUCAUUAUAUUAGAGACAAGGUUCUUAACAAUGAAUUGGAAGUGAGGUACAUUCCCACUGAAGAGCAAGUUGCAGAUGUUCUUACUAAGCCCCUGUCAUUUCCUAAGUUUAGUUAUUUUCGUUCCAAACUCAAUGUGUUCAGUAGACCCUUGAGCUUGAGAGGGGAUGUUAAGGAAGCUCACAUGAGCAGAAUAGUCAGUGGAGCAGAGGAUUGCAACACCUGCAGCUUGCUGUUACAGGUUGAUGACAUGGCUUGCCAGCUGGAGCCUGGUGGUUAUAUAGUCUCUUGCGCCCGUGAAGAUUAGCAGAGUUUGUUAUAGUAUUUCUUGUGCUUGUAAUUCAGUUUUAAUUAGUUAUAACCAGCUGAUUAGCACUUGCAAUUAGUUGAGAAUUAGUUCUAAUUACUACUGAUGUAUAUAAACAGAAGUAUGUACAGAUUCAGUCAAUUAAUGACUUGAGAUAAUAAAACGAAGAAAGAGUUUUAGAAUUCUCUUAUUUUCCUUUAAGUUUUCUCUGUUUCCAAACAUCAUUGAAUUGUUACUAUGGGCAGCAAAUUCAUAUAAAGCGUAGACAAUGGUGAUCAAAAAGGUGAUUCACAAUUUCACUUUUUUUAAUGAAAUUAAUUGUUUGGUUGGAGCUGAUAUUGUUAGAAGGCCAUUGAGCUAACCUAUGUCACUACUUGCCUAGAUUACAGGGGGUCAAAACUCAAAAGAGGCAUUGAAUUUUAAAAGGCAUCCAAUAAUUCUUGUGGCCAUAUAUCAAUUCAUGUAAGUUUGAAUGUAAUUAUUGGUGAAGGGGUUUCACUUCCCGUCUCUAAAUAAAAAUACUGAUUCUUUAAGGUACAUGCCACUAGGGAUUGCGAGAUUAACGAGUCUUUGGACAUUGGAAGAGCUUCUUGUGAGUGGAGGAGGAGGUGUUCAUGUGUAGCAAAGCAUGUGGGCAGUGGGCUUGAAUCUCUUAAAAACUUGGAACUCCUCCAAGCGUAAGUAUACGUAUACUGGGAAAUGUGUUAGAUGUGGAUGAGGCUAAGAGAUUAGAGCUUGACAAAAUGAAAUACCUCUGUCAUUGAGACUUAAAUUUGAUGGGGAAGAAGAAAAAGAAUAGGGAAGGAGAAAGAAUGAGAAUAAUCAACUUGUUCUUGAAGCCUUGCAACCACCUCUGAAUUUGAAGGAAUUAGAGAUUUGGUCAUACAGAGGCAACAUUGUUUCCCCCCGGAUGAUGCAAAAGUUGAAGGAAUUUACCAAUCUAAGGAGUUUGACACUCUUUAAAACUGCAAAAAUUGAGAGCAGUUGCCUUCUUUGGGAAAAUUGUGAUCCUUUGAAAAUCUCAGCAUAUUGUACAUGGAGAGUGUGAAAACAGUGGGUAAUGAAUUUAUGGGAAUAGAAAGUGAUCUUCAUGACUCAUCUUCAUCUUCAUCAGUUAUUAUUGCCUUCCCCAAAUUGAAAUCACUUUCAGUUGAGGGAUUGAUGGAAUUGGAGGAGUGGGAUUAUGGGAUUAAAAGAACAGGAAACACCUUCACCAACAUUAUGCCACGUCUUUCUUCCUUGGAAAUUAGUGUGGGGUUAUGGGAUCGCACAACGACGUUGAAGGUAUUGCAGAUUGUGGCAUGUGGUACUCUAAGAAGACGUUACAGACAGGGGAGAGCAGAAGACUGGCCUAAAAUGCUAAUGUGGAGUACAAUCAUAAAAUGCUAAUGUGGCCACCCUGGUUCUUAAUUAAGGUUGUGCAUAUUAUUGUAAAAGAUGAUUAAUUCAAUUUGAGUCAUUCGUUUGCUUUGAUAAUGAUAGUAAUUUUAUAUUUUGACAAUUUGCAAGGUGAGAAUGGUGCUGAUUGGUGAUACAGGAUAUGGUUCAAACACCAUUGAAUAAAGCUACGGACAUGGUGGCUCAACUUAGCUAGAUUGCUGUCAAAAUUGGUAAGUUGGCUUGUCAAUGUAUUGAUGCUUUUGUUUUCUCUCAACCCUAAUUACCUUACCUUCAUUUAGUUUGGCUUUGGAGUUGAGUAAUAACUUUCAAGGUUCUCAAACAGAGCAGGACAACCGAAAAAAAAUAGCUUAAUUUGCUGCAGAUCACGUGUUACCAAUUAUUUAAGGUAAUUCUCGUUUACUUGCUUCUACACUAUAGAGUACGUGUUCUGGCUGGUUUAUGUAAUUCAUCAAAUGUUAUUUCCUUAUUGUUCCAUUGAUAUGUUUGUUAGAAAGUGAAACCAUUUCCAGGCAGCAGUUGGCAGUGAAUUCAUGCAAAUGUUGAUGCCAUUCAUAGAUAUUGAAGACAAUGAUGAGCCAAAGGUGAUAAAUCAUUAAUGCAUAGUUACCAAAACCUCCAUCCUUCUCUCAUUGUAAUUUGAUUUGAAAUGAAUAAUUGCUAGGUAAUUGAAGCCAAUAUUGUUAGAAACGGUGUUGAGCUACCCAAGCUAAGAAGUUAGCUGCCAAAAAAUGCAGGGGAUCAAAAGAAGCAUUGCAGUGCUACAAUGAAGCUACUGGGAAAUUUAAAUCCCAUAUUAGACUUUCCUCACAUCAGAAGCUGUGGAUCUUCGGACAUCAGGUUUUUUCACAGUUCUGAAACUCUCAGGAUUAAACUCUAUUAAAGUUGUUGUAGUUGUCUACGUUCUCAGGUCAAGGAUUCUAAGCUGCCUAUUAAGGCAAAAUGUCAGAAUUCCCCUAUUAUUUUUUUUUCAUGUAAAAUUAUGUUGUUGUCUUCGCCCAUGAAUCUUAGCUAAAUUCUGAACCAAUUGUUUGCUAUUAUAAAUUUCAUUGUUAAAUAUUAAUUGUGAUGUUGGUGUUGAGUUUCUUUUAAAGUCACAGAAGCCUGACGAUUGAGUUCCGUGAUUCUGAGAAGCAGUAAUAUUUUGAACAAGUGAAGGUUCUUCGUUUUUAAUUAUGUUCUGCACCUUUACAGUAUGAGUAAAUGUCUAAGAGGCGAGAUUUUAAUUUCUGUAAAUGCUAAAUUUCGCAAAACAAUAAAAAAAUAAAUGCAUGACAGUGACUUCAAGAAAUUAGAUUAUUGAAUUUGGCCAUUUUAAAAUUGAACCAGAGCUCAGAAAUGUAGAAUAUAAAUAUUGGAGAUUUGAACUUCAAUCAUUAGAUUUGAAGCUAAAGAGGUAAGCCAUUAAUUACAUCAAAUGAUUUGGAAAAUGGAGGAAUUGUAAAAAGGAAACUUUUUCUUUGUCCGAUUCAAGAGGAACAAGAGUAGCCUAAGAUAUUAAAGACAAUGUUGAGGCAAAGGAAACAUAAAUCCCAACCAUUGCAUGUGAACAUGAUCACAAUAAAUCCCAACCAUCCAAACCAUUUUUUUGAGAAUUUUCAAUUGAAAGUGAAACCUUUUGACAUUUACCUAAUAAAGUAAGUUAAACGAGAGAAAUAAAGGGGGGAAAAAAAAGUUGACUCAAGUCAAUACAGAAUUAUUAGUUCAACCUAGAGUAACUAAAACAGAGCCACUUGAGUUUCAAAAAUAUCUGCAUUCAUCACCUUCUCCAACAGCUUAUGAGCUACACACGAAUCAUUUCCUUUUAGCAUUUUUGCAGCAGCAAUUUCUCCCCUCGUUUGUCAUCAAUUUCUCCCUUCUCUUGGGGAAAAAAGGGCAGUUGUAAAUUACAUUAUUUGUAACUUUGGCGGACUCUUUAUAUAACACAAAUUCUAUCAUUUAAAGAAAUUAUAAUGAUGCAAUCGUUUCCCCUCUCUUGGAGCAGCUGAUUAUCUUUGCUGCUGAAGAGAUGAGACAACAGGGGAAGCUGGUGAGUGUUGGAUGAGCGGAUCACAGCAUGCGCCAAAUUGCAAAUUGAGAGCGGCAUUGAUGACAAUGCUCUUGGUGCUCCUUAUCUGAAGAAGAAGGUAUAUUCCUGCUUUCCUGCUUCUUGCUUUGGUUUCAAGCAAGUCUUUCACUGUCAUAACAUUUAUUGUAAUUUCAUUUGGAGAUAUGUAAUAUCUGUUGUACAGAUAUAUUUCAUACACCAGCUGUUAAUAAUUCUGCCUGCAGAGAACUUACAAAGGAGCUGUGUGAUGUAAUAGAAGACUAUGUAGUCUGGUCAAUUUUUUCAACCUUAGAUAUUAGGAAGUUAUGUAUUUCAUUAUCAGUUAUCAUUAUGAUUUUCAUCUUCAAAAAGAUAAAUGGAUGGCUUUGAAUGGCUUGUGUUUGAGGAUUUUAGUUUGACUUAUCUUGAUUGAAGUACUUUUUGACAAUAGAAUUCCUUCAUGAUUUAAACAUUCUUUUGAAAACCAAAUAAUAAAAAAAUAAAUAAACUAACAAAUAUUAUUUUAUUAGUGCUCUUUUCAUCAAAUAUACAUAAGAGUAUUGUAAUUUAUAGCAACUAAUUUUUCAUUAAAUACACCCAUAACAAACUAUUAAAAAUAAAGUGAUAGAAAAAUGCCUAAUUUUUCAUACUUUCUAAUUUCUUUUGGCCCUAAAAUAUGGGUAUUUAUGCCAUAAUAAGCCCAUGUAGAUCUCAAUGCCGAAAGUUCGAUAAAUGGCUUUCAAGGAUUGAUAAUUAUCUAUUAACAUUCUUAAUUAUAUUCAGUUAAAAUAUUAAUAUUAAAUACAUUCUUAAUAUUAAUAUUCUUGGAUGAAUUUCUUUGUGGAUUUAAGAAUAAAAUAUUAAAUAAUUUUAUUUUUCUUUUAUUCCGUAACUUAGACCAAAAAAGGAAAUGAGUUUCCCAAGGACUUCUCAUGUUUCCCAUCCUCCAUACUGUGCAGAGGAGUUUAGCACCCAUCAACUUUUAUUUUUUAAAACUCAUAAUGGCCAAUGAAUAAAGCUGUGGUGGCUGAACUUAGGUUGAUGUCAAAGAGGUAAUUGAAUUGGCCUGUUAAGAUGGAUGCUUUUUGUUGAUCAGGCGACAGAGCAGGACUAUGAAAAAGACAAGCUUAUUACCGGUAACUCAAGUUUACUUGCUUGUUAUAUAAUAUGCUUUUUGUCACCGAAUUUCAUUUCCAGUACGUCUCCAUCGGUAUCAAGAAGAAACAGAACUCAAAGAAAUAUUUUUUCAAUCUUCAUAUUUGUCUGAAUUCGUCCUUUCAUUAAGAAUAACCAUUUUCAGGCAGCAGUUGGCACUGAAUUCACGCAAAUCUUGAUGCCAUUCGUAGUCGCAGACAUUAAAGACAAUGAUGAGCCAAUGGUGAUUAAUCAUAAAUGCAUAAUUAACAAACUUCCGUCCUUCUCUCAUUGUAAUUUGAUUUGAAAUUAAUUAUUGCUAGGUAACAUUAAUUCCAACCAUUGCAAGAUUUUUCCCUUAACAUAAUUCGGUAACAUUUAAUUGCAUGUGAAAUUGAUCAUAAUACCGUGAAGGACCUACCAAAACUUUUUUUUGAGAAAUUUCGAUUGAAAGUGAAACCUUUUGACGUUUACCUAAUAAAUUUAGUAAAUCUGGAAAAAAAAAAAAGUUGACACAAGCCAAUGCAGAAUAAUUAAUUAAAUCUGGAGUGACCACAUUUUCAAAAAUAUCUGCAUUCAUCACCUUCUCCAACAGCUAGUCAGCCACACACUGUUGGGGAAAAAUUAGGUUUUUAAAUUUUAUAAAACCUUUUGAAGAUCGCUCUCAUAUAAUAUAUAAGAAUUUGUAUUCUAGAAAUCGUACCUUGAAAAUCCGAGUUGGCUUUUUCCGCUGAAGUGAUUUAGGCUCCUAGAUCACGAUCCGCCACCACCACUCCUGUUAGAUCACAAUCCGUCACCACCACGCUUGUUAGAUCACGAACUGUCUCCAAUGAUCUUCCAAGUUAUAACUCAGGUUCGAUCUACACUUGACGUGUGGGUGCCUUUAUCACUACCAAAGCAACUAGCACGAGAAAAUUUUUCUUCAAUAGAGAGAAAAAUCUUAUUCUCCGAUUUGUAUAAAGUGGCUUCUACCUUUUCUUUAGAGAAAAAUAAGCUUUUUAUAUCACCCUUUAGUGAAAACCCUAGGCUCCAAAUAAUGCCCAAAAUAAAACUCACGUUACUUUUCAUUUAAUAGGGGACCCACCAUGUAAAAUAACAUAAGGCCCUUUACACAUAAGCUAAUUAAAUGGAGCCUCUUACUAAAUGAUAUAUUUAGGCUUUUGACCCAAAUAACUAGUUAUCUUGCUUAUUAGUCCAGUAGUGGUGCAGUCAAUUAAAUGAGCUAACCCGGGGAUCAUUUGGGAACAUACAAUAAUGGCUACAAUAAUUAGGCCUGUAAUUAAACUAGCCCAAUUAUUUAAUUUCAAAUCUACUCCACUAAAAGAUUGGAACUGACUUCCAUAAUUGCAUGCUCGAAUAAUAAUUCGUCCCAAGCCACAUUGAUUUCUUUACUGCACAAUCCUUUGUACCACAUCGUUAAUUAAAUUGAUAUCUCAACUGUCCAAUCAAUUUAAUAACAUCUUAUUCCUUGAUCCUUACUGAUUUUUUCUAAUGAUCAUUUUCAACAUACUAAAUAUGUUGACACACUCUGGCCAGAGAAUUCUAUGAUCAAGUGCCGAAAAUCUAUCAAGAGAUGUGUUGUACAAAUUCUAUAUUGUCAAUCCAUAACUCCAAUACUCAUAAUUGCUCCCACCAAGAUACCGGGUAAUCUUGACCACAAGGAUGUGUCGUGCCCAUUGGUAACUCAAAUGGAAUAACAAUUACAAUCAUGAAAUCAUAAUUAACUCAAGAUUAAGAUUACAGUAAAAUCAACGCCUAUGAGAUUUAAUAAGUCUGACAGUUAUUACAAAGUUAAUUAAAUCUCAUAUGUGAUCCUGUUCAAUGUAGUCGUACUACAUCAAUAAAUUCAUACAUGAUUAAGACAAAUCAUUCAAUGAAUUUAUUACAGUCUAUACCUAAAUAAAGUGCCCAACUUUAUUUAUCAACUGCAAACAAAAUUUAUUUAAUCAUAAGAUAACUUGUAUUUAUGUCUUCUGUGAAUCCACAUGGUGAUCACAUAAAUACAUAUAAUAUGAUUAAAUGGACUUUAAUAAAAAUAUUAAUACAAUUAAGAUAUUUGAAUAAAAUACCUCAUUAAUUUUAUUAAUCAGAAAAAAUGUUUAUUACAAUUAAAUAAACACAUAUGCUUUUAAAGAGCAUAUUUUCCCAACAAUCUCCCACUAGCUCUCAAAGCAUAUCUGGCAUAUUGCACAUGCUUUCGGGCUCUAAGUGCAGGUUAUAAAGGUUUCCCACUAAUGGCCAUUGUAAUAAGAUCUGCCAUUUAGCAUCUAAUGCCAUUUAGGGUACUGUCAUAUAACCUUUCUACACUAUUCCCUUAUAAGAUGAUACUUCAUGUCAGUAUGUUUUGUUUCUUGUGGUUCCUUAGAUUGAGCUACUGCACCACCAUUAUCACAAAAUAGUUUAAGGGGUGUAGUUACAACAGGUACCACCUCAAGAUUUUGUAGGAACUUGCGGAGCCUAUAUAGCUUCUUUUGCAGCUUCAGAUGUAGCCACAUAUUCAGCUUCAGUUGUGGAGUCUGUGAUACAAGAUUGUUUCACACUCAUCCAACUAAUAGCUCCACUUCCUAAUGUAAACACAUAGCCGGAAGUUGAUUUUCUAAAAUCCUUAUCUGACAAAAAAUCAGAAUUAGUAUAACUCACUAGAAUAAGUUCAUCACCAGAAUACACAAGCAUAUAAUUUUUAGUUCUUUUCAGAUACUUUAUAAUAUGCUUGACUGCAGUCCAGUAUUGAGGUCCAUGAUUAAAUUGAUAUCUGCUAACCAUCCCUACCGAAAAACAGAUGUCUGGCCUAGUGCAAAGCAUGGCAUACAUGAGACUUCCCACAGCUUCUGCAUAGGGAACUCAUCUCAUUCUCUCUAUCUCUUCAGAUGUUUUAGGUGAUUGAUCCUUAGAGAAUGUAAUUCCAUGUCUGAAUGGUAAUAAACCAGUCUUGGAAUUUUCCAUGCUAAAUCUAGCCAAUAUCUUAUCGAUAUAGACCGCUUGAGACAAGGCUAAAGUUUUAUUCUUCCAGUCUCGUAGUAACUUGAUACCAAGAAUAUAACUUGCCUUUCCCAGGUCUUUCAUAUCAAAUUGUUUUGCUAACCAAAUCUUUAUUGUAGUCAAUACAUAUAAUAUGAUUAAAUGGACUUUAAUAAAAAUAUUAAUGCAAUUAAGAUAUUUGAAUAAAAUACCUCAUUAAUUUUAUUAAUCAGAAAAAAUAUUUAUUACAAUUAAAUAAACACAUAUGCUUUUAAAGAGCAUAUUUUCCCAACACACACGAAUCAUUUCCUUUUAGCAUUUUGCAGCAUCAAUUUCUCUCCUGUUAAUCUGGAGGAAUCCGUCAGACUUUGGCUGGAUCGGCUCAAGUACGCAUCCUACGACAUUGAAGAUGUGUUGGAUGAGUGGAUCACAACAAGAGCCAAAUUGUAAACAAGAGGUUGAUGACAAAUAUAUCUGUUGCUUCUCAUCUGAAGAAGAAUGUAUCUUCCUGCUUCCCUGCUUUUUGCUUUGGUAUCAAAUAAGUCUUUCUCCGUCAUAACAUUUAUUGUAAUUUCAUAUGAGAUAUUACAUAAUAUAUCUGUUGUUCAAAUAUAUUUUAUAUACAAGCUGUUAAUACUUAUGCUUGCAGAAAGCUUACAAAGGAGUUGUGUGAUGUAAUAGAAGACUACAGUCUGGUCAAUUUUCAACUUUAGAUAUUCAGGUCAUCAGUUUCUCUUGAAUUCUUUCUUGAGUUUCUUUGAAUUAUUUGUGAAUAAGAUCUUAGUUGGCUGCUCCUCUUCAGGAUAAGGAAAGUGUGGCAAAACUCGUGAAGCUGAUAGAUAAAAGCAAUGGGUAUAUCUUUGCUGGCAUGGAUGCCAGCGCAGUUGAAUUCAGCAAGGUUGCCAUUCGCGAUGUUGAUUGGGAUUACUUCAGAUAUCCCUCUUUUCACCUAUUUUCAAUCUUGUGAUUCUCAUUUUCAUAAAACAUUUUGGUUAUUUAAUUAUGGCUCAUUGUAUGCAUCUGCAUCCUCUAACUUGUUCGUUUGAGAAACAAAUUUUGCUGUUAGGUAGGCUUCAAGCUUGAUUCAUGCUUUUUCCAUAAAUGUACCAAAAUCAUGGAAACAUCUUUUUCCCAGAUAUUGUAUCCACACUUUUCCCAUCUAAAAGACAAGUUUUGCUUAACAAAGAAAUCUACAGUAGCUGAAGUGCAGGAGAAGUACAUUAAGGAUGAUGACGAUGUUAACUAAAAGGGAACGCGAAGAUAUGUGGUGUGCAAAUCGUAAGCAAGCUGUGAGUUGAAUGAAUAAAGUUUGGUUUCCAGAAACGACCACGUUUUGGAGCUGUAAAACCUUCAUUAGUCACGUGCUGCUGUUCUUAACUGAAAACGAUUUAGUCGAAACGACAUGGGUGGAGCGCGUUUUACAUAUCAGUUUAAGUUAACCACAUGAGGAAGCAUGUGAUGAAGGUUAUUCUGAGUUUGUUAAAGGUUGUUAACCACGUGUCAACGAGCUGUACAAUCUAGAAAUCAAGUUGGCUGCCUAAACAGAGUAUAAAGGCUAGGUUUUGGGGAAAUUCAGGAACGAAUUUCAUGAGUCUUGCUGUGAGGGUUUUGUGAGAGAGAAAGUAUUAACUUGUUCUUUGUAAAGUCUGGUGGAAGGCUCUGUAACAAUCUCCAUUGUUGAUUCAAUAAAGCUCAUCUUGAGGCUUCUCCAAUGGAUGUAAGCUGAGCAUUCCAUGCUCAACUGAACCACGUUAAAUCUUGGUUUCUGUGGGUUUCUUGUUUCUAGUUCUUGUUCUUUUUGUUAUUGAGUGAGUUUGUCUAAUUAGAUCUUGGGGUUGUGCAACUUGCAUUGACUAGAUCACUAGCAUCCUGGGCAGUGAUCAAUUUAGCUUGGUUUAAAGGCUUGCUGUUCACUACAAUUGGUACUAGAGCUUGGUGUUCUGUGAUCAAGUCCAAGUAUGGUGUCUUCUAAGGUCGAUGUAGAAAAAUUUACAGGCAAGAAUGACUUCAAUAUGUGGAAGAUGAAAAUGGAAGCCUUGCUGAUCAUUUAGGGUUUGGGAGAUGCAAUUGAGCCUGAAAUGAAGGAAGGUAAAGGGGUUUCUUCAUCAAAGACUCCAGAGGAAGUUGUUGAAAUCCACAAAAAGGUCAGAAGUACAAUAAUCCUGAGUCUUGGUGAUUCAGUCAUUAAAGAAGUGGCCAAAGAUAAGACAGUUGCUGGAUUAUAGAGCAAACUGGAAAGUCUUUAUAUGACCAAGUCACUUGCAAACAGACUCUACAUCAAGAAAAGGAUGUUUACACUAAAAAUGGUGGAAGGAGCUUCACUGGAAGAACACAUCGAUGAGUUUAACAAGGUAUGUGAUACCCUGGAAACCAUUUAUGCUACUCUGGAUGAUGAGGGGAAGACUCUCUUGCUAAUCAAUUCAUUACCAAAAUCCUAUGAAAAUUUGGUUGAUGCCCUGAUGUAAGGAAGACAAACCCUAACACUUGAUGAAGUUAAAUCUACCCUAAAUACAAGGGAACUUCAAACUAAACAAGGGCAUUUGGAGAAUAAUAGAAGUGAAUGACUGAUAAUAAAGGUGAAAACUGACAAGAAGAAGAAGAAAGGCAAAUCCAAGAACAAAGAAAGAGACCUAAAAUGCUUUCAGUCUCACAAAGAAGGCCAUUUUAAGAGGGAUUGCCUUGAAAAGAGAUUCAAGCCCAAAGAUUCAAGAAACCAAAGUGGAGAUGCAGCUGUAGUGGAAGAGGAAGGAUAUGAGUCUGCUGGUGUAUGUGUGGCAAUAGAAAACAGCCAAAAAGGUAAAUGGGUUCUGGACUCUGGAUGCACUUUUCACAUGUGCCCUUUUAGAAAUUACUUUAAUAAAUAUCAAGAUUUUGAUGGAGGUAGAGUAAUUAUGGGAAAUAACUCUAUUUGUAAAAUCAUUGGAAUUGGGGAUGUAAGCCUUAAGCUACAUGAUGGUUCAAUAAGAGUGCUUAGGCAAGUCAGGCAUGUGCCAGACUUGAAAAGAAAUCUAAUUUCUCUUGAGGUGUUGGACCAAAUAAGGUGUAGAAUUAAGCUUGAAUCUGGAGAAUUGAGUGUUUUGAAUGGUUCAAAUCUAGUCAUGAAAGGGACGAGGAAGAAUGGAGUUUACAUCUUAGAUGGUGAGGUGAUAUCUGGAGUAGCUGAUGUAUCCAUUAAGCAUGCUAAAGAUAAAACCAGGUUAUGGCAUCCAAGGUUAGGGCACAUGAGUGAGAGAGGAUUAAAAGAGUUAGAAAAACAAAGGUUGUUUGGUUCUGACAAGAUUGGUAAUCUAGAGUUUUGUGAAGAUUGUGUUCUAGGGAAGUCUUCAAGAGGCAGCUUCAAUAGAUCUAGUCAAAAAUCAAAUGAGAGGUUGGAUUAUGCACACUCAGACUUGUGGGGGCCUGCACAGUGUGUAUCUCUGCGAGGGAAUAAGUAUUUUUUAUCUAUCAUAGAUGACUUCUCUAGGAAAGUUUGGGUGUAUGUGUUAAAGAACAAGGAUCAGACUUUUGAGAGGUUUAAAGAGUGGAAACAGAUGGUAGAAAACCAAACUGGUAAGAGAUUAAAGAAGCUGAAAACUGAUAAUGGUCUUGAAUUUUGCAACCAGCCAUUUGACAACUUUUGUGCAAAUAAAGGUAUUGGUAGACAUAAGACAGUAAGGAUGACCCCAUAACAAAAUGGGUUAGCUGAGAGGAUGAAUAGGACUCUAUUGGAGAAAGUAAGAUGUAUGCUGAUUUAGUCCAAGCUCCUAAAAACAUUGUGGGCAAAAAUCUUACUCACAGCAUGCUACCUUGUCAACCUAAGCCCUUCUAUUGGAAUUAAUUUCAAAACACCUUUUGAAUGUGGUCACGGAAACCUGCUGACUAUGGAAUCCUUAAAGCCUUUGGCUGCCCAACCUAUGUUCAUGUCAGUCAAGGUAAGCUAGCAGCUAAAGCCUUGAAAAGUGUUUUCAUAGGCUAUCCAGAAGGAGUCAAAUGGUUUAAAGUUUUGUGCACUGAGCUUAAUCCACCAAAAUGUAUAGUGAGUAGGGAUGUGGUGUUUAAUGUGGGGAGUUUGAUGAAGGUGAAUCAUGAACCUGAUCUGGAAACUGAAAAUUCAAGACUAAUAGAGAAACUAGAGUUUGAGGUGGAGCCAUCUACUUCCAGAAACACAACUGAAGCUGCAGAUUCAGGUGGUGUUCCUGAAAACACUGAUGACACACAGGCACCUCAAGAUCAAUCAAGUUCUCAGGAGCAAAUCAGAGAAUACCAGCUCACCAGAGAUAGACAAAAAAGGCAGAUCAAACCAACAAGGAGAUAUGGCUAUGCAGAUUUAAUAGGUUUUGCUCUAACAGUUGCAAAAGAUAUAGAUGGUGAGGAACCAAAGAAUUUUAAGGAAGCAACCCAGAGCCUGUUCAAAGAAGAAUGGCAAAGAGCUAUAGAUGAUGAAAUGGCCUCCCUCUAUAAAAACAACACAUGGGAGCUGGUCAAGAAGCCUAGAAAUAGAAGAGUGGUUGGCUGCAAAUGGAUUUUCAAAAUUAAGGAGGGCAUAAAUGGAUCUGAACCAAGGAGAUUCAAGGCUAGACUUGUGGCCAAGGGUUAUAAACAAAAGGAAGGGAUAGAUUUUAAAGAAGUAUUUUCUCUAGUGGUUAGACAUGCCUCAAUUAGAGUUAUGUUAGCCAUAACAGCUGUGCAAGACAUGGAGCUUGAUCAACUCAAUGUCAAGACAACAUUUCUGCAUGGAAGACUUGAGGAAGAAAUACCGAUGUCCCAACCUGAAGGGUAUGAGUUCCCAGGUAAAGAAGACCAUGUGUGUCAACUAAAGAAGUCACUCUAUGGGCUUAAACAGUCUCCCAGACAGUGGUACCUAAGAUUUGAUAAAUUCAUGCAACUGCAUGAGUUCAUCAAAUGUAGCUAUGACUGCUGUGUUUACUACAAGACAAUCAAGGAUGGUCUGUACAUAUACCUCCUUCUAUAUGUAGAUGACAUGUUGGUUGCUUGCAAAGAUAAAGAGGAAAUUGAUAAGCUCAAGGUGCUGCUGAAUUCAGAAUUUGAAAUGAAGGACCUGGGGUAUGCAAUGAAGAUUCUAGGAAUGGAGAUCAGAAGGAAUAUAAGUAAAGGGAUCAUGUUUCUGUCACAAGAAAAAUACUUGAAAAAAGUGUUAGAAACAUUUGACAUGAGUAAGUCUAAACCUGUGCAACUACCAUUAGCUUCACAUUUCAGGUUAAGCAAUUUGCAGUAUCCUUAAACAGAAGCUCAAAAGCAAGAUAUGGCAAAUGUGCCCUAUGCAAAUGCAGUAGGCAGCCUUAUGUAUGCAAUGGUAUUGACCAGGCCAGACAUAACUCAUGAUGUCAGUGUAGUUAGUAGAUAUAUGGCACAACUUGGGGAAGACCAUUAGAAGGCUAUAAAAUAGAUACUCAUGCAUCUCAAAGGCACUGUAAAUUGUGGUCUGAUGUAUGGCAAGACAAAAGCAAAUGAUGAGGUUUUGGAAGGGUAUGUUGACUCAGAUUAUGCAGGGGAUUUGGAUAAAAGAACGUCUCUUACAGGUUACAUAUUGAUGUUAAAUGGUUGUACUGUAAAUUGGAAGGCAACUCUACAAAGUGUAGUGGCUCUUUCAACAACUGAAGCAGAGUAUACAGCUGCUACAGAAGUUGUAAAGGAAACACUUUGGCUCAAGGGGUUGGUGACAGAGUUGGGAUUAAAUAAGAAGUCAGUAUCAAUCUGCUGUGAAAAUGGUGAAGAUUCAUACUGAUGAGAAUUCUGCAGAUGCUGUUACUAAGGUGAUUCCUGUGGAUAAGUUCAGAGCUUGCCUGGACCUAGCUGGCUUGUGCAGUCAGUGAUAUGCAUAAGGUUUGGAGAAGGAUUUAGAGUGAGGGUAAACUUUGAUUCAAGUUGGAGAAUUGUGAGUUGAAUGAAUCAAGUUGGUUUGCAUAAACGAUCGCGUUUUGGAGCUGUAAAACCUUCAUUAGCUCACAUGCUGCUCAGCUGGUUCUUAACUAAAAACGAUUUAGUUGAAAUGACAUUGGUGGAGUGCGUUUUACAUAUCAGUUUAAGUAACCACGUGAGGAAGCAUGUGAUGAAGGUUAUUCUGAGUUCAUUAAAGGUUGUUAACCACGUGUCAACGAGCUGAACAAUCUGGAAAUCAAGCUAGUUGCCCAAACAGAGUAUAAAGGUUGGGUUUUGGGGAAAUUCAGGAACGAAUUUCAUGAGUCUUGCUGUGAGGGUUUUGUGAGACAGAAAGUAUUAACUUGUUCUCUGUAAAGUCUGGUGUAAGGCUCUAUAACAAUCUCCAUUGUUGAUUCAAUAAAGCUCAUCUUGAGGCUUCUCCCGUGGAAUGCUCAGCUGAACCACGUUAAAUCUUGGUUUCUGUGGGUUUCUUGUUUCUAGUUCUUGUUCUUUUUGUUAUUGAGUGAGUUUGUCUAAUUAGAUUUUGCGGUUGUGCAACUUGCAUUGACUAGAUCACUAGCAUCCUGGGCAGUGAUCAGUUUAGCUUGAUUUAGAGGCUUGCUGUUCACUGCACAUGCCUUUUGCCUUUGUGGAUGUUCAAGCUUGUGAUUCAUGUUUGUUAAUCUAUUAUGCUCUCUUGCAGGAUUUAUAAAGUUUUCGAUCAAUCAAGCAUUUGACUCAAGUUCUUAGCUCUUCACUGCUUGAAUGGGUCAGAUAGGACAAGCGCCGAUGAGGUGGUUUUAAUCAGACCCCUCCUAAUUAUGAUGUAUGGUCCGAAUCUUGGACUUUUUGUACAAAUGUAGCUAUUGAGGACAAUGAUGAGACAAAGGUGAUCAUUCAUUAAUGCGUAAUUACCGAAACCUCCAUCCUUCUCUCAUUGUAAUUUGAUUUGAAAUGAAUAAUUGCUAGGUAAUUGAAGUCAAUAUUGUUAAAAACCGUGUUGAGCUACCCAAGCAAAGAAGUUAGUCGCCAAAAAAUGCAGGGGAUCAAAAGAAGCAUUUCAUUUGAAAAGGCAUGAGAUUCUGUUUAAAUUUGUGCUACUACGGUGCGGUAAUGCUGCUACUGGGAAAUUUGAAAAGGCAUCAGAAGCUGUGGAUCUUGGGACAUCAGGAUUUUUCACAGUUCUCAAACUCUCAGGAUUAAACUCUAUUAAAGUUGUAGUUAUCUUGUUGUCAGAAUUCCCAUAUUAUUAUCUUUUUCAUGUAAAAUUAUCUUGUUGUCUUCACCCAUGAAUCUAAGCUAAAAUUUGAACCAAUUGUUUGCUAUUAUAAAUUUCAUUGUUAAAUGUUAAUUGUGAUGUUGGCGUUGAGUUUCUUUUAAAGUCAUAGAAGCCUGACGAUUGAGUUCCAUGGGAUUCUGAGAAGCAGUAAUAUUUUGAACAAGUGAAGGUUCUUCGUUUUUAAUUAUGUUCUGCACUUUUACAGUAUGUGCAGAUGUCUAAGAGGCAGGAUUUUAAUUUCUGUAAUGCUAAAUUUCGCAAAACAAUAAAAAAAUAAAUGCAUGACAGUGACUUCAAGAAUUUAGAUUAUUGAAUUUGGUCAUUUUAAAAUUGUUGGAAUGUUGAACUUACGUAAUUUUGAUAAACCAGAGCUCAGAAAUGUAGAAUAUAAAUAUUGGAUAUUUGGACUUCAAUCAUUAGAUUUGAAGCUAAAGAGGUAAGCCAUUAAUUACAUCCAAGGAUUUGGAAAAUGGAGGGAUUGGAAAAAGGAAACUUUUUCAUAAACUUCAAGCAUUGGGCAUUUUCAUUUGUCCGAUUCAAGAGGAACGUCAUAGAAAGGGGUAAAGAAAAGAGUAGCCUAAGAUAUUAAAGACAAUGUUGAGCCAAAGGAAACAUAAAUCCCAACCAUUGCAUGUGAACAUGAUCACAAUAAAUCCCAACCAUCCAAACCAUUUUUUUGAGAAUUUUCAAUUGAAAGUGAAACCUUUUGACAUUUACCUAAUAAAGUAAGUUAAACGAGAGAAAUAAAGGGGAAAAGAAAAGUUGACUCAAGUCAAUACAGAAUAAUUAGUUCAAUCUGGAGUAACUAAAACAGAGCCACUAUAUUUUCAACAGCUAAUGAGCUACACACGAAUCAUUUCCUUUUAGCAUUUUUGCAGCAUCAAUUUCUCUCCUCGUUUGUCAUCCAAAAUUAUUCACCAAUACCAUGGCUGAUGCAAUCGUUUCCCUGGUCUUGGAGCAGCUGAUUAUCUUUGCUGCUGAAGAGUUGAAACAACAGGGGAAGCUGGUGAGUGUUGGAUGAGUGGAUAACAGCAUGCGUCAAAUCGCAAAUUGAUCAAUGCUCUUGGUGCUCCUUAUCUGAAGAAGAAGGUGCAAAUUGAGAGCUGAAUUGCACUGUCAUAACAUUUAUUGUAAUUUCAUUUGGAGAUAUGUAAUAUCUGUUGUCCAGAUAUAUUUCAUACACCAGCUGCUAAUAAUUCUGCUUGCAGAGAACUUGCAAAGUGAUUCUGGGAUAUGUAAUAUCUGUUGUAAUAUCUGGAGAUAUGUAAUAUCUGUUGUCCUAGAAAUAUAGAUGUGUGGUUCGCAAAAUUUUCUUGAUCUUAAGAAAGAGUUAUCUUGAAUAGAAGAUAACAUGGAGAAUUCAGCAACUAUACAGUCAUAUUGAUGUCUGUCAACUUGGGUCAGAUGGUGUCGUUUGGAUGGAGAUGUUAGGUCCCAGAUGGUAUGCUUGUUAUCAAUUCCAGUCUAAUUCAUUCAUGCUUUGAUGACAUAUGCGGUGCAGCUUCUUAUCUAAGACCUGUAUAUGUUCAGUCAUCAUUCAGUUCUGUAUUUGGCUGCCAUUCUUUCAAUGAAUUCAAACCACUUUCUGAAUACUUGCAAAUUCAUCCAGUGUUGUCAUUGAGAUGCCAAUAUGUAAAGGAGCAAUAGUUGCCCUUGAUAGUAUGCUUAUUGAUUGCCUCUUGCCUCACUCAGCCUAAGGAAUCUGGUUGUAUGGUGUUCUUGUAAUUUCAUUUGGAGAUAAGUAAUAUCUGUUGUUCAAAUGUAUUUUAUAUACAAGCAGUUAAUAAUUCUGCUUGCAGAAAGCUUACAAAGGAGCUGUGUGAUGUAAUAGAAGACUACAGUCUGGUCAAUUUUUCAACCUUAGAUAUUCAGGUCAUCGGUUUCUCUUGAAUUCUUUCUUGAGUUUCUUUGAAUUAUUUGUGAAUAAGAUCUUAGUUGGCUGCUCCUCUUCAGGAUAAGGAAAGUGUGGCAAAACUCGUGAAGCUGAUAGAUAAAAGCAAUGGGUACAUCUUUGCUGGCAUGGAUGCCAGUGCAGUUGAAUUCAGCAAGAUUGCCGUUCGCGAUGUGGAUUGGGAUUAUUACAGAUAUCCUUCUUUUCACCUACUUUCAAUCUUGUGAUUCUCAUAUUCAUAAAACUUUUAUGGUUCAUUGUAUGCAUCUGCAUCUUCUAAUUUGUACGUUUGAGAAACUAAUUUUGCUGUUAGGUAGGUGUCAAAUUUGAUUCAUGCGUUUUUUAUAAAUUUACCAAAAUCAUGGAAACUUCUUCUUCCCAGAUAUUGUAUCCACACUUUUCCCAUGUAAUUCAGUCAGACAAGUUUUGCUUAACAAAGAUAUCUACAGUAGCUGAAGUGCAGGAAAAGUACAUUGAGGAUGAUGACGAUGUUAACUAAAAUGGGACACGAAGAUAUAUGGUGCGCAAACCGUAAGCAUGCCUCUUACUUUUGUGCAUGUUUACUUGCUUGUGAUUCAUGUUUGUUAAUCUAUUAUGCUCUUUUGUUGGAUUUAUAAAGUUUUCAAUCAAUCAAACAUUUGACUGGUUCAGACAGGACAAGCGCGGAAGAGGUGGUUUUAAUCAAACCACUACUAAUUAUGAUGUAUCUCGGACCUUUGUACAAUAUCAAGCGAUUUUUUUAGUUGAAUCAGCUAGUGUACACAAAUGUCGUUUAUUGAUUUUUCUCUAGUAUAGUUCGUAAUUUUGGUAACACAUCUACUCUAGUAUCGAUUGUAAUUACAAGAAACAAAGUAAUGAAAUUUAUCACUGCAUUCAUAGUUAUGCUUAAGCUCAAAGACCACUGUCAAGAUCAUUUUGGGGCCUCUAUUUGUUCUAUAACAUGAUGUUGACACAUGUCAAAUUAUGAAGCUUGUGAUUAAAAUACUUUUCACAUAUAUAUUUUAAGUACCACUAAUAAUUAAAUAUAUGAAUAAAUAUGGUCAAUGAGGAGGGGAUAAAAUAAAAUGGUUUUAUUUUUUGAAUUACUCAACUGCUUCAAACUUCUAAGAAGUAGAUUUACGAUGAGCGGAAUCUUAAAUUGAGUACGAGCUAGGGAUAACUUAUAAAAUUGGGAUACAAGCUUCAAAGAAAGUGUAUUACUAUUCAUAUGUAGAUUUCGAAUUAAGAAGAUAUGCCAACUAAUUGUAUAAAAAUGUAAAAAUUGAUCACUGACAUAAUCCCAAAUGAUAAAAUGAGCUACCUCGAUCAAAAGGUCAAGAACCUACCUUCUCUUAGGGAUAAGUGAAAGCUUCCCAAUUGAAGGAAAGUGAAGAGAAGAUUCUAUGCUCUCAUUAUUAUUAUUAUUUGUUAGAAUGAAGUGCGAAGUGAGCACAUCAUGCAAGCUCAGCAGAAGUGAUAAGGUGACUUGUAACUCAGCUGGCACUCAAGAGACAAAGUGUAGUGGAGAAAAGUUUCCCAAUUGAAGGAAAGUGAAGGGAAGAUUCUAUGCUCUAAUAAUUAUUAGUUGACAAUGAAUUGGCAAAUAAAAACAAAAUAGCAAGCCUGUAAAGUAAUGAAGUGGAGACAAUGACCAUGUGAUUGAUUGGUAAAUAAAAACAAAAGAGCAAGCCUGUAAAGUAAUGUAAACUAUAGUGUAUAUUCAAGUUAAAGUAAUGGAAACAGUGUAUAUUCACAAAAAAUUCUUUUAUCUCUCAUUGUCUUGUUCUUUUCUUUAUUUACGUUGUCCAGAAGUAAAGCCAUACAUGUGAUGAAGCAUAAAUAAGAAAGCUAUCGCCCGAAAUUCAUUUUCACAAACACUUCAAUAUCCUUUUGAUCACUUUUGCAAACAUCAAUUUGUCUCCUCUUGUAUUCACCAUGGUUGAUGCCAUCGUUUCCCCUCUCGUGGAGCAGCUGAUUUCCUUCGCUGCUGAAGAGAUAAAACAACAGGUGAUCGAAGUUACACCCCUCAUAUUACAAAUACUUACAAUGAUUUUAUUUGGUUUUGCUUUUAUCAAAAACAUUAUAAUUAUAAUUUUUGAAAUUUGAAUUGAAUUUAAUUAAAAGGUGAUAUAGUAACCACUCAUUUUUAUUUUAUUUCAUUUAUAUUCUCGAUAACUACCCAUAUUGUGGUAACUUGCUAUAACUCUCGUAUAUAAGAAAUGAUCAAAACCCAUAAUUUUAACUCUGUAUAAAUAUUCAAUGUUGAGCUAAGGUUUUGUAGAACAUUCAAGUUUAUCAAACAGUCAUUAAUUUAAUGCUUAGUAAAAUCUCAACUCUGCACUGAAUCCCAUAACUAUUACUUAGACUCUAUGAAAAAUUUCAUAGUUUUCUUACAUUCUUUGAGUUUGGUAAGUGAUUUCAUAUAAUUUAUUUUCAAGUUAAAUUUUAAUUUGGUUUCUGAUAUAGUCUCUUUGCCGAAUUGUCUCUUUUAUGAUUCUUGGAUUUUGGGCUUCAACUUUUUAGGAUUUGAUAGUCACAUUUUAUGCCGUGCUCAGAUUGAUUUUCAUGAUUAUUAGUAGCCGUUAAGUGACUUACAAUUUGACGAAAGUUUGAAAGGAAAAAUGUUUCAGGAUUAUGUUUUAAUUGACCUUUUAGUGGAAAUAGGAUGCUUAUAACUUAAUGUGGAUGGUUCGUAAAAUCAUGAAAUUUGGAUAGGAUUCACUAGAAAUAUGUUCAAGACUCUCCAUAAAGUUUCAUAAUUUUUCAUUGGGUCUGGGCUGUUACAGGUGAUGCUUGUGACUGGUGUCGAGAAGGAAGUGAAAAGCCUUACGAACCACCUUCAUGCCAUUCAAGCUGUGCUCGAUGAUGCAGAGGAAAAGAAAGUGAAGAACAAAGCUGUUAGUCUUUGGCUGGGUAGGCUCAAGUAUGCAUCCUACGACAUUGAAGAUGUGUUGGAUGCGUGGAUCACAACAAGACGUAAAUUGCAAAUUGAGGGUGGCGUUGAUGACAAUGCUCUUGCUGCUCCUCAAAAGAAAAAGAAGGUGUGUUUCUGCUUUCCUGCCUCUUGUUUUGGAUUCAAACAAGAAGAAUUUGGUUUCAAACAAGUCUUUCUACGUUAUGACAUUGCCAACAAGAUCAAAGAAAUGAAUGAAGAGCUACAUGAUAUUGCCACUCAAAAAGACAUGUUUAAUCUUAAAAGUGGUGAAAGACCAAGGCGUGUACAGAGUACCUCCUUGAUUGAUGAGGAAGAGAUUUGUGGUAGAGUUGGUGAGAAGAAUGAACUCAUAAGCAAGCUGUUGCGUGAGAGUAGCGAGCAACAAAAAGGCCUCCAUAUCAUCUCAAUUGUUGGUAUGGGAGGCAUAGGGAAAACUACUCUUGCACAACUAGCUUGUAAUCAUGACGAGGUGAAGAGAAAGUUUGACAAAAUUCUGUGGGUGUGUGUAUCAGAAACUUUUGAGGAGUUUAGGGUAGCCAAAGCGAUCGUUGAAGCUUUGGAUAGUCGUGAAUCUCAUUUAGGUGAAUUUCAAUCUCUUCUUAAAUAUAUUUAUGAAUCAAUUGCAGGGAAGAGCUUUCUUCUUGUCUUAGAUGACGUGUGGGAUGGAAAUUACUUGAAAUGGGAACCAUUCUACCGUUGUCUAAAGAAUGGUCUCCAUGGAAGUAAAAUUUUAGUUACCACACGUAAAGGGUCAGUCGCAUCCAUGAUGGGAUCCAUAACUAUUAUCUCCGUUAAGGAGUUAGCUGAAGAGGAAUGUUGGUUGUUGUUUAAAAAGAUAGCAUUUUUUGAUCGGUCCAUCGAGGAACGUGAAAAAUUAGAACAAAUUGGGCAAAGAAUUGCAGGCAAGUGCAAAGGUUUACCUCUUGCAGCAAAGACAAUAGGGCAUCUCAUGCGUUCUAAACAAACUGAAGAAGAGUGGAAAAGAAUUUUAAAUAGUGAUUUAUGGAAAGUAGAAAAGAUUGAGAAAGAUGUUUUGUCCUCUUUAUUGUUGAGUUAUAAUGAUUUGCCAUCUAGAGUAAAAAGAUGUUUUUCAUAUUGUGCUGUCUUUCCAAAAGAUUAUAAUAUAAGAAAAGACAAACUAAUCUCAGUAUGGGUGGCUCAAGGUUAUCUUAGUGCAGAAGCAGCAGAACAAAAUGAGGAGUUGGAGACUAUAGGUGAAGAGUAUUUUAGCAUCUUAGCUUCUCGCUCUUUCUUUCAAGAGUUUAAGAAAAGUUAUGAUAAUUGGAUUAUAGAGUGUAAGAUGCAUGAUAUGGUACAUGAUUUUGCCCGAUUUGUAAGUCAAAAUGAAUGUUUUUCCAUGGCAAUUAAUGGUAGUGAAGAAUCAAACGCCACAAACUCUCUUGAUGAGAAGGUCCGUCAUUUAAUGUUAAUCUUUAGUAAAGGGGCUUCAUUACCUGUUUCCACUCUUAGAGUUAAAAGAAUGCGUAGCCUCUUUAUUAACGAUAGUGAAUCUGAUCAUUCAUCAUUAAAUGGUGAGAUCCUAGAAGAAUUAUUUAGGGAAUUGACAAGUUUAAGGGCAUUAGAUUUUGGCAAAUCGUGUAACUCAAGUUGGUCUUCGACUCUGGAGUAGGGAUGGCAAAAAUCCCCACGGGGACGGGUACCCUCGGGGAUUUUCCCCAUUCGGGGAGGGUAUGGGGAUAAUUUCAUACCCAAUUUCUUAUUCGGGGAGGGGACGGGGAAAUUUUUUUACCCAAUUUCUUAUUCGGGGAGGGGACGGGGAUGAGGUGGAAUCCCCAUCCCCUACCCAUUUCCCCAUUUUAAUUUUUAAUUUAAUUUUAAUUUUUUAAAAUUACUAGUAAAUAAAUUAUAAAAUUUAAAUUAUAAAAUUAUAAAUAUUGGUAAAAAUAAAAAAUAUCAAAAUAUUUAUAUUAUUAAACUUUUAGGCCUAAUUAGCUAAUUAAAGUUCUAAAUUUUUAUUUAGGACAUUAAAAAGACUGAGUAGAUUCUAUUAGCCAAAUUUUUUUUUAAUUUUGAUAUUCUUUAAAUAUUUUAAACUUAAAUCUAUUUUUUAUUUAAUUUUAGAUGUUAUAAUUGCCCACAGCGAAUCACAAUUUUAAUAUCUAAUCUAAUCUAAUCUAAUAUUUACUUUUGAUUUGCUCCGAUUUAACUAUUGUGUUGUAAAGGGAAUAGUCCACAUUUAUAAAGUGCCCACGCCACCAUUGAAAAAGUUAAUUUUGAAUCUAAAUUUGAUUUUAUUUGUAACAAUUUUGUAUUAGACUAUUAAUUUGUUCAUGAUAGUUUGUAAAAUAAGUUUGUAUCUCUUGUAUGUUGCGUUACUUACUAAUUUAAUGUAUGUGACUUUUGUAAUAGAUAUUAAUGUAAGAUAUAUUUCGAACUUUACUUUUAUUUGAAUUUUUUAUUUUAAUAUGAUUAACUCAAAAUCGAAAAAAAAAUGUAUUAGUUAAUCGGGGAUCGGGGACCCUCGGGGAUCCCCUGUUAUUAUCUUCNNNNNNNNNNNNNNNNNNNNNNNNNNNNNNNNNNNNNNNNNNNNNNNNNNNNNNNNNNNNNNNNNNNNNNNNNNNNNNNNNNNNNNNNNNNNNNNNNNNNACCUUAUUUGUGUUUUCAGAAAAUAGUGAAACUACCGGAGACAUUAUGCGAGUUGUAUAAUCUAGGAAAGUUAGAUAUUAGUUGUUGUUAUAGUCUUAAAGAAUUACCUGAAGGGAUUGGGAAGUUAAUAAACAUGAAGCAUUUACUAAAUAGAGAUACUCAUUCUUUAAGGUACAUGCCAGUAGGGAUUGGGAGAUUAACGGGUCUUAGGACCUUGGAUGAGUUCCACGUGAGUGCAGGAGGAGGUGUUGAUGAUAGGAAAGCAUGUAGGCUUGAAUCUCUAAAAAAAUUGGAACACCUUCAAGUAUGUGGUAUACGUAGACUGGGUGAUGUAUCAGAUGUGGGCGAGGCUAAGCGAUUAGAACUUGACAAAAAGAAAUACCUCUUCAGUUUGACCCUUGAGUUUGAUAAGAAGGAAAGAGGAAGAGAAAGGAGGAAGAACGAGGACGAUCAACUUCUUCUUGAAGCCCUGCGACCACCCCUGGAUUUUAAGGAAUUAGAGAUACGGUUCUACCGAGGCAACACUGUUUUCCCCAGCUGGAUGACGUCAUUAACCAACUUAAAGAGUUUAGAUCUCUGUAACUGCGAAAAUUGCGAGCAGCUGCCUCCUUUGGGAAAAUUGCCGUCCCUUGAAAAACUCAGCAUAAUGUUUAUGCCUGUGAAAAGAGUGGGUGAUGAAUUUUUGGGGAUAGAAAGUGGUCAUCGUGACUCAUCUUCAUCUUCAUCGGUUAUUAUUGCCUUCCCCAAAUUGAAAUCACUUUCAAUUGAGUCUCUGGACGAAUUGGAGGAGUGGGAUUAUGGGAUUACAGGAACGGGAAACACCUUCAUCAACAUCAUGCCACGUCUUUCUUCUUUGGAAAUUAAUUACUGCCCCAAAUUAAAGGCACUGCCCGACCACAUUCAUCAAACGACAACAUUGAAGGAAUUGCGCAUUUGGGGGUGUGACCUUCUGGAAGAACGUUACCGCAAGGGAGAAGGAGAAGACUGGCCUAAGAUAUCACACAUUCCCAACCUCCAUAUUGGGCUUUGACAAGUAAUUUCUUCUCUUACUCUGAUUUGCUUUGUUGUUGUUUUUAAUCUAAUUAAGAAGCGUAAAUAGCAUUUUGAAUCAAACUCUAUAUCAGAAAUCUGCAAUACUUACUUUCUAAUAUUCUGAUUUUCAUAUCCUAUGAAUAUACGAUUUUUAAUUUGUGAGAUGGGUAACGUUACUGUAAAAGAUUAUUAAUGCAAUAUGAGUAAUUCUUUUGCAGGACAAGUGACCUACAUUUAGUUUGGCUUUGGAGUUGAAUAAUAACCUUUCGGGAACUGGUGUGGACUGGCAAAGGAUGAUGAGAUAGUUUUUUGAGUGAGUAAAUUUUGGGAGCUUGAGUGUAUUGGGAUUUGCAAUUACAAUCAUCCUCUGCUUCAGGUGAUUUCUUCUCUUGCUCUGUCAUUGUUUGUUCUCUAAUUCAAAAGCAUGAAAUAUUUCAAUCAAUUUUUAUACCAGGAAUAUGCAAAAGUUUCUAAUAUUUUAUUUCCAUCUGUUACAAGAUCAAACUGAAGCAGAACUCAAACAAAAGUAUGCUACUUCUUGCGGAAAUCUUGCCUUUGUUCAGAUUAUGAAACCAUUUCCAUGCAGCAAAUUCAUCCAAAAGUUUGAAUAAGUUUCAUGGUCGGACACUGUUGGCUUCUUUUUCUUCUGGGGUGCAUUUAGGUGCUAUCAAGUGACAGCUGUAAGUAUGAUUGCACUAAGCUGCUGCUGGGAAAUUUGAGGUUUUGAUGGCUGCCCAUGUUAUUUUCAAGAAACUAUUGAUGUAAGAAGCCGUGGUUCUUUUCAUCAGCUUGAACCUGAAACUGUCGCUAUGGAUAACUCAGGUUUUUGUUAUCAACUAUAUCAUCUUUUUCACUAUUUUGAAACUCUUAAGAUUAAACGUUAGUAAAGUUGUUUCAGCUAUUCAAAUGAAAAACUCAUUGAUUUGAGACUUCCUUCAUUAUUGUUUCUAAUUACAAUGCUAACGAUCCAGAUAAAAUAAUAUUUAAUCGGCGAAGGUGUCCCUUGGAAGUACAUCCUUCUUUUUCUUUUAUUAUAUAAAUUCUUGCAAUGAGCUUAGUGAAGCUGUUGUGCUAUCAUGCCACUGCAUAAUUUGGCCCCUAAUGUGGGUACUCUGUUUCAUUGUUCUGCAAAUUCUCCAGCAGUUAAAAUCAAUAAAUUUUCUAUUAGCUCUAGUGCUUUGACCUAAAUGCUAUUCUAUAUUCUGAUUACAAUGUUUUAACCUUUAAAUUAACUACUCCUAGAUGUUGGAUUUUCUAGAACUUCAAAAUGAUUAAUGGAGAAAGAUCCCAUUAUCGUUAUUGCUAUAAGAAAUUGAUUUAUGCAUCCAAAGAUACAUUAUAUAUUUCUGUGUCUCUAUUUAUAGAUGACAUUUAAGCAUCCAUAAACCGUCAGACAGAGGAAGGGGGUUCAGUGCAAAGAUUCUGUUGACCUAGGGUUGACUGCAUAAUGUCACUUGUUCGCAAUCUAUUAUUUAUUUUAUAUUUUGAAGAAUUUAAUGGGUAAUCCUAAUUGUUUGUUUUGGCAGGUAUGUGUUGUUAUCUCCUUCUAUCUUACAGUCAUACCUAAAUAGCAUAGUUUCAUCUGUGUUACCAUGUGAUGUACAUAAUUUCACAUUUGCCUCAGAUUAAGCUUAAUUUCCCACAAAAUAGAGCUGUCGCGACUGGACUUAGGUUGAUGUCCAAAGAGGUAAAUUAUUGGCAUGCCUAGAUAAUUUGGCCAUUUCCUAAUUCAUAAGUCUACGUUAAUUUUGAUUUUGAGUUGACUGAUUUCUUUUCAAGGUCUGCUUCCUUAACGGAGUGACCAAUGUUUUUCAACUAAAUUUAUCAUAUGAUGCAGGAAGCAGGGCAGGAUAUGAAAUGAGAAGCUCAUUGGUGGAAGUAUUGCCAGUAGCAGAACCCAAUGAAAAUGAAACUAUUUCAAGGCAGCAGUUGGCAGUUGCAAGUGAAUGGAGGCCCUUGACAAAAUUCUCAAGCGGUUGCAAUGCAAUUACGAUCAUCCUCAGCCUCAGGUAAUUUCUUCUCCUGCUUUGUAUUUAUUUGUUAUCUAAUUAGGAAGCGUAAAGUAUCUUGAAUCAUUUUCUGUAUCUGGAAUAUAUGCAAGAGUUUCUAAAAUUUUGAUAUGAGUGUAAUGAUGGUAAUUUCUGUUUUCUGUCUGUCAUCAAAUGUUAGAAAACUUUCAUUGAGACCCUUGAACCGAGUCAUUUUUGACAAGUGAAGGACAAUUGCUGAAGAGUGGGAAUGGUGCUAGAUUGGGGAAUAAAGACAAAGGAGGUAAAUUAUUUGCAGUUUAUUCAGCAUUAUUUGCUUUGGACCAGCGCCUGAUUCACAAGUCUCCAUAAUUUGGCUUUUGACCAGUUAAUAAAUUUUUAAUUCCAUUGGUGCUAAAUGUACACGUGAAGCAGGCAGAGCAGGACUGUGGAAAUGAGAAGGUUUUUAGUGAAAGCUUAAACUCAGGUAAUUCUAAAAAGUACAUGUUUUUGCUGAUUUAUCUAAAUCAGGAAAUUUUAUUUCCAUCUGUUACAAGAUAAAACAGAAACAGUCAAACAGAACACACAGAAAAAUAUUCUACUUCUUGUGGCAAUCUUGCCUUCAUUCAGACAAUGAAACCAUUUCCUUUCACCAAUUUCUUCCAAAAGUUUGAAUAAGUUUCAUGGUUGGACAUAGUUAGCUUCUUUUUCUUUUGGUGCAUUUAGGUCCUAUCAAGUGACAGCCAUAAGUAUGAUUGCAUUAUUGGAAAAUUUUAGGUUUGGAUGGUUCCCCAUGUUAUUGCCAAGAAAGUCCUCAUGUCAGAAGCUGCGGUUCUUUUCAUCAGCCUGAACCCGAACCUGUCGUUAUGGAUAACUCAGGUUUUUGUCGUCAACUAUAUCAUCUUUUUUACUGUUUUGAAACUCUUAAGAUUAAACUUCAGUAAAGUUGUUUCAGUUAUCCAUGUAAUCCGGCUAAGGAUAUUUAGCAGCUUAUUUAGGCAACUGCCAGAAUUCAGUUUGUUUGCUCGAAACUUGUAUGGUGACAAGGAUACUGGCAAGGAUAGUGAGAUAGUUUUUUGUGUGAGUGAAAUUUGAAAGCUUGGGUGUUCUGGGAUUUGCAAUUGCAAUCAUCCUCUGAGUCAGGUGAUUUCUUCUCCUGCUCUGUCUUGAUUUUCUCUCUAAUUGAAAGCAUAAAGUAUUUCAAUCAAAUUCUGUACCAGGAAUACGUAAAAGUUACUAAUAUUUUAUUUCCAUCUGUUUGCAUUGAUAACUCGGCCGCAUAUGUUCUAGUUAAAGAACAAACAGAAACAGAGUUCAGGAAAAAGUUUCUUCGGCCACCAUAUUUGAAAAUGAAACCAUUUCCAGGAAGCAGUUGGCAGCAAAUUCAUAUGGAGUGUAGACAAUGAUGAGCGAAAAGGUGAUUCGCAAUUUCUUUUUUUUUUUUAAGUGAAAUUAUUUGUUAGAUUGAAGCUGAUAUUGUAAGAAGGCCAUUGAGCUAACCUAUGUCGCCACUUGCCUAGAUUGCAGGGGGUCAAGACUCAAAAGAAGCACUGAAAUUUAAAAAGCAUGCAAUAGUUCUUUUGCCAUGUGUCAAUUAAUGCAAGUUUGAAUAAGUUUAUUGGCUGAACGAUGUUAGCUUCUUUUCCUUUCGUGCACUUUGGUAUGCUAUCAAGUGACAGCCGUAUGUAUGGCUUGCAUAUAGCUGCUGCUGGGAAAAUUGACGAUUUCAUGGCUGGCCGUGUUAUUGUCUUAAAUUAGUUGUGAUAAGCUGUUGCUUGGAGAUUCUGUUGCCAAGACUUUGCUCACAUCAGAAGCUGUGGAAUCUGAACCCUUCGUUAUGUAUCAUCUUUUUCAUUGUUUUAAAACUCUCAGGAUUAAACUUGAGCGAAUUUGUUCGGUUGUCUAUAUAAUCAUGUAUUGAGUAAACUCUCAGGAAACUGAACAUGCAAAUGUUAUAACUCGGGUUGUUAGCCAAAAACUUGUUGAAUAGGGAUUUGGAUUUGUUAGGAAGUUAUCAUUUUUUAUUUUUUAUUUUGUUUUAUUUUUUUAUUUUUUUAUUUUUAUCUUCUGGUGGUGCUAUAUUUUCAAACGACAGUCCGAUUCAAAACUUGAUAUUCCAAUUAUAUUCAUAAGCUUCUAUAGUUAUCUUCAAAAAGACAAAUGGAAGGCUUUGAACGGCUUGGGUCUGAGUAUUGUAGUUUGAUUUAUUUUGAUGAAAGAACCUUUUGACAUUAAGAUUCUUUCAUGAGUUAAACAUUCUUUUUAAAACCAACUUAUUAAAAAAAAGUAACGAACAUAUAUUAUUUUGUUAGUGCUUUUUAAAUCAAAUAUAAAAAAGAGAACUGUAAUUCUUAGCAACCAAUUUUUCACUGAGUACAGCUACAACAAACUAUUAAAAAAUAAAGUGAUAGAAAAUGCCUGAUUUUUCGUACUUUCUAAUUACUUUUGGUCCUAAAAUAUGGCGAUUUGUGUAAUAAUAAGUCCAUGUAUAUCUUUAUGCCAUUAGUUUGAUAAAUAGCUAUCAAGGAUAACUUAUUAAGCUAAAAAUAUUUGAAGGAUAAAAUGAUAAAACUAAAAGGGUGGAGUAAUAUAGUUAUUUAGGAUUACAUAGUAAGUCAACUAUAUUCAAGGGAUAAAAUAUUAAAACUUGAAUAGUGAUAUUAAAAAUAUCUCGGUUAUUAUACUAUUAAAUCAUAUGCCGUAAUAGUAUUUUUUUUCAAACUUUAAAAAAUUCAGGAUUUUAAAUUAAAACAUGGAUUUCUUUAAGAUGCUAUAUAUGUUUUUUAUAGUAUUGAUAUUGGGAUUAGUGUGGACCCUUAGAUGAAAGAGUUUUAAUCUGAAUCAUUCAUUUAAUAUAAUAGAUAAUUAAAUAAUUAAUUAAAAUAUAGCAGGUAACUUAUAGGUUGUAGGUAAAAAAUUAAUUUUUUAAUUUUAAAUUAAAAUUAAUUUGGAAAAAUACCAUCCACACCCCUAAAGUUUACUUAAAUGAUCAUAUAAAUCCCUUUAGUUUCUACAUAGUUAUACAGAGCCUCUUAAUUUCAUAAAUUAUUAUUAUACUUUUAAUUAAAACAACCUAAAUGAAUAUAAAUAUAGUAAUAGGAUAGAAAUAAUAAAUAAAUAUCAGAUGAAACAAAUAAAAUAUUACAAUAAAUACAAUUAAUUAAAUAAUAUGUAUGAUGAAAAUUUUAUUCAUAUUAAGUUAUUAUUAGUCUAUCCCGAUGGAUUUACUCAAAUCAAUUAAUCCAAAAUUUAAUUUUAAGAUUGAUAUUAAUAUGGACAUAAUUAAAUAAGAUGUUGUAAUAUAUACUACUUUGAAUGUUAAGUAUAAUUAUCUAAUAUUAUUAGUAUGUGAAAUAGAUUUUAAUAUUAUUAAAAGAAUAUGACAAUAUAUAAUUUUGAAAUAAAUUUUUUAGUAUUCAUAAUAUUUUAUAAAUUUUAUCUUAUUUUAUAUAUUAUAUUUUUUUAUUUUAAUGUAUUAUAUAUGAUCAUUUAAGCAAAUUUUGGAGGUGCGGUGGUCUUUUCCCUAUUAAUUUUAUAGCAUAUUUAAAGUGUUAUAUCAUACAUCAUACAUCGCACUUUUGUUAAAGUGUUAUGUUAUUAAAAAUUAAACUUUGCAUUUAUAAUAUACUACCAUUUUAAUGUAAAGGUAAUAGAAAAUAUGAAGAUAUUUUUAAGUAGUCAAUUGUAGUUUUCUUUUACAAAAUAGCAGUAUAGAAAUACACACACACACACACACACAUAUCAAGUACUUGUAUGUUCCCCUAACUUUUAUUAAUAGGAAGGAAAUUAAAUUCAUAAUUUUCCCGGUGAAUUAUGAAUUGAUAAAUGAAAUAUAAAUAUUAGAAAAAAUUAAUUUGUCGACUAAAGAAGUAAACCAUAUUUUAUGGGCAUUUAAUACAUUAAUUUAAGGUCAAAUGAGAUAUAUCACAUGAUAUUUGAUAUAGUAGUCCAAUUUUCAACAUUUGCAUAUAGUUUCUAAGCUAGUAAUCUAAUAAAAUAUACCAAAUGAGAAAUUGAAGGCUAUUAUUUAUAUUUCACCAUUGGACAAACACCAUACAUUAGAAUAAAAAAAUCUCACAGUAGAGACGGCAUCUGUUUGCAUGUUUUGAAAAUAGAUUUUGAAAUUAGUUUAAUUACAUGAUAAUUAAAUUAUAUUAUAAAAUUAAGAAUAUGAUUUAAGUACUAUUUUAGCAAUUUUGAGUCUCACAUUGAGUAUUGAAGUUAAUUAAAUGUUGAAACUCUUUUCUAUUUGGCUUGAAAUCACUACUUAAUAAAAUUACAAAAAGUCAAUAAUGAAUGAUGUAGGACACAUAUGUAAAAUAAAUUUUAAAGUGUAAUUAAACAUUCCUAUCAAUAUUAGUUUUGUAUACAUAUUCAUAUAUUUUACUGAAACCAUAUAUAAUUAAAUUUUGUGUAAUUAAGUAAAAUAUAUUAUUCAAGUGAAUUUAUGAGAAUAUGUAAAAUUGUAGGGGUGGUCACUGAAAUUUGCCAAACUUGAGCCAACCGUGCAUGAUCCAAACAGUUUAUUUUAAUAAUUCUCAAUAUGUUAGUCUGUUUGACUGUUGGCAAAAUGAAUUCCUAUCAGCAAUGCAACACAAUUCAAAAUCAUAUCUGCAUACAACGAACAAUAUCUCAUCAAAGAUCAAAUUAUACAUUUUUUACACCAAAGCAUAAAUAUCUAAAUUGUCCCUCUUCAACUCACCAAGCUCAUACCUAACAACAGCAAGAUUAAAUGUCAUUUGAUCCAUCUUUUUUAUUAAGCUUUAUCAAUUCUUCUCAUGGUUGCAAUUUUGAAAGCUCGCUUCGCUAUUUCCAUUUGCUUUUAUGCUUUGUUUGAGCUCCAUCUACAUUUUACACUGUAAAAAAAAUUUAAAAAAAAUUACAAAGCUUCUUAUACUAGAAUAUGAGCAACAAUAUAAAUAAUAAACAAUAAAGUUAUGAUAGCACAGCAUACUCAUUAAAGUGCUUCUUUUUUUUUUUCAGCAAGAAAUUACUACUGAAUUAAAGAAUUGGCUUUGCAUUAAGGUUUGCCUUCAAUAACUCAACUCCCCACUUGGGUUUUGUCGUUUUCUUAAAAUCUCUGCUCAAUCAAUUUAAAGAUCCAUUUUUUUUUUCUUUCCAAAGAUCUAAAAGCAAUGUCUUUUAUUGGUACCCAACAAAAAUGCAAGGUCUGUGAGAAGACAGUUUGUCCAGUUGAACAGUUAUCUACUGAUGGGGUUGUUUAUCACAAGUCUUGCUUCAAGUGCUCUCACUGCAAAGGCACACUCAAGCUAAGCAAUUACUCAUCCCUGGAAGGUGCUCUUUACUGUAAGCCUCACUUUGAGCAGCUUUUGAAGGAGUCGAGUAACUUCAACAAGAAUUUCCAAUUACCUGCAAAGUCAGCUGAGAAGUUAACUCCUGAGCUGAGAAGGUCGCCUAGCAAAGUUGCCAGCAUGUUCUCUGGGCCCAAUAAAAAUGUGCUUCUUGCAGUAAAACAGUGUGUCCGUGGGAGAACGUAGCAGCGGAAAACCAAGCCUCUCACAAGACAUGUUUCAAGUGCUCACAUGGUGGUUAUUCCAUUAGCCCGUCAAAUUACGCAGCCCUAGAAGGCAUCUUGUAUUGCAAACAUAAUUUCUCCCAAUUGUUCAAGGAAAAAGGCAGCUACAACCACCUUAUAUAAAAUCUGCUUCCAUGAAGCGUGCUGCAGUCUCUGUUCAAGAAGCUUGAACAUGUUAUGUUAUCUUCCAUAAAUCUUAUUUGGCGUGGGUUUUCUCUGGCUUGAGGGUGUGCUUUCUAUUUUGAUCCCUCUUGUUGUUUUUGCGGGGAACUACCAAACCUUCGGUUCCCUCUGCUUCUUUGGAUCAUCUUUGUUGGGACAAAUUUCAUGUAAUUAGAGAUACUGAUUUAUGGGAGGCAUAAUCCCAUGGUCGUAAAUUGACCAUUUUCUGGCAAUGUUCUUUUUAAAAAGAGAUGAGCAGUUGUUUAACAAAAAAAAUAGCUGGCCUUCAUCAUGGUAUGUUACCAAACUGCUAUGUAUAGCUGCUAACUAUGAGCAUCCGAAAAUAUGGUGCAUCGUGAUUCAUGUAGUGCAAUAUGGCUACCAACGCAUCCUAAAUGGAGUAUUACUCAGUUAGUCAGCAAAAUAAGACAACAUAACUGAUAUUAAAAAAAUAAAAAAACUACAUUAAUAAGUGGGCAAGAUCAUGCCAGUUUAACUUUUCGCGCGUCGCUGCUGGAGAUAAUCAAAUCGGGGCAGAGAAAAGGAGAAUGGAAUCAGAGGCUAAGAUUAAUAAGUGGGCUUCUGCUUGCUUUGCCCCUCUUUCUUAAACGAUUGGUAGACUGCUGCUUCCACCGAUUAACCGGGUCUUCAACCACUGCUUUUACUGCCUGCCAUCUUGUUGUUUGUCGAAGGGAUGAAUUCGAGUCGAAAAGAGAAAGCGCGCUGAAAAAGAUAAAUCACUAGUGGUUAACUGCUUACUCAGCCAAGUGUUGGCUUCACUUGAUUCACCGAUUGAGGUUAUUUUGUCUUCUAUCUAAUGCAGCGAAGAAGCUUUGCUGCUUAACAUGCUGCAAUGCAACUUUAUCCUUUGAAGUUCACACUUCAGGGCUGCGCACUUUAUGUAAUCCUAUGAGUAAAAAGAAUUUGUUUUCAAAUGUGAAAAAAGAAAAUGUAAGGUAGUAACUAAAUAUUUUAUAGCAUCAAAGCAAUAUUUGAUAUGAAUUUAGUACAACAAAGAACAUCAAAUCUGUGAUUCCUUGUCUAGUGUCACCAUCGAGCAACAAAUUUAAAAGCCUACCUAUCAAAUACACGAGGCAAUAAACGGAGAAAAAGUUGAAUUACAAGAACAAGUUUACAAUUCUUGUCAAUGGUUAAUGAUUUGUGAACUGAGACAGCUUUCAAGAAUCCAAUUUCAAUACAACAACGUAAAAGAUAAACAGAUGAUGAAUUCUAUGAGAUAAAGAAGGAGAUCGUGUUUUAUCGUAUCUCUAUUUUCUUUCUUUUUAAAUUUAAAAUAAGCUUUUCAACCGGUUUGUUAACCGGUUAUAAUAUUUUUUAAAAUAAUUAAAUAUUUUCAUUAUUAAAAAUAAUGUGUACCGUUGAUUACAUCUAACGGUAUAUAUUUCUUACACUACUAAUAUCGUAAAAAAAAAAUACAGCAUCAUAGAGGGACCCUUAAAACAUUUUCAUUUGAAAUUAUUUGGUGAAGUGAAAAAGUUAAGAAAGAAAUAGUUGUCCCUUUGGUCAUUUCACAAAAAUGAAAGCCCCAUAUAACAUGGACUUGAAUGGAAGCCCAAUUGUUGUGUUUGAUUUCAAGCUUUAUCGGACCUUUGGACCUGGAUACUUUACUGCGGCCUCUAAGCGCUACAAAUUUUUUUUUUGGGAUAAAAGGCGCUUCAAUGAAAAAGCACUUUAAAACUUUGGAUUUUGCCAAAACUUCAAAGCGGUUGGUCCGGUUACGGUGUUAUGCUAACGGGUUUAAAGGUUCUGAUCCAAUGAGUUAGGGUGGAAUAUGAAUAUAUAAAUUCCAUAGCAUGUGAGGACUAGGAUUUGUUUGUUCAUAUCAAGAAAAAAGAUCUGAAAAUUUGAUGAUCAGAAGAUAAAAACACUUAAACACGUUUAUUACAGAGAAACAAACGACAACACGAUACUAGUAGUAGUUAUUCUUUUCAUCCGAUAUAUUACAUGGUAAUAUCACCACUCGUUCCACUGGUUUCAUAUACACCAUCGACCAGCAACAUGAUAAUUUUGUGUCAGUUCAUUUUGUUUGUAGGAAAGAGCAGUAUCUUUUUUAGAACUUGAAAAUAAUAAAAAGAUUUUAAAAUAUAAAUUGCAUAUUUGUUUAUUGCUGUUGUUUGGUCUAAUUUCUUACGUAGAAUUGCUUGUCAUUCUUUGUACGUUAUUGAUUAUAUUUUUGUCAGACUUGGCGUAUAUAUUCACAUAUGUUUUAUUUUGUCAUUUUGUAGAACAUUUUUACAUGCCAUAUUAUCACGACUCUUCUGUGUCUGAAUAAGAAGAAAGCAUAAUGCGACCCUCCAACAGCUUAAUCUAUGGAAUUAUCGUGUUUUGUAAGUUGAGGUCCAAUGGCGUUUUGGCACAUCAUAUGAUAGACCACUAUAUUGCGUUGCUUUACAAAAGAUUAAUAUUUUUAAAAUUAUUAGGUAAGUUUAGGCUCAGUGGCACUUUAACUCAUGAUAUGAUAGUCCAGGUUUUCAUCAGCCUGAACAUGGACCUGUCGCCAUGGAUAACUCAGGUUUUUUUUUUUUUAAUCAACUACGUCAUCUUUUCCACUGUUUUGAAACUCUUAAGAUUAAACUUUAGUAAAGUUAUUUUAGUUAUCCAUGUAAUCAAGCUGAGGAUACUUAGCUGCCUAUUUAGGCAAAUGUCAGAAUUUAGUUUGUUCGCUGGGAACUGGUGUGGUGACAGCGUCCUGGCAAAGGAUGAUGAGAUAGUUUUUUGAUUGAGUAAAUUUUGGGAGCUUGAGUGUAUUGGGAUUUGCAAUUACAAUCAUCCUCUGCCUCAGGUGAUUUCUUCUCCUGCCCUGUCGUUGUUUGUUCUCUAAUUCAAAAUUAUAAAAUUUUUCAAUCAAAUUUUAUGCCAGGAAUAUGCAAAAGUUUCUAAUAUUUUAUUUCCAUCUGUUUGCCUUGAUAACUUUGCGGCAUAUGUACUAGUUAAAUCCCUCAAAACGUAAACAAAACUCUGUUGGUAUUGAUUCCUAAGGUGGACCAUCCUACCAGUUUAACGAUGUUUCGGCCUAUAAGUUUAUGCACUGUCGCCUAUAAGACAGUGACUAAAAUUAUUGCCACUCGUUUACAAGAACUAUUACCUGAGCUGAUCGGGCCUCAUCAGACAAGUUUUGUUCCCGGACGACACAUUGUGGACAACAUUGUUAUUGCUCAGGAAGUGGUUCACUCCAUGCGCAGAAAAACUGGUAAAAGAGGGCUUAUGGCUAUUAAGGUGGAUCUCGAGAAGGCAUAUGAUCGGCUGAACUGGUCGUUUAUUUUUGAAACUCUUCAAUUGACAGGGCUCCCGAUUCAAUUAUCUCGGCUCAUCAUGGAAUGUGUUAAAUCAGCUAGCAUGAAUAUUUUGUGGAAUGGCGAGGUAACUGAGGAGUUUUUUCCGGGAAGAGGUAUUCGGCAGGGUGACCCUCUAUCUCCGUAUAUUUUUGUGCUCUGCAUCGAGCGUUUGAGCCAUGGAAUAUCCCAAGCUGUGGGGGAUGGAAGUUGGAAGCCAAUUCGGCUGGCUAAACAUGGCACUCCCCUUACCCACCUUUUUUUUGCUGAUGAUUUGCUUUUAUUUGCAGAAGCUUCGAUUGAUCAAGCUCAUAUCAUUGAUGCGGUUUUGGAGAAUUUUUGUCGAAGUUCUGAAGUAAAGGUUAACAAAGUGAAAACUACAAUUUUCUUUUCGAAGAACGUUGCUGCAAGAGAGGCCAAGCUCAUUGGUGCUGCCUUGGGGGUUUCGAUUACUCAUGAUCUGGGAAGCUAUCUUGGAAUGCCGUUACUUCAUUCGAGGGUGAAUAAAGCUACGUAUCAAUCUAUUUUAGACAAGGUAGACAUAAGGCUCAGUGGCUGGAACGCGGCUCAUUUAUCCUUUGCUGGUCGUGUUACUUUGGCGCAAUCGGUGAUUCAAGCUAUGCCAAUUUAUGCAAUGCAAACGACCAUGCUUCCUGCUUCGGUGCGCCAUAGAAUUGAUAAGAGCUGCCGUAGAUUUAUUUGGGAUGGGAAGUCGAAGAGUCCUAAGAUGUGCAUGGUGGGCUGGGAUAAAAUCUGCUUGCCGAAAUCAAGUGGUGGCUUGGGGUUUAAGAACUUAGAGGUGAUGAAUCAUGCCCUGUUGAUGAAGAUUAGUUGGGGCAUUAUCUCCAACUCAGAUAAGUUAUGGGUGCGGGUUCUCUGUUCCAAAUAUGGAUUGGACCCAUGCAAUUUGCCGUCUUCCCUCCCUGACAAACAAGGUUCGCGUAUCUGGUCUGCUAUAAGAAAAACGUGGAAUGCAACCAUGCAUGGAGCUCGCUGGGCAGUGUGUGAUAGUGCUCGAAUUCGUUUCUGGCUGGACUGUUGGGUGACGAAAUAUGAGCCUUUGAUUCACCUAGCUCUCCAACCGAUCCCUCAGGCCUCUCUCAAUGCUACGGUUAGCGAAUUUACUAAUGAUUAUGGUGGCUGGAGAUGGGCGAGCUUUGAAUUCCUACUGCCCCCUUCUGUUCUUAUGCAGAUUGCCUCGAUCAUGCCACCUGCGCCGCAUCUUGGUCCUGAUAGACUAUAUUGGAGUUAUAAUCCAAGAGGGUUGUUCACAGUCCGAACUGCUUAUGAGUCUCUUUGCUACCAUAACUUAGACACUCAAGAUAAAGUAUGGAAAUUGCCAUGGUCUUGGAAAGGGCCCCAAUCUAUAAAGCUCUUUAUUUGGCAGACUUUGCAUGGCAAAUUGAAGACCCACAGUGAGCUUAAUAGGCGUAAUAUCCCCGUUUCUGAAGUUUGUGUUAGGUGUGGGGUUUCGGCUGAGGGCAUUCUUCAUGCUGUGAGAGAUUGUAGUUGCAUUAAGAAUCUAUGGCUUAGUCUUGUUCCAACCUGUCAUCAACUUGCUUUCUUCCAAUCCAACUUACGUGCAUGGGUUGCUGCCAACAUGCAAAAUACGUGGAAAAUUGAUUCGGAGCUUCCUUGGGAUUGUAUUUUUGGAGUGGCUAUUUGGAGAUUAUGGUUUUGGCGUAAUCAAUUUAUUAUGGCUGGGAAUUUGGUAGAUAGCAAGACAAUAUAUUCGGAUAUUAUGGCCAGAGCUAGUGAGAUCCAUAGAAUUAAUAACUCACAUCUCAGCCCACAACCAAGGCGUAAGGAGAUUUUUAUUGGUUGGUUGCCUCCUCCAUGGCCAUGGUGUAAGUUGAACACAGAUGGUUUCUGUAAACAUACAGGAGCAACUGCAGCGGGUGGGGUUAUUCGCGACUCCGUUGGUAACUGGGUCUCAGGCUUUAGUAUGAAUAUUGGGGAAAGCUCAGUGAUUAUGGCUGAACUUUGGGGCCUGUAUCAAGGAUUGUCCCUCGCCUGGAAUGUUGGAAUUAGACAUCUUUUGGUGGAAGUAGACAGCCUCUGUGUAACUCAGAUGAUUUCUCAACAGAUGGUUGUGCCUAAUGUCUCCUACGCUUUAGUGGUGGCAAUUCGUGAUUUUUUAAACAGAAAUUGGCAGAUUAAUAUCUCGCAUAUCUACCGUGAAGCGAACUCAGCUGCGGAUUUCAUGGCAAAUAUGGCCCAUUUAAUACCGCAUGGUCUACAGUUAUUCUCUAACCCGCCUGUGGGUAUUUAUUCUAUUCUUUCACAAGACAUGUAUGGGGUUUGUCAACCCCGCAUUAUUCCUAUCUAGCUCGCCUUGAUGAGCCCCUUUUAAUAAAAAAAAAAAGAAGAACAAAUCGAAACAGAGCUCAGUUAAAAGUUUCUUCUGCCGUCAUAUUUGAAAAAUGAAACCAUUUCCAGGAAGCAAUGGGCAGCAAAUUCAUAUAAAGCGUAGACAAUGAUGAGUAAAAAGGUAAUUCACAAUUUCACUUUUUUUUUAAUGAAAUUAAUUGUUUGGUUGGAGAGGAUAUUGUUAGAAGGCCAUUGAGCUAACCUAUGUCACUACUUGCCUAGAUUGCAGGGGGUCAAAACUCAAAAGAGGCAUUGAUUUUAAAAGGCAUCCAAUAAUUCUUGUGGCCAUAUAUCAAUUCAUGUAAGUUUGAUUGUAAUUAUUGGUGAAGGGGUUUCACUUCCCGUCUCUAAAUAAAAAUACUGAUUCUUUAAGGUACAUGCCACUAGGGAUUGCGAGAUUAACGAGUCUUUGGACAUUGGAAGAGCUCCUUGUGAGUGGAGGAGGAGGUGUUGAUGGUAGCAAAGCAUGUGGGCAGUGGGCUUGAAUCUCUUAAAAACUCGGAACUCCUCCAAGCGUAAGUAUACGUAUACUGGGAAAUGUGUUAGAUGUGGAUGAGGCUAAGAGAUUAGAGCUUGACAAAAUGAAAUACCUCUUUCAUUGAGACUUAAAUUUGAUGGGGAAGAAGAAAAAGAAGAGGGAAGGAGGAAGAAUGAGGAUAAUCAACUUGUUCUUGAAGCCUUGCAACCACCUCUGAAUUUGAAGGAAUUAGAGAUUUGGUCAUACAGAGGCAACAUUUGUUUUCAAAUGUGAAAAAAGAAAAUGUAAGGUAGUAAUUAAAUAUAUUAUAGCAUCAAAGCAAGAUUUGAUAUGAAUUUAAUACAACAAAGAACAUCAAAUCUGUGAUUCCUUGUCUAAUGUCACCAUCGAGCAACAAAUUUAAAAGCCUACCUAUCAAAUACACGAGGCAAUAAACGGAGAAAAAGUUGAAUUACAAGAACAAGUUUACAAUUCUUGUCAAUGGUUAAUGAUUCGUGAACUCGGACAGCAUUCAAGAGUCUAAUUUCAAUACAACAACGUAAAAGAUAAACAGAUGAUGAAUUUUAUGAGAUAAAGAAGGAGAUCGUGUUUUAUCGUAUCUCUAUUUUCUUUCUUUUUAAAUUUAAAAUAAGCUUUUCAACCGGUUUGUUAACCGGUUAUAAUAUUUUUUAAAAUAAUUAAAUAUUUUCAUUAUUAAAAAUAAUGUGUACCGUUGAUUACAUCUAACGGUAUAUAUUUCUUACACUACUAAUACCGUAAAAAAAAAAUACGGCAUCAUAGAGGGACCUUAAAACAUUUUCAUUUGAAAUUAUUUGGUGAAGUGAAAAAGUUAAGAAAGAAAUAGUUGUCCCUUUGGUCAUUUCACGAAAAUGAAAGCCCCAUAUAACAUGGACUUGAAUGGAAGCCCAAUUGUUGUGUUUGAUUUCAAGCUUUAUCGGACCUUUGGACCUGGAUACUUUACUGCGGCCUCUAAGCGCUAUAAAUUUUUUUUUGGGAUAAAAGGCGCUUCAAUGAAAAAGCACUUUAAAACUUUGGAUUUUGCCAAAACUUCAAAGCGGUUGGUCCAGUUACGGUGUUAUGCUAACGGUUUUAAAGGUUCGGAUCCAAUGAGUUAGGGUGGAAUAUGAAUAUAUAAAUUCCAUAGCAUGUAAGGACUAGGAUUUGUUUGUUCAUAUCAAGAAAAAAGAUCUGAAAAUUUGAUGAUCAGAAGAUAAAAACACUUAAACACGUUUAUUACUGAGAAACAAACGACAACACGAUACUAGUAGUAGUUAUUCUUUUCAUCCGAUAUAUUACAUGGUAAUAUCACUACUCGUUCCACUGGUUUCAUAUACACCAUCGACCAGCAACAUGAUAAUUUUGUGUCAGUUCAUUUUGUUUGUAGGAAAGAGCAGUGUAUUUCUUAGAGCUUGAAAAUAAUAAAAAGAUUUUAAAAUAUAAAUUGCAUAUUUGUUUAUUACUGUUGUUUGGUCUAAUUUCUUAUGUAGAAUUUUCAGAAUCUGUAGGACGUUAAUUUAUAACUUUGGUAAUUUAAUUAUUUUCUUUUUAUUAAUGUCCGGACAAAAAAUUAUUAUAAAAGGGUAAUAUUGUAAAAGUAAGCCAAAAUAAAUAACAAAUAACGAUAAGAGUAUCAAUAUUUUAAUAGCAGGGAUAUUUCGAGAUAUUUUUAAAAAUACAGAGACUAACUGGACAUUAAUCUUAAAAUAUAAGGACUAAAUGAGCUUUUACCCUUUUUAUAAUCCACACCAUCCUGAUAUAAUUAAACACCAUUAAUAAUGUACCAGCCUUUUAAUAGUAAUUAAUUUAUUUAGUUGGCCACCUAAAAGAAUCCUGCAGGAAAUACUAGUUAAAAAAUUUAUUAAAUUUGAUUACCUCUGUAUCAUUAUAUAUAUAAAGACUGAAAUCCAAAUGAAAUAUUUUAUCAUUCAUUCAGCAAACACUUAUAAAACACAAAUAGUGAAUCUAUGCAUUGACAAUGUGGAUUAAGAAUUAUAACACAUGAAUUCAAACAUACCCUCGUGAAGUUAAGAAUAAGUUCAUACUUCAAAUGAUUUUUUUAGCUAAUAAAGCAAUCACUUUCAUUAAACGACAGUGUUGAAGGAAUUGUGCAAUUUUUUACGUUCUUUUCUAGACAGACGUUACAGAGAUGGGGAAAGUAGAGGACUGGCCUCAGAUAUCUCACAAUUAUUAUUCUUUUUCAUUGUUAUAAUAAUAAUUUUUUUCUUUUGACAGUUCUGCAGGACAAGUGAUCAGAGCUCAAUGAAUAUAUCCGUGGAGGGUGAACUUAGGUUGAUGUCAAAAGAGGUAAAUGAAUUGGCCUGUUUAUAUAUAUAUAUAUAUAUAUAUAUAUAUAUAUAUAUAUAUAUAUAUAUAUAUAUAUAUAUAUAUAUAUAUAUAUAUCAUAUAUAUAUAUAUAGAGAGAAAUGUUCCAGUCAGGAAUUUUAAAGUGCAGGAAAGUACGGGAAACCUUUAAAACCGCAUGGUUUUAAAGGCUUAAAACUGUAAGCCUUUAAAGCNNNNNNNNNNNNNNNNNNNNNNNNNNNNNNNNNNNNNNNNNNNNNNNNNNNNNNNNNNNNNNNNNNNNNNNNNNNNNNNNNNNNNNNNNNNNNNNNNNNNAGAAUUUCUCUGUUAAUAUAUAUAUAUAUAUAUAUAUAUAUAUAUAUAUAUAUCAUAUGAUGCAGGCCACAGCAGAGCAGGAUUAUGAAAAAGAGAAGCUUAUUAAUAAGUGUUUACUUGCUUUUGAAAUAUAUAUAUAUAUAUAUAUAUAUAUUUCAAAUUCAAGUUUACUUGCUUUUAUAUAAUAAGUGUUUUGGCCGAUUUAUCUAAUUCACCAAAUGUCAUUUCCGGUACAUAUCUCCAUUGGUAUCAAGAAGAGGCAGAACCCAAAGAAACGUUUCUUGCAUCUUCAUAUUUAUGCGAAUUCAUCCUUUCAUUGAGAAUAACCAUUUCCAGCCGGCAGUUGGCAAUCAAUACGCACGUCGAUGCUAUUCAUAGAUAUUAAAGACAAUGAUGAACCAAAGGUGAUAAAUCAUAAAUGUAUAAUUACCAAACAUCCAUCCUUCUCUCAUUAUGAUUUGAUUUUAAAUGAAUUAUUGCUUGGUAACAUUAUUUCCAACCAUUGCAAGAUUAUUAUUAUUAUUUUUUUUUGGGAGAAAUUUCAAUUGAAAGUGAAACCUUUAGACAUUUACCUAAUGAAGUUAGUUACUCGGGAGGGUGGAAAAAAAAAAGUUGACGCAAGUCAAUACACAAUAAUUAAUUAAAUCCGGAGUGACUAAAACAGAGCCACUACUUUUUCAAAAAUAUCUGCAUUCAUCACUUUCUCCAGCAGCUAGUCAGCUACACACGAAUCAAUUUCUCUCCUCGUUUGUCAUCCAAAAUUAUUCACCAAUACCAUGGUUGAUGCCGUCGUUUCCACUAUCUUGGAGCAGCUGAUUUCCUUCGCUGCUGAAGAGAUAAAACAACAGGUGAUCGAAGUUACACCCCUCAUAUUACAAAUACUUCCAAUGAUUUUAAUAAAUUUUGUUUUUAUCAAAAACAUUAUAUAUUUUUGCUUUAUUUUAUUUAUCUGGUAAUUUUAGAUUUUGAAAUUUGAAUUGAAUUUAAUUAAAAGGUGAUGUAGUUAGUAACCACUUAUUUUUAUUUUAUUUCAUUUAUAUUCUCAAUAACUACUCAUAUUUUGGUAACUUACUAUAACUUUCAUAUCUAAGAAAUGAUCAAAACCCACAAUUUUAACUCAGCACGAAUAUUCAACGUUGAGUCAUUAAUUCUAAACUCAGCACUGAAUCCCAUAGCUAUUACUUAGACUCUAUGAAAAAUUUCAUAGUUUUCUUACGUUCUUUGAGUUUGGUAAGUGAUUUCGUAUAAUUUCUUUUCAAGUUAAAUUUUAAUUUGGUUUAUGAUAUAGUCUCUGUGCCGAAUUGUAUCUUUUAUGAUUCUUGGAUUUUGGGCUUCAACUUUUUAGGAUUUGAUAGUCAUAUAUUUAUGCCAUGCUCAGAUUGAUUUUCAUGAUUUUUAGUAGCCGUUAAGUGACUUACAAUUUGACGAAAGUUUGAAAGGAAAAAUGUUUCAGGAUUCUGUUUUAAUUUACCUUUUAGUAGAAAUAGGAUGCUUAUAACUUAAUGUGGAUGGUUCGUAAAAUCAUGAAAUUUGGAUAGGAUUCACUAGAAAUAUGUACAAGACUCUCCAUAAAGUUUCAUAAUUUUUCAUUCGGUAUGGGGUGGUACAGGUGAAACUUGUGGUUGGUGUUGAAAAAGAAGUGAAAAGCCUUACCAGCCACCUUGAAGCCAUUCAAGUUGUGCUCGAUGAUGCAGAGGAAAAGCAAGUGAAGGACAAAGCUGUUAGUCUUUGGCUGGGUAGGCUCAAGUACGCAUCCUACGACAUUGAAGAUGUGUUGGAUGAGUGGAUCACAGCAAGACGCAAAUUGCAAAUUGAGGGUGGCGUUGAUGAAAAUGCUCUUGUUGUUCCUCAUAAGAAAAAGAAGGUAUGUCUCUGCUUUCCCGGCUCUUGUUUUGGAUUCAAACAAGAAGAAUUUGGUUUCAAACAAGUCUUUCUCCGUCAUGACAUUGCCGACAAGAUCAAAGAAAUCAAUGAAGAGCUACAUGAUAUUGCCGCUCAAAAAGACAUGUUUGAUCUUGUUAAGAGUGGCAAUAAAAGUAGUGAAAGACCAAGGCGUGUACAGAGUACCUCCUUGAUUGAUGAGGAAGAGAUUUGUGGUAGAGUUGGUGAGAGGAAUGAACUCAUAAGCAAGCUGUUGCGUGAGAGUAGCGAGCAACAAAAAGGCCUCCAUAUCAUCUCAAUUGUUGGUAUGGGAGGCAUAGGGAAAACUACUCUUACACAACUAGCUUGUAAUCAUGAUGAGGUGAAGAGAAAGUUCGACAAAAUUCUGUGGGUGUGUGUAUCAGAAACUUUUGAGGAGUUUAUGGUAGCCAAAGCGAUCGUUGAAGUUUUGGAUGGUCGUGAAUCUCAUUUAGCUGAAUUCCAUUCUCUUCUUCAACAUAUUUAUGAAUCAAUUGCAGGGAAGAGCUUUCUUCUUGUCUUAGAUGAUGUGUGGGAUGGAAAUUACUUGAAAUGGGAACCAUUCUACCGUUGUCUAAAGAAUGGUCUCCAUGGAAGUAAAAUUUUAGUUACCACACGUAGUGGGUCUGUUGCAUCCACGAUGGGAUCCACAGAUAUUAUCUCCGUCAAGGAGUUAGCUGAAGAGGAAUGUUGGUUGUUGUUUAAAAAGAUAGCAUUUUUUGAUCGGUCCAUCGAGGAACGUGAAAAAUUAGAACAAAUUGGGCAAAGAAUUGUAGGCAAGUGCAAAGGUUUACCUCUUGCAGCAAAGACAAUAGGGAGUCUCAUGCGUUCUAAACAAACUGAAGAAGAGUGGAAAAGAAUUUUAAAUAGUGAUUUAUGGAAAGUAGAAGAGAUUGAGAAAGAUGUUUUGUCCUCUUUAUUGUUGAGUUAUAAUGAUUUGCCAUCUAGAGUAAAAAGAUGUUUUUCAUAUUGUGCUGUCUUUCCAAAAGACUACGAUAUAAAAAAAGACGAACUAAUCACAUUAUGGAUGGCUCAAGGUUAUCUUAGUGCGGAACAAGAUGAAGAGAUGGAGACAGUAGGUGAAGAGUAUUUUGGCAUCUUAGCUUCUCGCUUGUUUUUUCAAGAGUUUAAGAAAAGUUAUGAUAAUCGUAUUAUAGAGUGCAAGAUGCAUGGUAUGGUACAUGAUUUUGCCCGAUUUGUAAGUCAAAAUGAAUGUUUUUCGAUGGCAAUUAAUGGUAGUGAAGAACCAAACGCCACAAACUCUCUUGAUGAGAAGGUCCGUCAUUUAAUGUUAAUCUUUAGUAAAGGGGCUUCAUUACCUGUUUCCACUCGUAGAGUUAAAAGAAUGCGUACCCUCGUAAUUAACGAUAGUAGAUCAUUAAAUGGCGAGAUCCUAGAAGAAUUAUUUAGGGAAUUGACAAGUUUAAGGGCAUUAGAUUAUGGCGGAUCGCCCCACUCAAGGCCGUUGUUGACUGCGGAGGUUCCAAGAAACAUAGAAAAGCUGGUACAUUUGAGAUACCUUAAUUUGUCUUUUCAGAAAAUAGUGAAACUACCGGAGACAUUGUGCGAGUUGUAUAAUCUAGAAAAGUUAGAUAUUAGUUGUUGUUUGUAUCUUAGAGAAUUACCUGAAGGGAUUGGGAAGUUAAUAAACAUGAAGCAUUUACGAAAUAGAGGUACUAGUUCUUUAAGGUACAUGCCAGUAGGGACUGGGAGAUUAACGGGUCUUAGGACCUUGGGUCAGUUCCAGGUGAGUGCAGGAGGAGGUGUUGAUGGUAGGAAAGCAUGUAGGCUUGAAUCUCUUAAAAAAUUGGAACACCUUCAAGUAUGUGGUAUACGUAGACUGGGUGAUGUAUCAGAUGUGGGCGAGGCUAAGCGAUUAGAACUUGACAAAAAGAAAUACCUCUUCAGUUUGACCCUUGAGUUUGAUAAGAAGGAAAGAGGAGGAGAAACGAGGAAGAACGAGGACGAUCAACUUCUUCUUGAAGCCCUGCGACCACCUCUGGAUUUAAAGGAAUUAGUGAUACGGUACUACCGAGGCAACACUGUUUUCCCCAGCUGGAUGACGUCAUUAAUCAACUUAAAGAGUUUAGAUCUCUCUUCCUGCGAAAAUUGCGAGCAGCUGCCUCCUUUGGGAAAAUUGCCGUCCCUUGAAAAACUCGGCCUAUCGGACAUGAAGAGUGUGAAAAGAGUGGGUGAUGAAUUUUUGGGGAUAGAAAGUGAUCAUCAUGGCUCAUCUUCAUCUUCAUCGGUUAUUAUUGCCUUCCCCAAAUUGAAAUCACUCUCAAUUGAGUUUCUGCGCGAAUUGGAGGAGUGGGAUUAUGGGAUUACAAGAACGGGAAACACCGUCAUCAACAUCAUGCCACGUCUUUCUUCAUUGACAAUUGUUGAUUGCACCAAAUUAAAGGCACUGCCCAACCACAUUCAUCAAACGACAACGUUGAAGGAAUUGUGCAUUGUGGAUUGUGAGCUUCUGGAAGAACGUUACCGCAAGGGGGAAGGAGAAGACUGGCCUAAGAUAUCACACAUUCCCAACAUAGAUAUUUUUUAAGAAGGAUUUGCGCAUUCGAGAUUUGGCGUUGACAAGUAAUUUCUUCUCUUACUCUGAUUUGCUUUGUUGUUGUUUUUAAUCUAAUUAAGAAGCGUAAAUAGCAUUUUGAAUCAAACUCUAUAUCCGAAAUCUGCAAUACAUACUUUCUAAUAUUCUGAUUUUCAUAUCCUACCAUUUUUAAUUUGUGAGAUGGGUAACGUUACUGUAAAAGAUUAUUAAUGGAACAUGAGUAAUUCUUUUGCAGGACAAGUGACCUACAUUUAGUUUGGCUUUGGAGUUGAAUAAUAACCUUUCAAGGCCAGGACCCAAAAGCAGGAAAAACAAAAAAAGGAACGAAGCUUAAUUUUGCCACAGAUUACAUGUAUUGCCAUUAUUGACAAGUUUCUGGACAAGUGAUCAAGGGUGAGAGUGGUGCUACAACAUUGAAUAAAGCAGUCGUGACUGAAUUUAGGUUGUGUCAAAAGUGGUAAAUUAUUUGCAUGUGUAGCUAAUUUGACCAUUUCCUGAUCUAUAAGUCUAUAUUAAUUUUGAUUUUUAGUUGAGUGAUUACAUUUCAAGGUUUGCUUACUUAACAGGGCGACCAAUUUCUUUUAACUAAAUGUAUUAUAUGAUGCAGGAAGCAAGGCAGGAUAUGAAAUAAGAAGCUUAUUAAUGGCAGUUGGCAGUGAAUGGAGGCCCUUGACUAAAUUCUCAAGCGGUUGCACUGCAAUUACGCUUAUCCGUAGCCUCAGGUAAUUUCUUCUUCUGCAUUUUUGUAAUUUGUUAUCUAAUUAAGGGGCGUGAGCUAUUUUGAAUCAAAUUCUAUAUCAGGAAUAUAUGCAACAUUUUUUAAAAUUUUGAUAUGAGAGUAAUGAUGGUAAUUUCUCUUUUUUGUCUGUCAUCGAAUGUUAAAUAACAUUCACUAAGACUCUUGAGAGUCAUUUUUUGACAAUUGCAGGACAAGCGACGAAGAGUGAGAAUGGUGUUAGAUUGGGGAUUGAGGCAAAAGGAGGUAAAUUAUUGGCAGAGAAUUUGGGAGCUUGAGUGUACAGGGAUUUGCAAUUACAAUCUUACUCUGCCUUAGGUGAUUUCUUCUCCUGCUUUGUCAUUGGUUGUUCUCUAGUUGAAAAGCAUAAAGUAUUUCAAUCAAAUUCUAUACCAAGAAUAUGCAAAACUUUAUUUCCAUCUGUUUGCAUUGAUAACUUUGCGGCAUAUGCGCUAGUUAAAGAACAAACAGAAACAGAGGUCAGGAACAAGUUUCCUCUGCCGUCAUAUUUGAAAAUGCAACCAUUUCCGGGAAGUAGUUGGCAGCAAAUUCAUAUAAAGUGUAGACAAUAAUGAGCAAAAAGGUGAUUCACAAUUUUAUUUUUUUUAAAUUAAUUGUUAGGUUGGAGUUGUUAAAAGGCCAUUGAGCUAACCUAUGUCAUUAGUUACCUAGAUUGCAGGGGGUCCCGAGACUCCAAAGAAGCAUUGAAUUUUAAAAGGCAUGCAAUAAUUCUUGUGGGCGUAUGAGUUUGAUUUAGAAUCAAACUCUAGAUCAGAAAUCUGCAAUGCAUAUUUUCUAAUAUUCUGAUUUUCAUAUCCUACUAUUUUUAAUUUGUGAGAUGGGUAACGUUACUGUAAAAGAUUAUUAAUGUAAUAUGAGUAAUUCUUUUGCAGGACAAGUGACCUACAUUUAGUUUGGCUUUGGAGUUGAAUAAUAACCUUUCGAGGUCAGGACAACAAAAAAAUGAAUCUUAAUUUGCCACAGAUUGCACUUAUUGCCAUUAUUGACAAAUUUCUUCACAAGGGAUCAAGGGCGAGGAUGUUGAUAGAAUAUUGAAUAAAGCUGCCGUGACUGAACUUACGUUGAUGUCAAAAGAGGUAAAUUAUUGGCAUGCCUGACUAUUUUGACCAUUACAUGAACAUGAGUUUACAUUAAUUUUGAUUUUGAGUUGAGUGACUUUUUAAGGUUUGCUUACUUAACCGGGUGAUGUGAUGCAGGAAGCAGGGCAGGAUAUGAAAUGAGAAGCGUAUUAGUGGAAGUAUUGCCAGUAACAGAACCCAAAAAAAAGUGGAACCAUUUUAAGGCAGCAGUUGGCAGUUGGGAGUGAAUGGAGGCCCUUGACAAAAUUCUCAAGCAGUUGCAAUGCAAUUACGAUCAUCCUCAGCCUCAGGUAAUUUCUUCUCCUGCUUUGUUGUUAUUUGUUACCUAAUUAAGAAGCAUAAAGUAUCUUGAAUCAUUUUCUGUAUCUGGAAUAUAUGCAACAGUCUCUAAAAUUUUGAUGACUGUAAUGAUUGUAGUUUCUGCUUUCUGUCCGACAUCGAAUGUAAGACGACUUUAUUAAGACUCUUGAACCGAGACAUUUUUGACAAUUGAAGGGCAAGUGCUGAAGAGUGGGAAUGGUGCUAGAUUGGGGAAUAAAGCAAAAGGAGGUAAAUUAUUGGUAGUUUCUGCAGCCUUGUUUUCUUUGAAUCAGCACCUGAUUCACAAGACUCCAUUAAUUUGGCUUUUGAUGAGCUGAGUGAUAAAUUUUCAAUUUCUUUGGUGCUAAAUGUAUGUGUGAAGCAGGUAGCAGGGCAUGACUGUGGAAAAGAGAAGAUUUUAGUGAAAGCUGAAACUCAGAUAAUUCUACAUUUAUCUAAUUCACGAAAUUUUAUUUCCAUCUGUUACAAGAUCAAACUGAAGCAGAACUCAAAGAAAGUAAUCUACUUCUUGCGGCAAUCUUGCCUUCGCUCAGAUUAUGAAACCAUUUCCAUGCACCAAAUUCAUCCAAAAGUUUGAAUAAGUUUCAUGGUUGGACACUGUUGGCUUCUUUUUCUUUUGGGGUGCAUUUUGGUGCUACCAAGUGACAGCUGCAAGUAUGAUUGCACUAACCUGCUGCUGGGAAAUUUGAGGUUUUGAUGGCUGCCCAUGUUAUUGUCAAGAAACUCCUCAUGUAAGAAGCUGUGGUUCUUUUCAUCAGCUUGAACCUGAAACUGUUGCUAUGGAUAACUCACGUUUUUAUUCUCAACUAUAUCAUCUUUUUUAGUGUUUUGAAACUCUUAAGAUUAAACUUUGGUAAAAUGUUUUCAGUUAUCCAUGUAAUCAGGCUGAGGAUAAUUUAGUAAAGUUGUUUCCGCUAUUCAAAUGAAAAACCCCAUUGAUUUUAACCAUGAUAAAGCUAAUGUUCCCAAUGAUUACUGCAGGUGAGACUUGUGAAGAGGGUGAGUGAGGCAACUGCUAAAAUUCCUGGCUGGGAUACAGUAACUAGAGGCUGAGAUCAGGUGGUGGAAUUUUUUGUUCCGUGGAUGAUACCAGAAUUGUCCAGAAAAGAUUUGUUGAUACUAAUUACAGAUGAUAGAAAGAGGUAUAGGUGGAGAAGAGAAAUCUGCGAGUCAAAUUAGGGAUAAUUGAUUCUGAUACUAGUUAUAUUGAAAAUAAUAAUAACAAUUGCAUGAAGAUAGUCAAUAUUCUUCUCUAGAUAUAUUGUAUGGACUUCCUUGCUGCCUUUAUCUAUGUGCAUGUUGACUAAAGCUAAUCUAGAAUCAAUAGAGAGGGAUAUUUAUCUAUUUUGUUUAACAUAAGAGUGCUGUAUAAUUUUUCACUAAAUACACCUACAACAAACUAUUAAUAAUAAAGUGAUAGAAGAAUGCCUAAAAUAUAGGUAUUAAUGUCAUAAUAAGCCCAUGUGGAUCUCAGUGCCGCAAGUUCGAUAAAUGGCUAUCAAGGAUUGCUUAUUAAGUCAAAAUAUUCAAAGGACAAAAUGGUAAAACUAUAAGGGUGGAGUAAUAUGGCUAUCUUGGGUUACAUAGUAAGUCAACUACAUUCAAAGUAUAAAAUAUUAGAACCUGAACGGCGGAGUAGUCGUCGUUAGAACCUGAACGGCGGAGUAAUCGUCGUUAGAAUCUGAAUGAUAUGUCUAAGACGUUGCAUGCAUCUAGAAAAUUGCAGAUGAUUAGACCUUGCCAUCUAUGCGUUGUAUGAGGUUAUAGCAACUAUCUAUCUGGUCACCGUUUUCAAGUCUCAAUUGGUAGUCCAAACUCCAAAGAAAAGAAUGAUUCUACAAUAGCAUUAAGUGUUAAUUGGACACAAAAAGAAAUGUUUUAACCACUUUAAGGAAAGUAAAUGUAAUUUUGUGUCCUAAAGAAAAGGUAAAUGUAUGCACUGUCAAUUAAUCUUUGGUCGACCAGCAACAUCAUAAUUUUGUGUAGGUUCAUUUUUGUUUCUUAGAGUUUGUAAAAAGAAUGGGAAGAUUUUAAAAUAUAAAUUUCAUAUCUGUUUAUUACUGUUGUUUGGUCUAAUUUCUUAUGUAGAAUUUUCAGAAUCUGUAGGACAUUAGUUUAUAAUUUUGAGAUUUUGCAGCCAUAAAUGUUUUUUUUUUCUUUUUUCUUUCUUUUUUUUUUUGUUGGCAUUUUAUUUUGCUCCUUUAUCUAUGUGCAUGUUGACUGGCUGCAGUGAGUGAAAAUUUACCCAUAUAUGCUGGCUAUUCUUGGACAAUAUUAGAGAAAAUAAUCAUAUUAUUUCGCUUGAUGUGAACUUCCAUAACUUAUCAAUUGAAUUGCUGUAAAAUAUUAAAUAGUUUUAUUUUUCUUUUAUCGUGUAACUUGGACCAAAAAAGGAAAUGAGUUUAACACGACCCUCAUUCUGCUUCUUGCUUUGGUUUCAAACAAGUCUUUCUCCUUUAUGACAUUUAUUGUAAUUUCAUUUGGAGACAUAUAUCUGUCGUUCAAAUAUAUUUCAUACGUAAGCUGUUAAUAAUUCUGCUUGCAGAAAGCCUACAAAGCAGCUGUGUGAUGUAAUAGAAGACCAUAGUCUCGUCAAUUUUUCAACAUUAGAUAUUCAGGUCAUCAGCUUCUCAUGAAUUCUUUCCUGAGUUUCUUUGAAUUAUUUGUGAUGUAAUAACUUGUGCAUUUGAGAAACUGUUCUCAUGAAUUCUUUCCUGAGUUUCUUUGAAUUAUUUGUGAAUAAGUUCCUAAUCGGCUGCUUCUCCUCAGGAUAAGGAAAGUGUUGCAAACUGGUGAAGCAGCUGAUAGAUAAAAGCAAUGGGUACAUCUUUGCUGGCAUGGAUCGAUGCCAGUGCGGUUGAAUUCAGCAAGACUGCCGUUCGUGAUGUUGUUGAUUGGGAUUACAUUAAGGAUGAUGACAACAUUGAUUAAAAUGGGACGUGAAGAUAUAUGGUGUGCAAAUUAACCCAACCCAACCAAACCCGUACAUUUUAUCAACCCAACCCAACCCAACCCGUAAAAAAUCACACGGAUUAGGUUGGUUUCACGGAUUGGGCGGGUUAAUUCUAAUUUCUUUAUAAGUUUACCAAAAUUAGAUCUGCUUACCUUUGUUCAUUCAGCAACAACACUUACAAUUCACAGCUAGAGAAUCUAUCCAUUGACAAUUGUGGAUUAAAAUUAUAACACCUGAAUUCAAACAUAUCCUUAUGAAGUUAUGAAUUUGUUCAUACUUCAAAUGAUUUUUUUUUUCCAAGCUAAUAAAGCAACGACUUUGAUCAAACGACGACGUUGAAGGAAUUACGUAUUUUCAAUGUCCUUUGCCAGACAGACGCUGGAGAGAGGGAAAGGAGAAGACUGGCCUAAUUAAGAUAUCUCACAAAGAUUAUUAUUGAGUUAAAAUGUUAUUGUAAAAGAUGUUUAAUACAAUAAUAGUACUUCUUUUGCAUUGUUAUAAUGAGGCUGGCGGGUUUCCUCAGAGGAUGGAUCUGGCUCGCUAGUAUGCAUUUGGGAAGCUGCUAAUUAUCGGCCAUAAAAAGUCAGGGGGUUGUGGCUCGUCCGUCGCCCAGAAAUUCCUAAACUCAUAUAUCAAACUUCAGAUGAACUUGGGCAUUAUGUAAAUAUGUAUUUUUGAGAAUUAAACUAGUGCGUUAGAAAAAUUUUGAGCCAUUGUAAUCAUUUUAUUUUGCUAAGAGAAAAUUUUACUCUGUGUUUCGCUUUGCCUUUUGUUUUUUCUGUGAUAAUAUGAUUCAUACGAAUGUGAUUACACACUAUCAUGCAUCUAUUUUCAUUUGCUUGUCAUGAAUGAUCAACAUGCUCGAAAUAUUUAUUUAGGUUGGAAAUAUUUAAAUCUAUUAAAAUACUAUACACACCCAUUUAAAAAUAAAAAUAUGAUUAUCAUAAUGAUCGCGAAGAUAACACGAUAUCAUACAUAAAAUAAAAUAUUUCGCAAAAAAGAAAAGAUACACUUGAAUACAUUGGUAUAAAAAAUAUUUUAGUGGAUUCAAGUAGCACUAAUGCCCCCUUAUCAAAAAAUAUAUAAAGAUAACUAAUCUGAUUGGGUAUACCGUGUGUGUGUGUAAUAUUUUUUGAUAUUAUUAUAUAAUAUUUUUUAAAAAGAAGAGAGUGGGCAAAGUCCAAAUCAAUUUUCUAAUCCCUAUCUCCUUUAGGAUUUCUAGUCAAAGAGGCUAAAUUGCACGAAAUUGUGCUAGCUUAUUUGAUUUUAAAAUUUUCCAAUGCACUGUAACACACUCUCAUGCUUGUACAUAGCUCGAAAAUCUCUAGAAUUUACCAGAGUAGUGUACCAUGUAGCUUGUACAUAGGUUUUUCUGGAACACUCCAAGCGUUACUAAGCAUAAGAGCUUUGAGAACUCUCUAGACAUAAAACAUUCAAGGGUAGGCCUACCCUAAAAAUAGGGCAUGAUGAUUGCCAUUUGAGCAUACAAGAAGUAAGAACAAAUCAAGUAUAUUUGUAAGCUCCCAAACUCUCUCGUACACACUCUUGUGAAUAAUAUGCUUUCUCUUUGACUACAUUACUCUCUCUUCUCUCUAGUUUUUUUCGUAAGUAUCAUAGCUUAGCUAGUCGAAAAGUUCAAGUAGGAAUGAUAAUUUUUCCUGACAGGAUGUGGGAUCCCAUCUCAUUUGGGACGGGAUUGGGACACAUUUUUAUCCCACAAAAAAAUAUAGGGACGGGAGUAGAAAUUUUUUUAUCCCACUUGUAUAUAUGGGACAGGACUGAGAUUAACAAAUUCAGUCUCGUCCCGUCCCGUCUCAUUACCAACUAGGGAUGGAAAUUUUUCCAAUUGGGAUGGGCUCUCGCAGAAUCCCAUUUAUUUUGGGAUGCAAUUGAGACAUAUUUUUAUCCCAAAAAAAUAUAUCGAGAGUGAGACUUUUUUUUAUCCCACUUGCAUAUUCGGGACGAGACUGAGAUUAGUAAAUCUCACCCUAUCCCAUCCCAUUGCCAACCCUAAGUUCAAGGCUUACUUUGCAAUUAUCUCAUAAAAGUUGUUUUAAGUACCACAGGAGUUUGUUGUGCAAAAUACUCAUCCCGUGACAUUAGCUAAAUAAAAUUAUUUGAAAGCCACUUACCCAAACUAUUAAACAAAUAUUAUUCUUUUAAUAUGUAAUCUUUUAAUAUAAAACUUUUGUCUUAAUUUUCUAUCUCCUACAAUAAAUUUUAUGAUUUUAAAAAUUGAAAAAAUUAGUAACUUUUAGAUAGAGCAUUCCUUACUGUGAAAAGAAAUAUGAAUGGUAAUAUAAAACUUACUUAUUAUAGUAUAAUGCUUUUAGUUUUUUGAAAUAUAGGUUCUUAUUUUUUUCAAGAUAAAGUUCAAAGAAAACAAGUUAAAUGUUGUGGAAAAUCUUACGCACAUACAAUAAAUUAUGACAGCUAAAUGCAAACCUGGCUGAAGUAUUAGUUGUUUUAUUACAGAGACAAAAGGACAAUAUCACUAUCCAAGUCAAAAGCAACUCAAUGUGAGUCUUAGGGCACUCGCAGUGAAUCCCAAGAUAAACUAAUUUCACUAGCAAGUUGGAUACCAAAGAGUAAGGCUUCAGCCUCAAUUAUAUUAACAUUAGCUGAGUAAACAUUAAAUACCACAAUCAAUCUCAGAAAUCAUAAUUAAACUAUCAUGAUUAAAAAUAAAGUUUUUUUUUUAGAUAUCCGUUUGUAGUAUCUCUUUAGAUGACAAGUAGGAGAUAAAGUAAAUAAAUAUUGGUUGCGUAAAUAAAAAUAAAUAAAUUUUUUAACUGAAAAAAAAAUUCCUAAAAACUAAAUAGUUCAAACUUUUUUUAACAUGAAAUAAAUAUUUGAUGCGUAAAUAAAAAAAAUUUAACUGAAAAAAAUUCCCAAGAACUAAAUAGAUCAAACUUUUUGUUUAACAUCAUGGGUUUUGUAUAUUCAAUUGAACCGAACAACUAAAUUAAAUCGAAAUUACCAUGUUCGGUUCAAAUGAAUAGACGAAAACCGAACAGUUUAUAUUUUUAUGAACUGAUGGUGCGUUUACUUCAUGAAAUGAAAAUAUGGUGGAAUGAGAAUGUGUUAAAAUGAAAAUGAGGAAUGAGAAUGAGAUUCUAAUGUUUAUUUAGUAAAAAUAAAGGGAAAUGAGAAUGUGCUGGAAUGUCAUUGAUGUGUUUAUUUGACAAAAUAAAUGACAAAAGUAUCAAUUCGGAUCCUGCUAAUGAUAGUUUGCCAUAUCCUUUGUCAUUGAACUUUCUUACAAAUGCUGUGGUUUGUUGUAGUAUAAUUAGUUCAAUCAGAAACUUCCUUGAUGUUAAUAUAGAUAUGAGUGUGCUGUGAAUAUUGAGGACUUCAUUAGACUAAGUGAUGUGAUGAUGGAGCAUUCACUUGGUCCCAAUGGAGGUUAGUCAGCCCAUUGUUGUUUACUCUUUCUUGCUUUAUCACGCAAUGAUAUUCCUUUGCUUCACAACAAAUUUCAUGAAAUUAACUUCAAUCGAGUGGCUAUGUUCAUACGCUAUUGAGAUUUUAUGGACAAUGAUUUGGUAGACUUUAUAUGCCGUCUUCUUUCUUUUUGCAGUGAUAUGUUUGUAUGCAAUGCACUUGUACUUGUUCUAUGGUUUCUAAAGUAGGCGUUUUUAUGAUAAACUAGGUCUUGGGUAUUGUAUGGACUAUCUAGAGAAGAAUAUUGACUGGUUGCAGUCGAAAUUGGAACCACUUUUGAAAGGUAAGAAGUGGCCAUUUUCCUUCAUUCUAAUGCCAAUAAUGCUGUCAUGAGACUCAUAAAAAUUGUUAAAACGUUAAUGUUUUUGGUAUUUUGCAGAUCAUUAUCUUCUGUUUGAUUUUCCUGGCCAAGUUGAAUUAUUUUUUCUUCAUUCCAAUGCCAAGAAUGUUAUAAUGAGACUCAUAAAGAAGUUAAAUCUCAGGGUAUUGUUACAUCUUACGUCUAUGAAGGGACUCAAAGAGUUGAGAUGAAUUCAUCAUUAUUAUUUUGAUGCCAGAAUUGUGCAAUUCUCAGUUGCUUCCUUUCACAUGCAGUUGACUGCAGUGCAUCUAGUUGAUGCGCAUCUUUGCAGUGACCCCGGGAAGUAUGUUAGUGCUUUGCUUCUCUCGUUGUCGACGAUGCUACAUCUGGAAUUUCCCCCAUGUCAAUGUCUUGUCUAAGAUCGGCCUGAUUGAGAAUUAUGGAAAGCUAGGUGUGGUUUUAAGUGUAGCUCUCCUACUUGUUUGUUUAGAUUGAGAUAUCAGAUAUUGUCACAAGCUCCUAUCUGCUACAUUUCCUCACCAAUCAAUUACUUUGGGUAUGUUGCAGCUUUUAAUCUCGAGUACUAUACGGAUGUGCAAGAUUUGUCAUUUUUACAGCAUGCUCUGGGUCAGGACCCUCGUUCUGCUAAGUAUAGGUUUGAAUUCUAGCUGAAUCAAUGAUGCAAAUUAUGUCCAUUGCUAUUUCUGACUGUCGUUUCUAUCAUUUUCAAUUGUUACCUCCCCUUGCCAUCUACUGCCAUACUGCAAUGCCCACACAAAUGUUAUGAAAUUUGUCAAUGGAAAUGACAUUCUAUUUGUCCAGAGACAGCUCUUAGAUGCAAGUGAACAAUUUUUGGCUUUGGCCGUAGUACAGCCUUAGAUUUCAACUUGCCAUAUCUUGUCUCGGAAGUCAAAAGAAAGCAUAUAUGUUAGCCAAAUUUUAUUUGAAUUUCUUGUGUAACAAUGAAUGGGGAAAAAAAACAGUUCCUCUUUUGUUUUGAUCAGACUCAAUGAAUAAGUGGUUAAAAUGUGCCUGUACUAGAAAUAUAGAUGUGUGGUUUCAUAAAAUUUUCUUGAUCUUAAGAAAGAGUUAUCUUGAAAAGAAGAUAACAUGGGGAAUUGAACAACUAUACAGUCAUAUUGAUGUCUGUCAACUUGGGUCAUAUGGUGUCGUUUGGAUGGAGAUGUUAGGUCCCAGAUGGUAAACUUGUUAUCGAAUUCCAGUCUACUUCAUUCAUGCUUUGAUGACAUAUGUGGUGCAGCUUCUUAUCUAAGACCUGCAUAUGUUACAGUCAACAUUCUGUUCUGUAUUUGGCUGCCAUUCUUUUCAAUGAAUUCAAACCACUUUCUGAAUACUUGGAAAUUCAUCCAGUGUUGUCAUUGAGAUGCCAAUAUGAAAAGAAGCCAUAAUUGCCCUUGAUAGUAUGCUUAUUGAUUGCCUCUUGCCUCACUCAACCUCAGGAAUCUGCUUGUAUGGUGUUCUUCUAAUUUCAAUUGGAGAUAAAUAAUAUCUGUUGUUCAAAUAUAUUUUAUUUACAAGCUGUUAAUAAAUCUGCUUGCAGAAAGCUUACAAAGGAGCUGUGUGAUGUAAUAGAAGUCUACAGUCUGGUCAAUUUUUCAACCUUAGAUAUUCAGGUCACCAGUUUCUCUUGAAUUCUUUCUUGAGUUUCUUUGAAUUAUUUGUGAAUAAGAUCUUAGUUGACUGCUUCUCUUCAGGAUAAGGAAAGUGUGGCAAAACUUGUGAAGCUGAUAGGUAAAAGCAAUGGGUACAUCUUUGCUGGCAUGGAUGCCAGUGCAGUUGAAUUCAGCAAGAUUGCCGUUCGCGAUGUUGAUUGGGAUUAUUUCGGAUAUCCUUCUUUUCACCUAUUUUCAAUCUUGUUAUUCUCAUAUUCAUAAAACUUUUUGGUUAUUUAAUUAUGGUUCAUCAUAUGCAUCUGCAUCUUCUAACUUGUUCGUUUGAGAAACUAAUUUUGCCGUUAGGUAGGCUUCGAGCUUGAUGAGUUGAUUCAUGCUUUUUCAUAAAUGUACCAAAAUCAUGGAAACUUCUUUUUCCCAGAUAUUGUAUCCACACUUUUCCCAUAUAAUUGGGUCAGACAAGUUUUGCUUAACAAAGAUAUCUACAGUAGCCGAAGUGCAGGAGAAGUACAUUAAGGAUGAUGACGAUGUUAACUAAAAUGAGACGUGAAGAUAUGUGGUGUGCAAACCGUAAGCCUGCCUCUUAAUUUUGUGCAUGUUUACUUGCUUGUGAUUCACGUUUGUUAAUCUAUUUUGCUCUCUUGCAGGAGUUAUAAAGUUUUCAAUCAAUCAAACAUUUAACUCAAGUCCUUAGCUCUUCACGGCUUGAAUGGGUCAGAUAGGACAAGCGCCGAAGAGGUGGUUUUAAUCAAACCCCUCCUAAUUAUGAUGUAUGGUCCGAAUCUCGGACUUUUUGUACAAUAUCAAGCGAUUUUUUUUUGGUUGAAUCGGCUAGUGUACGCAAAUGUCGAUUAUUGAUUUUUCUCCAGUAUUGUUUGUAAUUACAAGAAACGAAGUAAUGAAAUUUAUCACUGCGUUCAUAGUUAUGCUUAAGCUCAAAGAUUACCGUCAAGAUCAUUUUGGGCCCUCAAAGAAACAUGAUGUUGACACAUGUAAAAUUAUGAAGCUUGUGAUUAAAAUACUUUUCACAUAUAUAUGUUAAGUUCUAUUAAUAAUUAAAUAUAUGAAUAAAUAUGGUCAAUGAGGAGAGGAUAAAAUAAAAUGGUUUCAUUUUUUGAAUUACCCAUCCGCUUCAAACUUCUAAGAAGUAGAUAUACAAUCAGUGGAAUACUGAAUUGAGUACGAGCUGCGGAUAACUUAUAAAAUUGGGAUACAAGCUUCAAGGAAAGUGUAUUGCUAUUCAAAUGUAGAUUUCAAAUUAAGAAGAUAUGCCAACAAAUUAUUCUAAAUGAUGAAAUGAGCUAUCUUGAUCAAAAGGUCAAGAACCUACCUUACUUCUCUUAGAGAUAACUUGCAUCAACCGUUGUGGUAUUGAUACUUGUCUUCAGCUAGUAAAAGUGAAAGUUUCACAAUUGAAAUAAAGCUAAGGGAAGAUGCUAUGCUCCAUUUAUUAUUAUUAUUAUUAUUGACGUGGUCGAGAAGUAAAGCCGUGCAUAUGAUGAAGUAUAAAUAAGAAUGCAAUAGCCCGGAAUUCAUUUACACAAACACUUCAAUAUCCUUUCGAUCACUUUUGCAAACAUCAAUUUGUCUCCUCUUGUAUUCACCAUGGUUGAUGCCAUCGUUUCCCCUCUCGUGGAGCAGCUGACUUCCUUCGCUGCUAAAGAGAUAAUACAACAGGUGAUCGAAGUUACACCCCCCAUAGUAUAAAUACUUCUAAUGAUUUUAAUUGGUUUUGUUUUUAUCGAAAACAUUAACUUUGCUUUAUUUUACGCAUUUAGGCAUUUUAAAUUUUGAAAUUUGAAUUGAAUUUAAUUAAAAUGUGAUUUAGUUAGUAACCACUUUUUUUUUUCAUUUAUAUUCUCAAUAACUACCCAUAUUUUGGUAACUUACUGUAACCCCCGUAUCUAAGAAAUUAUCAAAACCCACAAUUUUAACUCCACAUAAAUAUUCCAUGUUGAGCUAAGUUCGAUGUUGAGGUAAGUUUUUUGCAUAACAUUCAAAUUUGUCAAAUAGUCAUUAAUUUAAUGUUUAGUAAAAACUCAUCUCUGAAAAAUUUCAUAAUUUUCUUACAUUAUUUGAGUCUGGUAAGUGACUUCAUAUAAUUUCUUUUCAAUUUAAAUUUUAAUUUGGUUUCUGAUAUAGUCUCUUUACUGAAUUUAUAUCUUUUAUGAUUCUUGGAUUUUGGGCUCCAACUUUUUAGGAUUUGAUAGUCACAUUUUAUGGCAUGCUUAGAUUGAUGUUCAUGAUUUUUAGUACUCGUUAAGUGACUGAGAAUUUGACAAAAGUUUGAAAGGAAAUCCGUUUCACGAUUCUUAUGUGGAAGGUUCGUAAAAUCAUGAAAUUUGGAUAGGAUUCAUUAGCAAUAUGUACAAGACUGUCCAUAAAGUUUCAUAAUUUUUCAUUCGGUCGGGGGUGGUACAGGUGAAACUUGUGGUUGGUGUUGAAGAAGAAGUGAAAAGCCUUACCAGCCACCUUCAAGCCAUUCAAGCUGUGCUCAAUGAUGCAGAGGAAAAGCAAGUGAAGGACAAAGCUGUUAGACAUUGGCUGGGUAGGCUCAAGUAUGCAUCCUACGACAUUGAAGAUGUGUUGGAUGAGUGGAUCACAGCUAGACACAAAUUGCAAAUUGAGGGUGGCGUUGAUGACAAUGCUCUUGCUGCUCCUCAAAAGAAAAAGAAGGUAUGUUUCUGCUUUCCUGCCUCUUGUUUUGGAUUCAAACAAGAAGAAUUUGGUUUCAGACAAGUCUUUCUACGUUAUGACAUUGCCAACAAGAUCAAAGAAAUGAAUGAAGAGCUACAUGCUAUUGCUACUCAAAAAGACAUGUUUAAUCUUGUUAAGAGUGGCAAUAAAAGUGGUGAAAGACCAAGGCGUGUACAGAGUACCUCCUUGAUUGAUGAGGAAGAGAUUUGUGGUAGAGUUGGUGAGAAGAAUGAACUCAUAAGCAAGCUGUUGCGUGAGAGUAGCGAGCAACAAAAAGGCCUCCAUAUCAUCUCAAUUGUUGGUAUGGGAGGCAUAGGGAAAACUACUCUUGCACAACAAGCUUGUAAUGAUGACGAGGUGAAGAGAAAGUUUGACAAAAUUAUGUGGGUGUGUGUAUCAGAAACUUUUGAGGAGUUUAGGGUUGCCAAAGCAAUGGUUGAAGCUUUGGAUGGUCGUGAAUCUCAUUUAGGUGAAUUCCAAUCUCUUCUUAAACAUAUUGAUGAAUCCAUUGCAGGGAGGAGCUUUCUUCUUGUCUUGGAUGACGUAUGGGAUGGAAAUUACGUGAGAUGGGAACCAUUCUAUCGUUGUCUAAAGAAUGGUCUCCAUGGAAGUAAAAUUAUAGUUACCACACGUAGUGGGUCCGUUGCAUCCAUGAUGGGAUCCAUAGAUAUUAUUCCCAUUAAGGAAUUAGCUGAAGAGGAAUGUUGGUUGUUGUUUAACAAGAUAGCAUUUUUUGGUAGGCCUAUCGAGGAACGUGAAAAAUUCGAACGAAUUGGGCGAAGAAUUGCAGGCAAGUGCAAAGGUUUACCUCUUGCUGCAAAGAUAUUAGGGAGUCUUAUGCGCUCUAAACAAACUGAAGAAGAGUGGAAAAUAAUUUUAACUAGUGAUUUAUGGAAAGUAGAAGAGAUUGAGAAAGAUGUUUUGUCCUCUUUAUUGUUGAGUUACAAUGAUUUGCCAUCUAGAGUAAAAAGAUGUUUUUCAUAUUGUGCUGUCUUUCCAAAAGACUACAAUAUAAAAAAAGACAAACUAAUUACAUUGUGGAUGGCUCAAGGUUAUCUUAGUGCAGAAGAAGAUGAGGAGAUGGAGACUAUAGGUGAAGAGUAUUUUAGCAUCUUAGCUUCUCGCUCUUUCUUUCAAGAGUUUGAGAAAAGUUAUGAUAAUCGUAUUAUAGAGUGCAAGAUGCAUGAUAUGGUACAUGAUUUUGCCCGAUUUGUAAGUCAAAAUGAAUGUUUUUCGAUGGAAAUUAAUGGUAGUGAGGAACCAAACACCAUAAACUCUCUUGAUGAGAAGGUUCGUCAUUUAAUGUUAAUCUUUAGUAAAGGGGCUUCAUUACCUGUUUCCACUCUUAGAGUUAAAAGAAUGCGUACCCUCUUAAUUAACGAUAGUAGAUCUGAUCAUUCAUUAUUAAAUGGUGAGAUCCUAGAAGAAUUAUUUAGGGAAUUGACAAGUUUAAGGGCAUUAGAUUUUGGCGGAUCGUACACACAUUUUUCUUUGACUCUGGAGAUUCCAAGAAACAUAGAAAAGCUGGUACAUUUAAGAUACCUUAAUUUGUCUUGUCAGAAAAUAGUGGAGCUACCGGAGACAUUGUGCGAGUUAUAUAAUCUACAAAAGUUAGAUAUUAGUGAUUGUUUUAAUCUUAAAGAAUUACCUGAAGGGAUUGGGAAGUUAAUAAACAUGAAGCAUUUACGAAAUAGAAGUACUAGUUCUUUAAGGUACAUGCCAGUAGGGAUUGGGAGAUUAACGGGUCUUAGGACCUUGGGUGAGUUCCACGUGAGUGCAGGAGGAGGUGUUGAUGGUGGGAAAGCAUGUAGGCUUGAAUCUCUUAAAAACUUGGAACACCUUCAAGUAUGUGGUAUACGUAGACUGGGUGAUGUAUCAGAUGUGGGCGAGGCUAAGCGAUUAGAACUUGACAAAAAGAAAUACCUCAUCAGUUUGACCCUUGAGUUUGAAAAGAAGGAGGAAGGAGGAGGAAGGAGGAAGAACGAGGACGAUCAACUUCUUCUUGAAGCCCUACAACCACUUCUCAAUUUAAAGGAAUUAGAGAUACAGUACUACCGAGGCAACACUGUUUUCCCCAGCUGGAUGACGUCAUUAACCAACUUAAAGAGUUUAGAUCUCUCUUUGUGCCUAAAUUGCGAGCAGCUGCCUCCUUUGGGAAAAUUGCCGUCCCUUGAAAAACUCAGCAUAAUGUUUAUGCCUGUGAAAAGAGUGGGUGAUGAAUUUUUGGGGAUAGAAAGUGGUCAUCGUGACUCAUCUUCAUCUUCAUCGGUUAUUAUUGCCUUCCCCAAAUUGAAAUCACUUUCAAUUGAGUCUCUGGACGAAUUGGAGGAGUGGGAUUAUGGGAUUACAAGAACGGGAAACACCGUCAUCAACAUCAUGCCACGUCUUUCUUCAUUGGAAAUUAAUUACUGCCCCAAAUUAAAGGCACUGCCCGACCACAUUCAUCAAACGACAACAUUGAAGGAAUUGCGCAUUUGGGGGUGUGACCUUCUGGAAGAACGUUACCGCAAGGGAGAAGGAGAAGACUGGCCUAAGAUAUCACACAUUCCCAACCUCCAUAUUGGGCUUUGACAAGUAAUUUCUUCUCUUACUCUGAUUUGCUUUGUUGUUGUUUUUAAUCUAAUUAAGAAGCGUAAAUAGCAUUUUGAAUCAAACUCUAUAUCAGAAAUCUGCAAUACUUACUUUCUAAUAUUCUGAUUUUCAUAUCCUAUGAAUAUACGAUUUUUAAUUUGUGAGAUGGGUAACGUUACUGUAAAAGAUUAUUAAUGCAAUAUGAGUAAUUCUUUUGCAGGACAAGUGACCUACAUUUAGUUUGGCUUUGGAGUUGAAUAAUAACCUUUCGGGAACUGGUGUGGACUGGCAAAGGAUGAUGAGAUAGUUUUUUGAGUGAGUAAAUUUUGGGAGCUUGAGUGUAUUGGGAUUUGCAAUUACAAUCAUCCUCUGCUUCAGGUGAUUUCUUCUCUUGCUCUGUCAUUGUUUGUUCUCUAAUUCAAAAGCAUAAAAUAUUUCAAUCAAUUCUUAUACCACGAAUAUGCAAAAGUUUCUAAUAUUUUAUUUCCAUCUGUUACAAGAUCAAACUGAAGCAGAACUCAAACAAAAGUAUGCUACUUCUUGCGGAAAUCUUGCCUUUGUUCAGAUUAUGAAACCAUUUCCAUGCAGCAAAUUCAUCCAAAAGUUUGAAUAAGUUUCAUGGUCGGACACUGUUGGCUUCUUUUUCUUCUGGGGUGCAUUUAGGUGCUAUCAAGUGACAGCUGUAAGUAUGAUUGCACUAAGCUGCUGCUGGGAAAUUUGAGGUUUUGAUGGCUGCCCAUGUUAUUUUCAAGAAACUAUUGAUGUAAGAAGCUGUGGUUCUUUUCAUCAGCUUGAACCUGAAACUGUCGCUAUGGAUAACUCAGGUUUUUGUUAUCAACUAUAUCAUCUUUUUCACUAUUUUGAAACUCUUAAGAUUAAACGUUAGUAAAGUUGUUUCAGCUAUUCAAAUGAAAAACUCAUUGAUUUGAGACUUCCUUCAUUAUUGUUUCUAAUUACAAUGCUAACGAUCCAGAUAAGAUAAUAUUUAAUCGGCGAAGGUGUCCCUUGGAAGUACAUCCUUCUUUUUCUUUUAUUAUAUAAAUUCUUGCAAUGAGCUUAGUGAAGCUGUUGUGCUAAUCAUGCCACUGCAUAAUUUGGCCCCUAAUGUGGGUACUCUGUUACAUUGUUCUGCAAAUUCUCCAGAAGUUAAAAUCAAUAAAUUUUCUAUUAGCUCUAGUGCUUUGACCUAAAUGCUAUUCUAUAUUCUGAUUACAAUGUUUUAACCUUUAAAUUAACUACCCCUAGAUGUUGGAUUUUCUAGAACUUCAAAUUAUAUAUAACCUUUAAAUUAUAUAUUUCUGUGUCUCUAUUUAUAGAUGACAUUUAAGCAUCCAUAAACCGUCAGACAGAGGAAGGGGGUUCAGUGCAAAGAUUCUGUUGACCUAGGGUUGACUGCAUAUGUCACUUGUUCGCAAUCUAAUAUUUAUUUUAUAUUUUGAAAAAUUUAAUGGGUAAUCCUAAUUGUUUGUUUUGGCAGGUAUGUGUUGUUAUCUCCUUCUAUCUUACAGUCGUACCUAAAUAGCAUAGUUUCAUCUGUGUUACCAUGUGAUGUACAUAAUUUCACAUUUGCCUCAGAUUAAGCUUAAUUUCCCACAGAAUAGAGCUGUCGCGACUGGACUUAGUUUGAUGUCCAAAGAGGUAAAUUAUUGGCAUGCCUAGAUAAUUUGGCCAUUUCCUAAUUCAUAAGUCUACAUUAAUUUUGAUUUUGAGUUGACUGAUUUCUUUUCAAGGUCUGCUUCCUUAACGGAGUGACCAAUGUUUUUCAACUAAAUUUAUCAUAUGAUGCAGGAAGCAGGGCAGGAUAUGAAAUGAGAAGCUCAUUGGUGGAAGUAUUGCCAGUAGCAGAACCCAAUGAAAAUGAAACUAUUUCAAGGCAGCAGUUGGCAGUUGCAAGUGAAUGGAGGCCCUUGACAAAAUUCUCAAGCAGUUGCAAUGCAAUUACGAUCAUCCUCAGCCUCAGGUAAUUUCUUCUCCUGCUUUGUUUUUAUUUGUUAUCUAAUUAGGAAGCAUAAAGUAUCUUGAAUCAUUUUCUGUAUCUGGAAUAUAUGCAAGAGUUUCUAAAAUUUUGAUAUGAGUGUAAUGAUGGUAAUUUCUGUUUUCUGUCUGUCAUCAAAUGUUAGAAAACUUUCAUUGAGACCCUUGAACCGAGUCAUUUUUGACAAGUGAAGUGCCGAAGAGUGAAGAGUAAGAAUGGUGCUAGAUUGGGGAAUAAAGCAAAAGGAGGUAAAUUAUUGGCAGCUUCUUCAGCCUUAUUUUCUUUGGACCAGUGCCUAAUUCACAAGUCUCCAUAAUUCGGCUUUUGACCAGUUGAUAGAUAAAAUUUUAAUUUCAUUGGUGCUAAUGUACCCGUGAAGCAGGCAGAGAAGGACUGUGGAAAAGAGAAGGUUUUUAGUGAAAGCUUAAACGCAGGUAAUUCUAUAAAUUAUAUGUUUUUGCUGAUUUAUCUAAAUCAGGAAAUUUUAUUUCCAUCUGUUACAAUAAAACAGAAACAGAACACAAAGAAAAAUAGUCUACCUCUUGUGGCAAUCUUGCCUUCAUUCAGACUAUGAAACCAUUUCCUUUCACCAAUUUCUUCCAAAAGUUUGAACACGUUUCAUGGUUGGACAUAGUUAGCUUCUUUUUCUUUUGGUGCAUUUAGGUGCUAUCAAGUGACAGCCAUAAGUAUGAUUGCAUUAUUGGGAAAUUUUAGGUUUUGAUGGCUCCCCAUGUUAUUGCCAAGAAAUUUUAAGUCCUCAUGUCAGAAGCUGCGUUUCUUUUCAUCAGCCUGAACCCGAACUGAGGUUUUUGUCAUCAACUAUAUCAUCUUUUUCACUGUUUUGAAACUCUUAAGAUUAAACUUCAGUAAAGUUGUUUCAGUUAUCCAUGUAAUCAGGCUAAGGAUAUUUAGCAGCUUAUUUAGGCAACUGCCAGAAUUCAGUUUGUUUGCUCGAAACUUGUAUGGUGACAAGGAUACUGGCAAGGAUAGUGAGAUAGAUUUUUGUGUGAGUGAAUUUUGAAAGCUUGGGUGUUCUGGGAUUUGCAAUUGCAAUCAUCCUCUGCUUUAGGUGAUUUCUUCUCCUGUUCUGUCUUUAUUUUCUCUCUAAUUGAAAGCAUAAAGUAUUUCAAUCAAAUUCUGUACCAGGAAUACGAAAAACUUACUAAUAUUUUAUUUCCAUCUGUUUGCAUUGAUAACUUGGCCGCAUAUGUACUAGUUAAAGAACAAACAGAAGCAGAGUUCAGGAAAAAGUUUCUUCGGCCACCAUAUUUGAAAAUGAAACCAUUUCCAGGAAGCAGUUGGCAGCAAAUUCAUACAAAGUACAGACAAUGAUGAGCAAAAAGGUGAUUCGCAAUUUCAUUUUUUAAAAAUGAAAUUAUUUGUUAAGUUGGAGCUGAUAUUGUUAGAAGGCCAUUGAGCUAACCUAUGACACUACUUGCCUAGAUUGCAGGAGGUCAAGACUCAAAAGAUGCACUGAAUUUUAAAAGGCAUGCAAUAAUUCUUAUGGCCAUUUGUCAAUGGUGGAAUGCUUUUAGCUUCUUUUCCUUUCGUGCAUUUUGGGGUUCUAUCAAGCGACAGCCGUAUGCAUGGAUGGAUAUAGCCGCUGCGUUGAUUUCUAAUGCGUUGUAUGAUGUUAUAGCAACUAUCCAUCUGGUCAAUGUUUCAAAAGAAUAAAACACAGGGAAAAAGAGAAAGCAAGUGGCCAAUCAAGUAUUCAUGUCCCAAAGAAAAGAAUGAUUCGACAAUAGCAUUAAGGGUUAAUUGGACACAAGAGAAGUGUUUUAACCACUUCAAGGAAUGUAAAUGUAAUUUUCUAUUCUGAAGAAAAAGUAAAUAUAUGCACUGUCAAUUAAUCUUUGGUCAACCAGCAACAUUCAUAAUUUCGUGUAAGUUUCAUUUCUGUUUGUUGGAAAUAGCAGUGUAUUUCUUAGAGUUUGUAAAAAAUGGAAAGAUUUUAAAAUAUAAAUUUCACAUCUGUUUAUUACUGUUGUUUGAUCUAUUUUCUUAUGUAGAAUUUUCGGAAUCUGUAGGACAUUAAUUUAUAAUUUUGAGAUUUUGUAGCCAUAAAUGUUUUUGUUCUUUUUUUCUUUUUUUUGUUGGCAUUUUAUUUUGCUCCUUUAUCUAUAUGCAUGUUGACUAAAGCUAAUCUAGAAUCAAUAGAGAGGGAUAUUUAUCUAUUUUGUUUAACAUAAGAGUGCUGUAUAAUUUUUCACUAAAUACACCUACAACAAACUAUUAAUAAUAAAGUGAUAGAAGAAUGCCUAAUUUUUCGUACUUUUUAAUUUCUUUCAGCCCUAAAAUAUAGGUAUUAAUGUCAUAAUAAGCCCAUGUGGAUCUCAGUGCCGCAAGUUCGAUAAAUGGCUAUCAAGGAUUACUUAUUAAGUCAAAAGUAUUCAAAGGACAAAAUGGUAAAACUAUAAGGGUGGAGUAAGAUGGCUACCUUGGGUUACAUAGUAAGUCGACUACAUUCAAAGGAUAAAAUAUUAGAACCUGAACGGCGGAGUAGUCGUCGUUAGAACCUGAACGGCGGAGUAAUCGUCGUUAGAAUCUGAAUGAUAUGUCUAAGACGUUGCAUGCAUCAAGAAAAUUGCAGAUGAUUAAACCUUGCCAUCCAUGCGUUGUAUGAGGUUAUAGCAACUAUCUAUCUGGUCACCGUUUUAAAAGAAUAAGACAAAGGGAAAAAGAGAAAGAAAAGAAUGAUUCGACAAUGGCAUUAAAGUUCAACGUACCCCAAGAUCUUGUAAUAAUGCCAUUAAUCAUUCUCUAGCUAGGCUAGCCUUAGAGAAAAGUGAAACUGUUGCACAGGUAGAAUCACACCCCUCAGAGAUAAUGUAUUUAUUCAGCUCUUCGAAUGAAUGAAGUUUAUUUUCUCGUCAAAAAAAAAAACUGCUCGCUCCGCUGGUUUCAUACAAUGUCAACUAGAAACAUCAUACUUUCGUGUAAGUUCAUUUCAGAAUAUUUCUUAGAGUUUGUAUAAAAUGAAAAGAUUUUAAAAUAUAAAUUUAAUAUUUGUUUAUUACCGUUGUUUGGUCUAAUUUCCUCGGGAGAAUUUUCAGAAUUUAUAGGACAUUAGUUUAUAAUUUUGAAAUUUUGUAACCUAAAUGAUUUUUUUUUCGGUUACCAUUUUGUUUUCCUGCUUUAUCUACGUGUAUGUUGACUAAAACUAAUCUAUUUUGUUAAACCUUUACCACUCUAGACAUUGCACUAAAUAUGAGUUCGUGAUGCUUGCAUUUUAUUGAUGCUGAUGAUUCGUUGAAUGUUUUAUGUUUUUGAUUUUUAAGUAUUCCGGAUCGAAGUUUGUGUCUACGCGGAAAUUGUAAAGGCAGCAUAUAAAGUACUCGUCGUUCUUUAGAUUUUAUUGAGUACACUUUUGUCACAUUUAGCGUAUGCUAUACACUACUGAUUUGCGCAUUGACAUAUAUCUUUUUUUUUUAUGAGAGGGGGCUCGUCAAAACGAGCUAAACAGGAACAAACCGGGGGUUAGAAAUCCCAAACAAGUCUUGCGAAAUGAUAGAAUAAACACCCAUAGGAGGGUUAGAGAACACAUGGAGGCCAAGAGGAGCUGAAUGAGCCAUAUUAGCCAUGAAAUCCGCAGCUGAGUUUGCUUCGCGAUAAAUAUGGGUGAUAGCAGUCUGCCAAUUUCUACUUAGUAAUUCCCGGACAGCUGAUAAUAAAGCAGUGAACGCAUUAGGAACAACCACCUGCUUAGAAAUCAUUUGUGUAAUACAAAUACUAUCCACUUCCACCAACAACCGUUUUAUGCCUACAUCCCAAGCAAGAAUUAGGCCCUGAUACAGCCCCCAAAGCUCAGCCAUAAGCACUGACCUGUCCCCAAUUUUCAUACAAAAGCCGGAUACCCAAUGACCAACUGAGUCUCGAAUAACACCUCCCGCUCCUGCUUCCCAAGUAUUUUUACAGGAGCCAUCUGUAUUUAAUUUACACCAUGGCCAAGGCGACGGCAGCCAAUGAAUAUAAAUCUCCUGUCUCCUCGGCUGCUGGCUUAGGCAAGAAUUAUUUACUCUGCAAAUUUCUUUAGCUCUCGCCAUAACAUCCAUAUAGAUUGUUAGACUAUCCACCAGCUUUCCCUCAAAGAAAAAAUGGUUCCUCCAGAACCAUAGCCUCCAAACUACCACACCAAAGAUACAAUCCCAGGGGAGGGGAGACCCAAUCUUCCAUUUAUUUUGCAGGUUCCCAGCAAUCCAUUCUCGUAAGUUCGAAUUGAAGAAAGUGUUAUGACUGGCCAUCGGAACAAGCUUCCGCCAAACCUGCUUGAUACAGCUGCAGUCUCUCAAUGCAUGGAGGAUAUCUUCAACCGCACCCCCACACCUAUCACAAUCCUCAGGAACAUUAAUAUGGCGCCUAACAAGUUCAUCACGAGUCUUGAGUUUCCCAUGCAUAAGCUGCCAAAGAAAAAGGCGGAUGGAUUGAGGCCCCUUCCAACUCCAUGGAAGCUUCCAAUUUCUGUCAUGAACAGCAGCUUGAUGAUAGCAAAGUGAUUCAUAAGCUGACCGAACCGAAAACAUGCCGCUUGGAUCAAAGCCCCAGUAAAUAAUAUCAGCCCCAAGAUGAGGAGCCGGAGGCAAGACUGAAGCAAUCUGCAUGAGAAUACCAUGCGGCAGAAGAUGCUCAAAGCUCGACCAAUUCCAUCCCCCAUGCCCAUUCGUAAAGUCACUCACAGUGGCAUUGAUAAGCUCGUGAGGAAUCGGCAAGAUGGCAAGGCUGAUCAGAGGAUAUUUCGUAGCCCAACAAUCAACCCAGAAUCGAGUUCUAACACCAUCACGAACUGACCAGCGAGCUCCCUGCACUGUUGCCAACCACGUGCUACGAAUAGCCCUCCAAAUCUGAGAACCCGGUUUGUCUGAAAGAGACAUUGGUAGGUUGCGAGACUCCAAACCAUAUUUGGAGCAGAAGACUUGCACCCACAGUUUAUCCGAAUUGGAAACAACCUCCCAGCUCAAUUUCAUCAACAUCGCCUGAUUCAUUUCGUCCAUUUUUUUGAAUCCCAGGCCUCCAUGUUUUUUCGGCUUGCAAAUUUUGUCCCACCCCACCAUACUCAUCUUGUGACUCUUUGAAUUCCCAUCCCAAAUAAAUCUUCGACAAGCUUUGUCUAUUUUAUGUCUCACUGGAGAAGGAAGUAAGGUCGUUUGCAUGGCAUAAACAGGCAUUGCUUGCAGGACUGAUUGAGCCAGAGUGACGCGUCCAGCAAAAGAUAGAUGAGCCGCGUUCCAACCAGUUAACCGCUUAUCCACUUUAUCAAGGAUGGAUUGAUACGUGUAUUUAUUAACCCGCGAAUGGAUUAAGGGCAUUCCAAGAUAAUCACCCAAAUUAUUUGUGGCCGAAACUCCCAAAGUCGAGCCUAUGAUAUUGGCAUCCCGAGAAGCGACAUUUUUUGAGAAGAAAACUUUAGUUUUCAUUUUGUUGACUUUUGCUUCCGAACUCCUACAAUAAUUAUCCAGAACAGCAUCUACGACAUAAGCUUGAUCAAUUGAAGCUUCCGCAAAUAAAAGCAAAUCAUCUGCAAAAAAGAGAUGCGUUAAAGGAGUUCCAUAUUUGGCCAACCGGAUAAGCCUCCAUCUCCUCUCCAUCACCGCUUGGGUUAUACCAUGGCUUAACCGUUCAAUGCACAGAACAAAAAGAUAAGGCGAGAGGGGAUCGCCCUGACGGAUACCCCUUCCCGGAGUGAAAGCUUAUGUCGCCUCGCCAUUCCACAAAAUACGCAUACUAGCUGAAGUUACGCAUUCCAUGAUUAGUCUAGAUAAGUGAAUUGGAAUACCAGUCUGGUUAAGCGUAUCAAAAAUGAAAUCCCAACUGAGCCGGUCAUAAGCCUUCUCAAGGUCGACCUUAAUGGCCAUAAAUCCUUUCCUGCCAGUUUUUCUGCGCAUAGAGUGAACUACUUCCUGAGCCACUACAAUAUUAUCUACUAUAUGCCUCCCAGGAACAAAGCUCGUCUGAUUGGGGCUUAUUAGAUUGGGCAGCAGUGUUUGCAAUCGAGUGGCUAUAAUUUUAGUCACCGUCUUGUAGGCCACUGUGUAUAGGCUUAUGGGCCUAAACAUCUUUAAGCUAGUGGGGUGCUCCUCUUUAGGAAUCAAAACCAAGAGGGUAGUAUUUAUCUCUUGCGGCACCUUCCCCGUUGUAAAAAUAUCAUGAAUAAACCUGCAAAACGACGGACCAACCACAUGCCAUUGGGAUUGAUAAAAUAUAGCGUGCAAACCAUCCGUACCUGGGGCUUUCAGCGGCUUCAUGCUAAACACAACGUUCCGAAUUUCCUCCCUCAAAAUUGGGGCUGCAGCCCCAUCUACGUCAUGAGAAUCCAAGGCUGGGAAAAAGUUUGGAGCAUGGUAAUUCCGAUAAGUUGCAUUAUCACUUGUAAAUAGGUCAGAAAAAUACCCCACUACAUGCCUCCUUAUAUCCUCCUCAUCAUAUAGCCAAUUCCCCGAACAGUCUCGGAUGGCCUCAAUUCUAUUCCGCCGCCUUCGAGCAAUGGUUUUUUGGUGGAAAAAAUUCGUAUUUCUGUCCCCAUGCAGAAGCCAAUCCUUUCGAGAUUUCUGAAGCCAAAGAAUUUCCUCCGAUUCAUCACCAUUUCGAGCUCAUUUUGCAUGCGGGCUUAUAAGCGCAACAAACUGUUAGAGCUAUAAUUCUCUAGAGUAGCUUGAAUUCCAUUAAUCCGAGCCAUAAGCCGGCGUUUUCUCUGAAAGAUAUUCCCAAACACAUCUCGAUUCCAAGCUUGAACCUCCUGGACAAAAUGAGAGGCUGCUGCACUAUAAUGGAUUUGCGGAUUCCACACCCGCUUAAUAAAGUUAUGAAAAUGCUCGUGAGUUAACCAAGCAGCCAAAAAGCGGAAAGGCCUGUUCCUCCUGUGACCGGCCACAGCUCUCUCAAACCGAACCAGCACCGGCCUGUGAUCCGAGGCAACCUUCGGGAGGUGGAGGACAGAAUUAUUCGGAUACUUAUGUAGCCAAUCACUAUUGCACAGAGCUCUAUCAAGCCGUUUAAAGAGCAAUCCACGUGACCAAGUAAACCUUGGACCUUUAAACUUUAAAUCAAAAAUUUGGUGCCCAUCAAACCAUUUCCGAAACAGAUUACACACUCCUGGGUUCCUGGCCUCACCCCCCUGCUUUUCAGAGGCAUAUAAGAUAGAAUUGAAAUCCCCACCUAUCAGCCAAGGGCCUCGAAUUGAAGGCGCAAGGUUCUCCAUAUGGCUCCACAACUGUCUCCUUAGCAUUGGAUUUGGGCUGGCAUACACAGCCGUUACCCAAGACACAAAGGUCUUAUUCAUACAAAAUUUAAAGUGAAUGAACUGCCUAUGAUUAAUUAAGACUUCCACCUCUAUGGAAUUUCGCCAAAGAAGCCAAAUUCCUCCAGAAAAACCCACAGCUUCCACCCGGUGCGAAUACUCAAAUCCACUUUUCUUUAUAAAGUCAUCGGCUUUAGCACCACUAGUGCGAGGUUCCAUUAACACCACCAUCGAUGGAUUGUAGUUUUUAAUAAUUGUUUUAAACGAGCGCCUAAAUACCCCCGAGGCUGCCCCUUGUACAUUCCAGAACAUGAUACUAGCUGACAUAAUAAAAAUAACAGGAGAGAAACAAACGUCUACUGCUGCUGUCCAAGGACUUCCUCCAUCCACGCCAAUGGCGUUUCUUGAACCAUCUCAACUUCAUUCUCAACCAUCCCAUCGCCAUCAACACCAUUUAUAGGUACAACUGGAUGGUUAUGAGCACUGUCACCUUCAUUCACCCGAUGGAUGGUUUGAUCAUCUGGAGGGUCUGCUACUUGUUGUGGAUCCGGACCUUGCCUCUCUAUGUGUUCCGCGGUCACGUCCCUUUCAUCACCAUUAGGAAGGGUUUGGGAGGAGCAAACAAACACUGUGUGUUUAGAGGGGUCCAGGGUGGUUGCGAAUGGUGCCACGAGUUGAUUGCUAGAAGCUUUCUGAGGGAAAAUAUGGGGUUCAAAGCUUCGGUUUGCAUGAGGUAGGAUGGAUAUUUCCUUCUCUCUGGUGCUGAAGACACUAGGCUGGAGAGGGUUACAGGUAGGAGUUACUGGGACGUUUGGUUUCCUGCUCUGAUUCCUUGCUGCCACGGCCUUAUUUUGCGGCUUACGACGAGCCAUAGUCUUUGCUGAGGUAUCUGCUCUGGCUGUGAAAGUAUGGUUUGAUGCGGGCAUGAAAGGUUGCCGUGAGGUGGAAGGGAAGUCUGGGCAAGCCUCAUGCACAUGGUUUCCACCUUCAUCCGAGACUUUGGAUAAUAUGUGAAACCGUGAGGUACCAGCUCCAGUAAACUCCCUAUUACGGUUUGAGUCUCCAGUGUUCUCCUUACCAAUAUUCGGCUUCCUUCCUCUCCUAGUGGCAAUCAUCCAGGGUCCGAAUAGUUCCACAUUAUUAUCACCAUUACUACCUACAGCCUGCUGGCCAGGAGCCUCAUUUUCCGGCACUGCCUGUUGGGGUUGACCAGCAUCUUCAGGGCUUGUCGAACUCUUAGCAUCCUUACAGUUGCUGCUACUAUGCCCGUAAGAUUCCACACUUAUAACAAAUUACUGGCAAUCCCUCGUAUUCCACCUUCUGGAUCUUCCCAUCCAAUUCAAACUGAGAUACCAGCGGCCUUGUUAACGAGAUACUUACUGCAAGACGUGCAAAUCUUCCACGAGAUGAGGAGGCUGUAUUCGAAUCGAUUUUAAUCACGUUACCCACUAACUGACCCAGCUUCUGUAGAACUUUUCGAUUAUAAAGAUGAACCGCAAGGCCUGGUAAACAGAUCCAUACCGUGACUUGAUCAAGAUCCGCAUUUGUGAAAUCAAAAGAGGGUGUCCAUGGCUGCACAGUUAAAUAUUGACCCAUUAUAAGCCACGGUCCCUUAGUUAAAACAUCCAUAGCAUCCCCUACCGAUCUGAAACGAACCAGAUAAUAAUUGUUUUCCAAGUCAAUCACGGAAAAACCCAUGGCUGAUUUCCACAUGACAUUUAAUCUUGCACACAUAGCUCUAUAGCCAAUUGUGCGGCCAAGCAACUUCACAACCACCGAGUUCUUCCAAGGCUCACUUAACUUAGCAUGAACCCUAGCCGAAAAAGUGAUGGAUGGCAUGGGUCCCUCGUUAGUUUCAAUAAUGUCUCCUUCCUCAAAAUCCCAGUCCUCUAGUCCACCUCCAAUUCCUUGCUCCAUCGCUUGUGUUGCAUUCACUAGGGUUUCUUUGUACGAAAACUGUACAGUGGUAUCCCCAGCAUGUUCUUCAUCACGAAAUCUUGCUUUUUUAAUCGUUCUAGCCUCCCUAAACGGCGGGGGAAAAAUCCCUCCGGAGUUAGGGUUUCCUUCACGUCCGAGGUUUUCGGAGCCUUCCAUAUGGUGUUGAUCUUUUUAAGUCACUCGUUUCAAUAUUUCAUUUAUUUCCUUUUCAAGCUAACAAUUAAUGUAUAUGAAUGUGCGGAUGCAUUGACAUAUAUCUUAUUUUAUCAUUUUGAAUGAAUUGCACGGCGAGGCUUAUCAACUUUGGAUGAAUCCUCCAAUUGUCGCAGUCCAAGACUGGCUGCAGUGAGUGAAAAUUUACCCAUAUAUAUGCUGGCUAUUUUUAUUGGCGACGAAUUCGUUGUAGUUGGUCCAUCUUGCUAUUCUCGGACAAUAUUAGAGAAAAUAAUCAUAUUAUUUCGCGUGAUGUGACCUUCCAUAACGUAUCAAUUGAAUUACUGUAAAAUUAUUGUGUAAGUUUAGGCCCAAUGGCACUUUAGUUCAUCACAUGAUAGCCUGGAUUUAAAAGGAAAACUAUAUUGCAUUGCUUCAAAAAAAAAAUUUAAUGUUUUUAAUAUGAAUAUUUUUAACUAUAUUCAGUUAAAAUAAUAUAUUCUUAAUAUUAAUAUUCAUAGAUGAAAUUCUUUUGCGGAUUUAAGAAUAAAAUAUCAAAUAGUUUUAUUUUUCUUUUGUUGUGUAACUUGGACCGAAAAAGAAAAUGAGCUUAACAUGACCCUCCUUCCGGCACUAUGCAUGUUUUUCUUUUAUUUUUCUUGUAUUGAUGACAGUGCUCUUGGUGCUUCUCAUCUGCUUCUUGCUUUGGUUUCAAACAAGUCUUUCUCCGUCGAGACAUUUAUUGUAAUUUGAUUUGGAGACAUCUGUCGUUCAAAUAUAUUUCAUAUGCAAGCUGUUGAUAAUUCUGCUUGAGAAAGCCUUCAAAGCAGCUGUGUGAUGUAAUAGAAGACUAUAUAUGCAAGCGGGUACCGAGCUCGAAUUCUUUCUUGAGUUUCUUUGAAUUAUUUGUGAAUGAGUUCUUAAUCGGCUGCUGCUCUUCAGGAAAAGGAAAGUGUUGCAAACUGGUGAAGCUGAUCGAUAAAAGCAAUGUACCAUCUUUGCUGCCAUGGAUCGAUGCCAGUGAGUUUUUUAAUUUGUCAACCUUUUUAAUAAUGCAUAUGUGUUUCUUCAACUUGAAGCGGCAUUUAAGACGAAAGAAGUGAUCUUUAAAGCAUUCUAUAGCAUUAUCCUUUCCUAUUAUAUAUAUCCAAUUGCUCCAAAUUAUUUGUAAAUUACUGAACACGAAUGCUGAUGAAUAAACUGAUGGCUCUAUGUAUGUAUGCACAUGCAUGGAGAAAUUUUAAGUCAGACAUUCCCAUAUAUAACUCGUGCUACCAAAUCAUUAAAUAAUCUUGAAAUCAAAGUAAUAAUUAAAUACAAAUAAAUUGCUCGAAUUGUACAUAUAUCUGAAUCAUGUAGUGAAGAAAAUACAACAACAACAACCAAUGGCUCAAAUUCCCCAUCAACUUCUAAUCUCAACACUUUUGAGUGUCAGAAGCAUUACUCUGCUACCAGUUAACAAACAUAUAAUUAGUAAUUUGCCAUUCACUUCCCUUUUAGGCCUAACACAUUUUCUAUAAAGGAGCCACAGAGUGAACUCAGCAGGAAACACUCAAUUUCAACCUACGUAGGACCAGGAAUUUCAACCAAAAAAAAAGUGUGCAAUUGCUUAUCCUAUCCUAUUGCUACUAGAAAGAAAGUGAACAAUUAAUUUCAGUGAAUAAAUUAAAAAAAAUUACUUCUGCAGAUACUCAAGCUAAGAACACAUUAACCCAUUAAAGACUCCAAAUUGCAUCAAACAAAUUGUUGUUAAACAAGUAAAACAAAGAAAGAGAGUUAAGGAAGCUGACCUAGUAGUAGGGGAGCUGAAGAAAGACUGCCAGUGAAUGUAAGAGAAAAUAAAAUGCAAUAAAUGGUGAAGUGCAGCUUUUCAUGUCAACUUGAAAUUGUUUCUUCUGUUUUUUUUUUUUUUAAUCUUUUGGAUUUUUAAAACAAAGAAAAUGAGGAGCAACCAGGGAGAUAAAAAGGGCGCCAAGGCAACUGUGUGUUGGGUUUAGAGCCCAAAAAAAAAGGAGGAUAAGACAUCGUGUUCUUGUGGAGACCAGACCUAUUACGUAACGUCCCCUUCAAUACCACUUGUUCCGUAUCUGGUUUUUUCUUCGUCUUUUACAUAUUUAUCCUGUGAUUUUACAAUAACUAAAUAAUCCCCGCAUAGUUUGCAAUUUUAUUCAUUUGAGCCCUACAGAUUUCAGUAAUAGGUAGAGUUGGCAAAACGGGUCAUCGGGUCGUGUUCGUGUCAUGUCAAAUUUAAGUCGACCCAAACCCGACCCAUUUAAUAAUCGUGUCAAAAUAUUGAGACCUAAAUCCGACACGGAAAAAUAAUCGGGUUACCCAAUAACUCGUUUAAUAUCAAUAUAUUGAACAAAAGUUACAUCAAAUAUUUACACACUAUCAUACAUACAUACAUAAUUUAUCGAUAUUAUAAAAUAUAUAUAUCUACUAAUAUAUUACACAUUUACACUAUUGAGGUUUUAAUUAUAUAUAUAUAUAUAUAUAUACCUACGAUGAUUGUUUAAGCCGCGGUAAACGCUUCUAGAACGCCCUCUGGCAGGAAGGAAGGUACUCAAAGAAAGUGGAGAUGAGGGAAACUCCGCUGGAGUGAGGGGAUUUAUCGGAAUCUCGUUCAGAGUGAGGAGUCAAUGAGGGUUUGCUUGUACUUGUGGUUCUAUUGAUAGGUGUUUGCAAUGGGCUUUCGUCUCAGGUAGUUCAGUCUCCGGGGUUACGCUUAGUUUCAUAUAAAAUAAAUGAAGAAGACAGCUGGACUUCAGAGUGGGAUCCUCCUAUGUUGUCGGCUGUUUGUUUGUCCGCAGCUAUUACAGCUUGUGCUCGAAUAUAUAUGUAUCCAUAUAUUUCCAGAUAUUAUAUAUCAAUAUAUAUAUAUAUUAUUUAUCAAUAUUAUAAAAUCUACAUAUCUAUCAAUUUUUUCACAUUUACACUAUUGAAGCUCUAAAUGUAUUUAAAAUUUUAUAAAUAAAAUAUUAUGUUUAUAUUCACCCUUUUAAAGAAUAAAAAAGAAAAUCAUUACUAAUAUUUGAGUUUUAAUGAUAAGAAUAUGUAAAUUAUUUUAAAAUAGAAAAUAUAAUCGGGUCAUUGAUCGGGUAAAUGGGUCAAGAAUUUUAACUCUAACCCGACACGGAAAAAAAUCGUGUUGACCCGGACCCGACCCAUUUAAUAAUCGUGUUAAAUUUGACGACCCAUAUUCAUUUAUUUAUGUCGUGUUCGUGUCGAGUAAUCGGGUCGUGUCAAAUUUUGCCAGCUCUAGUAAUAGGAAUUAUUAAGGGACAAGAGCGCAAAACAAAAACUCUGUCCACUACUGAUGAUAUAACAACGAACCUUUGUUUUUUUCUUCUUUUUUUUUUACAAAAUAUCAUUAGAGAAAUGAAAAUAUUAACUAACAUCACCCUACUGAUGAUAUAACAACGAACCUUUGUAGUUUCUGCCUGUUAAUAUGAAUUGAUCAGGAGUGUUUCCUCACUUAAAAAUUACGAAUUUACAAAUAUGUAUGUAAGUAUGUAUGUAUGUACGUACGUACGUGAGUAUGUAUGUACAUAUAUGCAUACACCUAUGUAACAUUUACUUAUCCAUCCUUUUGAGUUUAAAACUUAAUACACAUUUUCAUGAAAUUUUUAUUUUAUUAAGUAUACAACUACAGUAAUGUAUAUAUUUUUUAUAUAAGACAUGCCGUCAUAUUAUUCAUAAGUAAAACAAUGUGUUGUAAAUAGUUUAAUUAUUAAAUAUCAUACAAUAUCUUUCAACAACCGGCAAUAGACCUUUACCCAUUUUUCUUUUUCGACCAUUAGAUUCAUUCAGUUUACAUCCAACGGCAGUUUAGGAUGGAGACAAAAAGUGUGGUACGUUACCACAGUGGUAACAUUGGAUUGGGAUUGUAUGUCGUGUUUAAUUUGAAUUGGUUGAUUCCUCUAAUGAAUUAUUUUGAUAAAUUUAGUAGCAGUAUUUGGCGGCAAAAGUAUCAUUAAUUUUUGGAAAUAUGAUUAUGUUAUUAAUUAUUUUAGCAUUCUAAAAAGUCAAUGGUUAUGUUGGAAAUACUCUAAGGUAGAAUAGAGUACAAAUCACAGUCACACAUACAAAAUGAUAAAUAAUAAAAAAUAUAUUAUAUUUUUGAUCAUAUGAUUAUGAAGACGUAUUUUACCUUAAAGAAGUUCUAAUAAGCGAAUUCUUCUAAAACAAUAUAAAAUUUCUUUUUUAUCAUACUCAACCGCUUCAAACUUCUAAGAAGUAGAUAUACAAUGAGUGGAAUACUGAAUUGAGUGCGAGCUGCGGAUAAUAUAUAAAAUUGGGAUACAAGCUUCAAGGAAAGUGUAUUGCUAUUCAAAUGUAGAUUUCAAAUUAAGAAGAUAUGCCAGCAAAUUGUAUAAAAAUGUAUAAAUUGAUCAGUAACAUUAAUUCCAAAUGAUGAAAUGAGUUAUCUUGAUCAAAAGGUCAAGAACCUACCUUACUUCUCUUAGAGAUAACUUGCAUCAACCGUUGUGGUAUUGAUACUUGUCUUCAGCUAGUAAAAGACUAAAAGUGAAAGUUUCACAAUUGAAAUAAAGCUAAGGGAAGAUGCUAUGCUCCAUUUAUUAUUAUUAUUAUUGAUGUGGUCGAGAAGUAAAGCCAUGCAUAUGAUGAAGUAUAAAUAAGAAUGCAAUAGCCCGGAAUUCAUUUACACAAACACUUCAAUAUCCUUUUGAUCACUUUUGCAAACAUCAGUUUGUCUCUUGUAUUCACCAUGGUUGAUGCCAUCGUUUCCUCUCUUGUGGAGCAGCUGACUUCCUUCGCUGCUAAAGAGAUAAUACAACAGGUGAUCGAAGUUACACCCCCCAUAUUAUAAAUACUUCUAAUGAUUUUAAUUGGUUUUGUUUUUAUCGGAAACAUUAACUUUGCUUUAUUUUAUUUAUUUAGGCAUUUUAAAUUUUAAAAUUUGAAUUGAAUUCAAUUAAAAUGUGAUGUAGCUAGUAACCACUUUUUUUAUUUCAUUUAUAUUCUCAAUAACUACCCAUAUUUUGGUAACUUACUGUAACCCCCGUAUCUAAGAAAUGAUUAAAACCCACAAUUUUAACUCCACAUAAAUAUUCCAUGUUGAGCUAAGUUUUUGCAUAACAUUCAAGUUUGUUAAAUAGUCAUUAAUUUAAUGUUUAGUAAAAACUUAUCUCUGAAAAUUUUCAUAAUUUUCUUACAUUCUUUGAGUUUGGUGAGUGACUUCAUAUAAUUUCUUUUCAAUUUAAAUUUUAAUUUGGUUUCUGAUAUAGUCUCUUUACUGAAUUUAUAUCUUUUAUGAUUCUUGGAUUUUGGGCUCCAACUUUUUAGGAUUUGAUAGUCACAUUUUAUGGCAUGCUUAGAUUGAUUUUCAUGAUUUGAGUACUCGUUAAGUGACUGAGAAUUUGACAAAAGUUUGAAAGGAAAUCCGUUUCACGAUUCUUAUGUGGAAGGUUCGUAAAAUCAUGAAAUUUGGAUAGGAUUCGCUAGCAAUAUGUACAAGACUCUUCAUGAAGUUUCAUAAUUUUUCGUUCGGUCUGGGGUGGUACAGGUGAAACUUGUGGUUGGUGUUAAAGAAGAAGUGAAAAGCCUUAUCAGCCACCUUCAAGCCAUUCAAGCUGUGCUCGAUGAUGCAGAGGAAAAGCAAGUGAAGGACAAAGCUGUUAGACAUUGGCUGGGCAGGCUCAAGUAUGCAUCCUACGACAUUGAAGAUGUGUUGGAUGAGUGGAUCACAGCUAGACACAAAUUGCAAAUUGAGGGUGGCGUUGAUGACAAUGCUCUUGCUGCUCCUCAAAAGAAAAAGAAGGUAUGUUUCUGCUUUCCUGCCUCUUGUUUUGGAUUCAAACAAGAAGAAUUUGGUUUCAGACAAGUCUUUCUACGUUAUGACAUUGCCAACAAGAUCAAAGAAAUGAAUAAAGAGCUACAUGAUAUUGCCACUCAAAAAGACAUGUUUAAUCUUGUUAAGAGUGGCAAUAAAAGUGGUGAAAGACCAAGGCGUGUACAGAGUACCUCCUUGAUUGAUGAGGAAGAGAUUUGUGGUAGAGUUGGUGAGAAGAAUGAACUCAUAAGCAAGCUGUUGCGUGAGAGUAGCGAGCAACAAAAAGGCCUCCAUAUGAUCUCAAUUGUUGGUAUGGGAGGCAUAGGGAAAACUACUCUUGCACAACUAGCUUGUAAUGAUGACGUGGUGAAGAGAAAGUUCGACAAAAUUCUGUGGGUGUGUGUAUCAGAAACUUUUGAGGAGUUUAGGGUUGCCAAAGCAAUCGUUGAAGCUUUGGAUGGUCGUGAAUCUCAUUUAGGUGAAUUCCAAUCUCUUCUUAAACAUAUUGAUGAAUCCAUUGCAGGGAAGAGCUUUCUUCUUGUCUUAGAUGACGUGUGGGAUGGAAAUUACUUGAAAUGGGAACCAUUCUAUCGUUGUCUAAAGAAUGGUCUCCAUGGAAGUAAAAUUUUAGUUACCACACGUAGUGGGUCCGUUGCAUCCACGAUGGGAUCCAUAGAUAUUAUUCCCAUUGAGAAAUUAGCUGAAGAGGAAUGUUGGUUGUUGUUUAACAAGAUAGCAUUUUUUGGUAGGCCUAUCGAGGAACGUGAAAAAUUCGAACGAAUUGGGCGAAGAAUUGCUGGCAAGUGCAAAGGUUUACCUCUUGCAACAAAGACAAUAGGUAGUCUCAUGCGUUCUAAACAAACUGAAGAAGAGUGGAAAAGAAUUUUAAAUAGUGAUUUAUGGAAAGUAGAAGAGAUUGAGAAAGAUGUUUUGUCCUCUUUAUUGUUGAGUUACAAUGAUUUGCCAUCUAGAGUAAAAAGAUGUUUUUCAUAUUGUGCUCUCUUUCCAAAAGACUACGAUAUAGAAAAAGACAAACUAAUCACAUUGUGGAUGGCUCAAGGUUAUCUUAGUGCAGAAGAAGAUGAGGAGAUGGAGACUAUAGGUGAAGAGUAUUUUAGCAUCUUAGCUUCUCGCUCUUUCUUUCAAGAGUUUAAGAAAAGUUAUGAUAAUCGGAUUAUAGAGUGUAAGAUGCAUGAUAUGGUACAUGAUUUUGCCCGAUUUGUAAGUCAAAAUGAAUGUUUUUCGAUGGCAAUUAAUGGUAGUGAAGAACCAAACGCCACAAACUCUGUUGAUGAGAAGGUCCGUCAUUUAAUGUUAAUCUUUAGUAUAGAGGCUUCAUUACCUGUUUCCACUCCUAGAGUUAAAAGAAUGCGUACCCUCUUAAUUAACGAUAGUAGAUCUGAUCAAUCAUUAUUAAAUGGUGAGAUCCUAGAAGAAUUGUUUAGGGAAUUGACAAGUUUAAGGGCAUUAGAUUUUGACAAAUUGUACCACUCAAUUUGGUCUUCGACUCUGGAGAUUCCGAGAAACAUAGAAAAGCUGGUACAUUUAAGAUACCUUAAUUUGUCUUCUCAGAAAAUAGUGGAGCUACCGGAGACAUUGUGCGAGUUAUAUAAUCUAGAAAAGUUAGAUAUUAGUUUUUGUUUUGAUCUUAGAGAAUUACCUGAAGGGAUUGGGAAGUUAAUAAACAUGAAGCAUUUACUAAAUUAUGAUACUGAUUCUUUAAGGUACAUGCCAGUAGGGAUUGGGAGAUUAACGGGUCUUAGGACCUUGGAUGAGUUCCACGUGAGUGCAGGAGGAGCUGUUGAUGGUAGGAAAGCAUGUAGGCUUGAAUCUCUUAAAAACUUGGAACACCUUCAAGUAUGUGGUAUACGUAGACUGGGUGAUGUAUCAGAUGUGGGCGAGGCUAAGCGAUUAGAACUUGACAAAAAGAAAUACCUCUUCAGUUUGACCCUUGAGUUUGAUAAGAAGGAGGAAGAAGAAGGAGAAAGAAGGAAGAACGAGGACGAUCAACUUCUUCUUGAAGCCCUGCGACCACCUCUGGAUUUAAAGGAAUUAGAGAUACGGUUCUACCGAGGCAACACUGUUUUCCCCAGCUGGAUGACGUCAUUAACCAACUUAAAGAGUUUAAAACUCUCUUUCUGCGAAAAUUGCGAGCAGCUGCCUCCUUUGGGAAAAUUGCCGUCCCUUGAACAGCUCUUCAUAUCGUACAUGUCGAGUGUGAAAAGAGUGGGUGAUGAAUUUUUGGGGAUAGAAAGUGAUCAUCAUGGCUCAUCUUCAUCUUCAUCGGUUAUUAUUGCCUUCCCCAAAUUGAAAUCACUUUCAAUUGAGUUUCUGUGCGAAUUGGAGGAGUGGGAUUAUGGGAUUACAAGAACGGGAAACACCGUCAUCAACAUCAUGCCACGUCUUUCUUCCUUGACAAUUGCUCUUUGCCCCAAAUUAAAGGCACUGCCCGACCACAUUCAUCAAACGACAACAUUGAAGGAAUUGCACAUUUGGGAUUGCAGGCUUCUGGAAGAACGUUAUUGCAAGGGGGAAGGAGAAGACUGGCCUAAGAUAUCACACAUUCCCAACCUCCAUAUUGGGCAUUGACAAGUAAUUUCUUCUCUUACUCUGAUUUGCUUUGUUGUUGUUUUUAAUCUAAUUAAGAAGCGUAAAUAGCAUUUUGAAUCAAACUCUAUAUCAGAAAUCUGCAAUACUUACUUUCUAAUAUUCUGAUUUUCAUAUCCUAUGAAUAUACGAUUUUUAAUUUGUGAGAUGGGUAACGUUACUGUAAAAGAUUAUUAAUGCAAUAUGAGUAAUUCUUUUGCAGGACAAGUGACCUACAUUUAGUUUGGCUUUGGAGUUGAAUAAUAACCUUUCGGGAACUGGUGUGGACUGGCAAAGGAUGAUGAGAUAGUUUUUUGAGUGAGUAAAUUUUGGGAGCUUGAGUGUAUUGGGAUUUGCAAUUACAAUCAUCGUCUGCCUCAGGUGAUUUCUUCUCCUGCUCUGUCAUUGUUUGUUCUCUAAUUCAAAAGCAUAAAAUAUUUCAAUCAAUUUUUAUGCCAGGAAUAUGCAAAAGUUUCUAAUAUUUUAUUUCCAUCUGUCACAAGAUCAAACUGAAGCAGAACUCAAACAAAAGUAUGCUACUUCUUGCGGAAAUCUUGCCUUCGUUCAAAUUAUGAAACCAUUUCCAUGCAGCAAAUUCAUCCAAAAGUUUGAAUAAGUUUCAUGGUUGGACACUGUUGGCUUCUUUUUCUUCUGGGGUGCAUUUAGGUGCUAUCAAGUGACAGCUGUAAGUAUGAUUGCACUAAGCUGCUGCUGGGAAAUUUGAGGUUUUGAUGGCUGCCCAUGUUAUUUUCAAGAAACUAUUGAUGUAAGAAGCCGUGGUUCUUUUCAUCAGCUUGAACCUGAAACUGUCGCUAUGGAUAACUCAGGUUUUUGUUAUCAACUAUAUCAUCUUUUUCACUAUUUUGAAACUCUUAAGAUUAAACGUUAGUAAAGUUGUUUCAGCUAUUCAAAUGAAAAACUCAUUGAUUUGAGACUUCCUUCAUUAUUGUUUCUAAUUACAAUGCUAACGAUCCAGAUAAAAUAAUAUUUAAUCGGCGAAGGUGUCCCUUGGAAGUACAUCCUUCUUUUUCUUUUAUUAUAUAAAUUCUUGCAAUGAGCUUAGUCAAGAUGUUGUGCUAAUCAUGCCACUGCAUAUAAAUUCUCCAGAAGUUAAAAUCAAUAAAUUUUCUAUUAGCUCUAGUGCUUUGACCUAAAUGCUAUUCUAUAUUCUGAUUACAAUGUUUUAACCUUUAAAUUAACUACCCCUAGGUGUUGGAUUUUCUAGAACUUCAAAAUGAUUAAUGGAGAAAGAUCCCAUUAUCGUUAUUGCUAUAAGAAAUUGAUUUAUGCAUCCAAAGAUACAUUAUAUAUUUCUGUGUCUCUAUUUAUAGAUGACAUUUAAGCAUCCAUAAACCGUCAGACAGAGGAAGGGGGUUCAGUGCAAAGAUUCUGUUGACCUAGGGUUGACUGCAUAAUGUCACUUGUUCGCAAUCUAUUAUUUAUUUUAUAUUUUGAAGAAUUUAAUGGGUAAUCCUAAUUGUUUGUUUUGGCAGGUAUGUGUUGUUUUCUCCUUCUAUCUAACAGUCGUACCUAAAUAGCAUAGUUUCAUCUGUGUUACCAUGUGAUGUACAUAAUUUCACAUUUGCCUCAGAUUAAGCUUAAUUUCCCACAGAAUAGAGCUGUCGCGACUGGACUUAGGUUGAUGUCCAAAGAGGUAAAUUAUUGGCAUGCCUAGAUAAUUUGGCCAUUUCCUAAUUCAUAAGUCUACAUUAAUUUUGAUUUUGAGUUGACUGAUUUCUUUUCAAGGUCUGCUUCCUUAACGGAGUGACCAAUGUUUUUCAACUAAAUUUAUCAUAUGAUGCAGGAAGCAGGGCAGGAUAUGAAAUGAGAAGCUCAUUGGUGGAAGUAUUGCCAGUAACAGAACCCAAAGAAAAUGAAACUAUUUCAAGGCAGCAGUUGGCAGUUGCAAGUGAAUGGAGGCCCUGACAAAAUUCUCAAGCGGUUGCAAUGCAAUUACGAUCAUCCUCAGCCUCAGGUAAUUUCUUCUCCUGCUCUGUUUUUAUUUGUUAUCUAAUUAAAAAGCAUAAAGUAUCUUGAAUCACUUUCUCUAUCUGGAAUAUAUGCAGCAGUUUCUAAAAUCUUCAUAUGAGUGUAAUGAUGGUAAUUUCUGUUUUUUGUCUGUCAUUGAAUGUUAGACAACUUUCAGUGAGACUCUUGAACCGAGACAUUUUUGACAACUGAAGGACAAUUGCUGAAGAGUCGGAAUGGUGCUAGAUUGGGGAAUAAAGACAAAGGAGGUAAAUUAUUUGCAGUUUAUUCAGCAUUAUUUGCUUUGGACCAGCGCCUGAUUCACAAGUCUCCAUAAUUUGGCUUUUGACCAGUUAAUAAAUUUUUAAUUCCAUUGGUGCUAAAUGUACACGUGAAGCAGGCAGAGCAGGACUGUGGAAAUGAGAAGGUUUUUAGUGAAAGCUUAAACUCAGGUAAUUCUAAAAAGUACAUGUUUUUGCUGAUUUAUCUAAAUCAGGAAAUUUUAUUUCCAUCUGUUACAAGAUAAAACAGAAACAGAACACAAAGAAAAAUAUUCUACUUCUUGUGGCAAUCUUGCCUUCAUUCAGACAAUGAAACCAUUUCCUUUCACCAAUUUCUUCCAAAAGUUUGAAUAAGUUUCAUGGGUGGACCUAGUUAGCUUCUUUUUCUUUUGGUGCAUUUAGGUCCUAUCAAGUGACAGCCAUAAGUAUGAUUGCAUUAUUGGGAAAUUUUAGGUUUGGAUGGCUCCCCAUGUUAUUGCCAAGAAAGUCCUCAUGUCAGAAGCUGCGGUUCUUUUCAUCAGCCUGAACCCGAACCUGUCGUUAUGGAUAACUCAGGUUUUUGUCAUCAACUAUAUCAUCUUUUUUACUGUUUUGAAACUCUUAAGAUUAAACUUCAGUAAAGUUGUUUCAGUUAUCCAUGUAAUCAGGCUAAGGAUAUUUAGCAGCUUAUUUAGGCAACUGCCAGAAUUCAGUUUGUUAGCUCGAAACUUGUAUGGUGACAAGGAUACUGGCAAGGAUAGUGAGAUAGUUUUUUGUGUGAGUGAAAUUUGAAAGCUUGGGUGUUCUGGGAUUUGCAAUUGCAAUCAUCCUCUGAGUCAGGUGAUUUCUUCACCUGCUCUGUCUUGAUUUUCUCUCUAAUUGAAAGCAUAAAGUAUUUCAAUCAAAUUCUGUACCAGGAAUACGUAAAAGUUACUAAUAUUUUAUUUCCAUCUGUUUGCAUUGAUAACUCGGCGGCAUAUGUUCUAGUUAAAGAACAAACAGAAACAGAGUUCAGGAAAAAGUUUCUUCGGCCACCAUAUUUGAAAAUGAAACCAUUUCCAGGAAGCAGUUGGCAGCAAAUUCAUAUGGAGUGUAGACAAUGAUGAGCAAAAAGGUGAUUCGCAAUUUCUUUUUUUUUUUAAGUGAAAUUAUUUGUUAGAUUGAAGCUGAUAUUGUAAGAAGGCCAUUGAGCUAACCUAUGUCGCCACUUGCCUAGAUUGCAGGGGGUCAAGACUCAAAAGAAGCACUGAAAUUUAAAAAGCAUGCAAUAGUUCUUUUGCCAUGUGUCAAUUAAUGCAAGUUUGAAUAAGUUUAUUGGCUGAACGAUGUUAGCUUCUUUUCCUUUCGUGCACUUUGGUAUGCUAUCAAGUGACAGCCGUAUGUAUGGCUUGCAUAUAGCUGCUGCUGGGAAAAUUGACGAUUUCAUGGCUGGCCGUGUUAUUGUCUUAAAUUAGUUGUGAUAAGCUGUUGCUUGGAGAUUCUGUUGCCAAGAAUUUGCUCACAUCAGAAGCUGUGGAAUCUGAACCCUUCGAUUCUGUUGCCAAGAAUUUGCUCACAUCAGAAGCUGUGGAAUCUGAACCCUUCGUUAUGUAUCAUCUUUUUCAUUGUUUUAAAACAGUAAACUCUCAGGACACUGAGCAGGCAAAUGUUAUAACUCGGUUUGUUAGCCAAAAACUUGUUGAAGAUUCUUGACAAAGCUGCGUCGAGUGAAUUGUCGGAGCUCUGAGGGUGAGAGAAAUUAGAGGGUGUAUAGGGAUUUGGAUUUGUUAGGAAGUUAUCAUUUUUAUUUGUCCGAUUCAAAACUUGAUAUUCCAAUUAUAUUCAUAAGCUUCUACAGUUAUCUUCAAAAAGACAUUCCAAUUAUAUUCAUAAGCUUCUACAGUUAUCUUCAAAAAGACAAAUGGAAGGCUUUGAACGGCUUGGGUCUGAGUAUUGUAGUUUGAUUUAUUUUGAUGAAAGAACCUUUUGACAUUAAGAUUCUUUCAUGAGUUAAACAUUCUUUUUAAAACCAACUUAUUAAAAAAAAAGUAACGAACAUAUAUUAUUUUGUUAGUGCUUUUUAAAUCAAAUAUAAAAAAGAGAACUGUAAUUCUUAGCAACCAAUUUUUCAUUGAGUACACCUACAACAAAUUAUUAAAAAAUAAAGCGAUAGAAAAUGCCUGAUUUUUCGUACUUUCUAAUUACUUUUGGUCCUAAAAUAUGGCGAUUUGUGUAAUAAUAAGCCCAUGUAUAUCUUUAUGCCAUUAGUUUGAUAAAUAACUAUCAAGGAUAACUUAUUAAGCUAAAAAUAUUUGAAGGAUAAAAUGGGAAAACUAAAAGGGUGGAGUAAUAAAGUUAUUUAAGAUUACAUAGUAAGUUAACUAUAUUCGAGGGAUAAAAUAUUAAAACUUGAAUAGUUAUAUUAAAAAUAUCUCGGCUAUUAUACUAUUAAACCAUAUGCCGUAAUAAUGUUUUUUUUCAAACUUUAAAAAAUUCAGGAUUUUAAAUUAAAACAUGGAUUUCUUUAAGAUGCUAUAUGUGUUUUUACAGUAUUGAUAGUGGGAUUAGUGUGUACCCUUAUAUGAAAGAGUUUUAAUCUGAAUCAUUCAUUUAAUAUAAUAGAUAAUUAAAUAAUUAAUUAAAAUAUAGCAGGUAACUUAUAGGUUGCAGGUAAAAAAUUAAUUUUUUAAUUUUAAAUUAAAAUUAAUUUGGAACAAAACCAUCCACACCCCUAAGGUUUACUUAAAUGAUCAUAUAAAUCCCUUUAGUUUCUACAUAGUUAUACAGACCCUCUUAAUUUCAUAAAUUAUUAUUAUACUUUUAAUUAAAACAACCUAAAUGAAUAUAAAUAUAGUAAUAGGAUAGAAAUAAUAAAUAAAUAUCAGAUGAAACAAAUAAAAUAUUACAAUAAAUACAAUUAAUUAAAUAACAUGUAUGAUGAAAAUUUUAUUCAUAUUAAGUUAUUAUUAGUCUAUCCCGAUGGAUUUACUCAAAUCAAUUAAUCCAAAAUUUAAUUUUAAGAUUGAUAUUAAUAUGGACAUAAUUAAAUAAGAUGUUGUAAUAUAUACUACUUUGAAUGUUAAGUAUAAUUAUCUAAUAUUAUUAGUAUGUGAAAUAGAUUUUAAUAUUAUUAAAGAAUAUGACAAUAUAUAAUUUUGAAUUAAAUUUUUUAGUAUUCAUGAUAUUUUAUAAAUUUUAUGUGAUUUUAUAUAUUAUAUUUUUUAAUUUUAAUGUAUUAUAUAUGAUCAUUUAAGCAAAUUUUGGAGGUGCGGUGGUCUUUUCCCUAUUAAUUUUGUAGCAUAUUUAAAGUGUUAUAUCAUACAUGAUACAUCACACUUUUGUUAAAGUGUUAUGUUAUUAAAAAUUAAACUUUGCAUUUAUAAUAUACUACCAUUUUAAUGUAAAGGUAAUAGAAAAUAUGAAGAUAUUUUUAAGUAGUCAAUUGUAGCUUUCUUUUACAAAAUAGCAGUAUAGAAAUACAAUUGGUAAAAUGUAAUAAAAAUGGUAUGGAAAAAAGUUAGUAGAGGCAAUUAUUCUUGUAGUUGCUAAAACAUAUGAAGUGACACACACACACACACACAUAUCAAGUACUUGUAUGUUCCCCUAACUUUUAUUAAUGGGAAGGAAAUUAAAUUCGUAAUUUUCCCGGUGAAUUAUGAAUUGAUAAAUGAAAUAUAAAUAUUAGUAAAAAUUAAUUUGUCGACUAAAGAAGUAAACCAUAUUUUAUGGGCAUUUAAUACAUUAAUUUAAGGUCAAAUGAGAUAAUAUCACAUGAUAUUUGAUACAAGAGUCCAAUUUUCAACAUUUGCAUAUAGUUUCUAAGCUAGUAAUCUAAUAAAAUAUACCAAAUGAGAAAUUGAAGGCUAUUAUUUAUAUUUCACCAUUGGACAAACACCAUACAUUAGAAUAAAAAAAUCUCACAGUAGAGACGGCAUCUGUUUGCAUGUUUUGAAAAUAGAUUUUGAAAUUAGUUUAAUUACAUGAUAAUUAAAUUAUAUUAUAAAAUUAAGAAUAUGAUUUAAGUACUAUUUUAGCAAUUUUGAGUCUCACAUUGAGUAUUCAAGUUAAUUAAAUGUUGAAACUCUUUUCUAUUUGGCUUGAAAUCACUACUAAAUAAAAUUACAAAAAGUCAAUAAUGAAUGAUGUAGGACACAUAUGUAAAAUAAAUUUUAAAGUGUAAUUAAACAUUCCUAUCAAUAUUAGUUUUGCAUACAUAUUCAUAUAUUUUACCGAAACCAUAUAUAAUUAAAUUUUGUGUAAUUAAGUAAAAUAUAUUAUUCAAGUGAAUUUAUGAGAAUAUUUAAAAUUGUAGGGGUCGUCACUGAAAUUUGCCAAACUUGAGCCAACCGUGCAUGAUCCAAACAGUUUAUUUUAAUAAUUCUCAAUAUGUUAGUCUGUUUGACUGUUGGCAAAAUAAAUUCCUAUCAGCAAUGCAACACAAUUCAAAAUCAUAUCUGCAUACAACGAACAAUAUCUCAUGAAAGAUCAAAUUAUACAUUUUUUACACCAAACCAUAAAUAUCUAAAUUGUCCCUCUUCAACUCACCAAGCUCAUACCUAACAACAGCAAGAUUAAAUGUCAUUUGAUCCAUCUUUUUUAUUAAGCUUUAUCAAUUCUUCUCAUGGUUGCAAUUUUGAAAGCUCGCUUCGCUAUUUCCAUUUGCUUUUAUGCUUUGUUUGAGCUCCAUCUUUUCUCUCCAUCUACAUUUUACACUGUAAAAAAAAUUUUAAAAAAAUUACAAAGCUUCUUAUGCUAGAAUAUGAGCAACAAUAUAAAUAAUAAACAAUAAAGUUAUGAUAGCACAGCAUGCUCAUUAAAGUGCUUCUUUUUUUUUUUUUUCAACAAGAAAUUACUACUGAAUUAAAGAUUUGGCUUUGCAUUAAGGUUUGCCUUCAAUAACUCAACUCCCCACUUGGGUUUUGUCGUUUUCUUAAAAUCUCUGCUCAAUCAAUUUAAAGAUCCUUUUUUUUUUCUUUCCAAAGAUCUAAAAGCAAUGUCUUUUAUUGGUACCCAACAAAAAUGCAAGGUCUGUGAGAAGACAGUUUGUCCAGUUGAGCAGUUAUCUACUGAUGGGGUUGUUUAUCACAAGUCUUGCUUCAAGUGCUCUCACUGCACUGCAAAGGCACACUCAAGCUAAGCAAUUACUCAUCCCUGGAAGGUGUUCUUUACUGUAAGCCUCACUUUGAGCAGCUUUUGAAGGAGUCGAGUAACUUCAACAAGAAUUUCCAAUUACCUGCAAAGUCAGCUGAGAAGUUAACUCCUGAGCUGAAAAGGUCGCCUAGCAAAGUUGACAGCAUGUUCUCUGGGCCCAAUAAAAAUGUGCUUCUUGCAGUAAAACAGUGUGUCCGUGGGAGAAGGUAGCAGCGGAAAACCAAGCCUCUCACAAGACAUGUUUCAAGUGCUCACAUGGUGGUAAUUCCAUUAGCCCGUCAAAUUACGCAGCCCUAGAAGGCAUCUUGUAUUGCAAACAUAAUUUCUCCCAAUUGUUCAAGGAAAAAGGCAGCUACAACCACCUUCUAUCAAAUCUGCUUCCAUGAAGCGUGCUGCAGUCUCUGUUCAAGAAGCUUGAACAUGUUAUGUUAUCUUCCAUAAAUCUUAUUUGGCGUGGGUUUUCUCUGGCUUGAGGGUGUGCUUUCUAUUUUGAUCCCUCUUGUUGUUUUUGCGGGGAACUACCAAACCUUCGGUUCCCUCUGCUUCUUUGGAUCAUCUUUGUUGGGACAAAUUUCAUGUAAUUAGAGAUACUGAUUUAUGGGAGGCAUAAUCCCAUGGUUGUAAAUUGACCAUUUUCUGGCAAUGUUCUUUUUAAAAAGAGAUGAGCAGUUGUUUAACAAAAAAAAUAGCUGGCCUUCAUCAUGGUAUGUUACCAAACUGCUAUGUAUAGCUGCUAACUAUGAGCAUCCGAAAAUAUGGUGCAUCGUGAUUCAUGUCGUGCAAUAUGGCUACCAACGCAUCCUAAAUGGAGUAUUACUCAGUUAGUCAGCAAAAUAAGACAACAGUAAGAUAUUAAAAAAAUAAAAACUACAUUAAUAAGUGGGCAAGAUCAUGCCAGUUUAACUUUUCGCGCGUCGCUGCUGGAGAUAAUCAAAUCGGGGCAGAGAAAAGGAGAAUGGAAUCAGAGGCUAAGAUUAAUAAGUGGGCUUCUGCUUGCUUUGCCCCUCUUUCUUAAACGAUUGGUAGACUGCUGCUUCCACCGAUUAACCGGGUCUUCAACCACUGCUUUUAUUGCCUGCCAUCUUGUUGUUUGUCGAAGGGAUGAAUUCGAGUCGAAAAGAGAAAGCGCGCUGAAAAAGACAAAUCACUAGUGGUUAACUACUGACUCAGCCAAGUGUUGGCUUCACUUGAUUCACCGAUUGAGGUUAUUUUGUCUUCUAUCUAAUGCAGCGAAGAAGCUUUACUGCUUAACAUGCUGCAAUGCAACUUUAUCUUUUGAAGUUCACACUUCAGGGCUGCGCACUUUAUGUAAUCCUAUGAGUAAAAAGAAUUUAUUUUCAAAUGUGAAAAAAGAAAAUGUAAGGUAGUAACUAAAUAUAUUAUAGCAUCAAAGUAAGAUUUGAUAUGAAUUUAGUACAACAAAGAACAUUAAAUCUGUGAUUCCUUGUCUAAUGUCACCAUCGAGCAACAAAUUUAAAAGCCUACCUAUCAAAUACACGAGGCAAUAAACGGAGAAAAAGUUGAAUUACAAGAACAAGUUUACAAUUCUUGUCAAUGGUUAAUGAUUCGUGAAUUGAGAUAGCAUUCAAGAAUCCAAUUUCAAUACAACAACGUAAAAGAUAAACAGAUGAUGAAUUUUAUGAGAUAAAGAAGGAGAUUGUGUUUUAUCGUAUCUCUAUUUUCUUUCCAUUUAAAUUUAAAAUAAGCUUUUCAACCGGUUAUAAUAUUUUUUGAAAUAAUUAAAUAUUUUUAUUAUUAAAAAUAAUGUGUACCGUUGAUUACAUCUAACGCUACAUAUUUCUUACACUAUUAAUACCGUAAAAAAAAUCAUAGAGGGACCCUUAAAACAUUUUCAUUUGAAAUUAUUUGGUGAAGUGAAAAAGUUAAGAAAGAAAUAGUUGUCCCUUUGGUCAUUUCACAAAAAUGAAAGCCCCAUAUAACAUGGACUUGAAUGGAAGCCCAAUUGUUGUGUUUGAUUUCAAGCUUUAUCGGACCUUUGGACCUGGAUACUUUACUGCGGCCUCUAAGCGCUACAAAUUUUUUUUUUGGGAUAAAAGGCGCUUCAAUGAAAAAGCACUUUAAAACUUUGGAUUUUGCCAAAACUUCAAAGCGGUUGGUCCAGUUACGGUGUUAUGCUAACGGGUUUAAAGGUUCCGAUCCAAUGAGUUAGGGUGGAAUAUGAAUAUAUAAAUCCUAGUCAUGUAAGGACUAGGAUUUGUUUGUUCAUAUCAAGAAAAAAAAUCUGAAAAUUUGAUGAUCAGAAGAUAAAAACACUUAAACACGUUUAUUACAGAGAAACAAACGACAACAUGAUGCUAGUAGUAAUUUUAUUUUUCUUUUAUUGUGUAACGUGGACCAAAAAAAAGGAAAUGAAUUUAAUAAAACCGUCAUUCCGCAAUAAUAAUGUACCAGCCUGGUUUUUAUAAUCCAUACCAUCCUGAUAUAAUUAAACACCAUUAAUAAUGUACCAGCCUUUAAAUAGUAAUUAAUUUAUUUAUCUAAUUCACCAAAUGUCAUUUCCGGUACAUAUCUCCUGGUAUCAAGAAGAGGCAGAACCCAAAGAAACGUUUCUUGUAUCUUCAUAUUUGUGCGAAUUCAUCCUUUCAUUGAGAAUAACCAUUUCCAGGCGGCAGUUGGCAAUCAAUUCAUGCGCAAGUCGAUGCUAUUCAUAGAUAUUAAAGACAAUGAUGAACCAAAGGUGAUAAAUCAUAAAUGCAUAAUUACCAAACCUCCAUCCUUCUCUCAUUAUGAUUUGAUUUUAAAUGAAUUAUUGCUUGGUAACAUUAUUUCCAACCAUUGCAAGAUUAUUAUUAUUUUUUUUUGGGGAGAAAUUUCAAUUGAAAGUGAAACCUUUAGACAUUUACCUAAUGAAGUUAGUUAAUGGGGAGGGUUGGAAAAAUUCCCAAGCCGUUGCACAGCAAUUACGAUCAUCCUCGGCCUCAGGUAAUUUCUUCUCCUGCAUUUUUGUUAUUUGCUAUCAAGUGACAUUCGUAAGUAUGAUUGUAUUAAGCUGCUGCUGGGAAAUAUAAGGUUUUGAUGGCUGCCCAUGCUAUUGUCAGAAGCUGCGGUUCUUUUCAUCAGCCUGAACCUGGACCUGUCGCCAUGGAUAACUGAGGUUUUUUUUUUUUUAAAUCAACUACGUCAUCUUUUCCACUGUUUUGAAACUCUUAAGAUUAAACUUUAGUAAAGUUGUUUUAGUUAUCCAUGUAAUCAGGCUGAGGAUACUUAGCUGCCUAUUUAGGCAAAUGUCAGACUUUAGUUUGUUCGCUGGGAACUGGUGUGGUGACAGCGUCCUGGCAAAGGAUGAUGAGAUAGUUUUUUGAUUGAGUAAAUUUUGGGGGCUUGAGUAUAUUGGGAUUUGCAAUUACAAUUAUCCUCUGCCUCAGGUGAUUUCUUCUCCUGCCCUGUCGUUGUUUGUUCUCUAAUUCAAAAUUAUAAAAUAUUUCAUCAAAUUUUAUGCCGGGAAUAUGCAAAAGUUUCUAAUAUUUUAUUUCCAUCUGUUUGUCUUGAUAACUUUGCAGCAUAUGUACUAGUUAAAGAACAAAUCGAAACAGAGUUCAGUUAAAAGUUUCUUCUGCCGUCAUAUUUGAAAAAUGAACCCAUUUCCAGGAAGCAAUGGGCAGCAAAUUCAUAUAAAGCGUAGACAAUGAUGAGCAAACAGGUGAUUCACAUUAAUGAAAUUAAUUGUUUGGUUGGAGCGGACAUUGUUAGAAGGCUAUUGAGCUAACCUAUGUCACUACUUGCCUAGAUUACAGGGGGUCAAAACUCAAAAGCGGCAUUGAAUUUUAAAAGGCAUCCAAUAAUUCUUGUGGCCAUAUAUCAAUUCAUGUAUGUUUGAAUGUAAUUAUUGGUGAAGGGGUUUCACUUCCCGUCUCUAAAUAAAAAUACUGAUUCUUUAAGGUACCUGCCACUAGGGAUUGCGAGAUUAAUGAGUCUUUGGACAUUGGAAGAGCUCCUUGUGAGUGGAGGAGGAGGUGUUGAUGGUAGCAAAGCAUGUGGGCAGUGGGCUUGAAUCUCUAAAAAACUUGGAACUCCUCCAAGCGUAAGUAUACGUAUACUGGGAAAUUUGUUAGAUGUGGAUGAGGCUAAGAGAUUAGAGCUUGACAAAAUGAAAUACCUCUUUCAUUGAGACUUAAAUUUGAUGGGGAAGAAGAAAAAGAAGAGGGAAGGAGGAAGAAUGAGGAUAAUCAACUUGUUCUUGAAGCCUUGCAACCACCUCUGAAUUUGAAGGAAUUAGAGAUUUGGUCAUACAGAGGCAACAUUGUUUCCCCCCGGAUGAUGCAAAAAUUGAAGGAAUUUACCAAUCUAAGGAGUUUGACACUCUUUAAAACUGCAAAAAUUGAGAGCAGUUGCCUCCUUUGGGAAAAUUGUGAUCCUUUGAAAAUCUCAGCAUAUUGUACAUGGAGAGUGUGAAAACAGUGGGUAAUGAAUUUCUGGGAAUAGAAAGUCAUCUUCAUGACUCAUCUCCAUCUUUAUCAGUUAUUAUUGCCUUCCCCAAAUUGAAAUCACUUUCAGUUGAGGGAUUGAUGGAAUUGGAGGAGUGGGAUUAUGGGAUUAAAAGAACAGGAAACACCUUCACCAACAUUAUGCCACGUCUUUCUUCCUUGGAAAUUAGUGUGGGGUUAUGGGAUCGCACAACCACGUUGAAGGUAUUGCAGAUUGUGGCAUGUGGUACUCUAAGAAGACGUUGCAGACAGGGGAGAGCAGAAGACUGGCCUAAGUUCUCUCACAUUCUAGACAUCAUGAUUGUGUGAAAAGAGGCCCUUGACAAAAUUCUCUAGGCGGCUACAUGGAGUACAAUCAUAAAAUGCUAAUGUGGCCACCCUGGUUCUUAAUUAAGGUUGUGAAAUAUUAUUGUAAAAGAUGAUUAAUUCAAUUUGAGUCAUUCGUUUGCUUUGAUAAUGAUAGUAAUUUUAUAUUUUGACAAUUUGCAAGGUGAGAAUGGUGCUGAUUGGUGAUACAGGAUACGGUUCAAACACCAUUGAAUAAAGCUACGGACAUGGUGGCUCAACUUAGCUAUUGCUGUCAAAAUUGGUAAGUUGGCUUGUCAAUGUAUUGAUGCUUUUGUUUUCUCUCAACCCUAAUUACCUUACCUUCAUUUAGUUUGGCUUUGGAGUUGAGUAAUAACUUUCAAGGUUCUCAAACAGAGCAGGACAACCGAAAAAAAAAGCUUAAUUUGCUACUGAUCACGUGUUACCAAUUAUUAAGGUAAUUCUCGUUUACUUGCUUCUACACUAUAGAGUACGUGUUCUGGCUGGUUUAUCUAAUUCAUCAAAUGUUAUUUCCUUAUUGUUCCAUUGAUAUAUUUGUUAGAAAGUGAAACCAUUUCCAGGCAGCAGUUGGCAGUGAAUUCAUGCAAAUGUUGAUGCCAUUCAUAGAUAUUGAAGACAAUGAUGAGCCAAAGGUGAUAAAUCAUUAAUGCAUAGUUACCAAAACCUCCAUCCUUCUCUCAUUGUAAUUUGAUUUGAAAUGAAUAAUUUCUAGGUAAUUGAAGCCAAUAUUGUUAGAAACGGUGUUGAGCUACCCAAGCUAAGAAGUUGGCUGCCAAAAAAUGCAGGGGAUCAAAAGAAGCAUUGCAUUUGAAAAGGAAUGAGAUUCUGGUUGCUACAUGUCAAUUCGUAGAAGUUUCAAUAAAUUUAAUGGUUCAAGAUUUUAGUUUCUGUUUAAAUUUGUGCUACUGCAGUGCUGCAGUGCUGCUACUGGGAAAUUUAAAUCCCAUAUUAGACUUUCCUCACAUAAGAAGCUGUGGAUCUUCGGACAUCAGGUUUUUUCACAGUUCUGAAACUCUCAGGAUUAAACUCUAUUAAAGUUGUUGUAGUUGUCUACGUUCUCAGGUCAAGGAUUCUAAGCUGCCGAUUAAGGCAAAAUGUCAGAAUUCCCCUAUUAUUUUUUUUUUCAUGUAAAAUUAUGUUGUUGUCUUCGCCCAUGAAUCUUAGCUAAAUUCUGAACCAAUUGUUUGCUAUUAUAAAUUUCAUUGUUAAAUAUUAAUUGUGAUGUUGGUGUUGAGUUUCUUUUAAAGUCAGAGAAGCCUGACGAUUGAGUUCCAUGGGAUUCUGAGAAGCAGUAAUAUUUUGAACAAGUGAAGGUUCUUCGUUUUUACAGUAUGUGCAGAUGUCUAAGAGGCAGGAUUUUUAUUUCUGUAAUGCUAAAUUUCGCAAAACAAUAAAAAUAAAUAAAUGCAUGACAGUGACUUCAAGAAUUUAGAUUAUUGAAUUUGGUCAUUUUAAAAUUGUUGGAAUGUUGAACUUAAGUAAUUUUUAUAAACCAGAGCUCAGAAAUGUAGAAUAUAAAUAUUGGAGAUUUGGACUUCAAUCAUUAGACUUGAAGCUAAAGAGGUAAGCCAUUAAUUAUAUCAAAGGAUUUGGAAAAUGGAGGGAUUGGAAAAAGGAAACAUUUUCAUAAACUUCAAGAGGAACGUCACAGAAAGGGGUAAAGAGAAGAGUAGCCUAAGAUAUUAAAGACAAUGUUGAGCCAAAGGAAACAUAAAUCCCAACCAUUGCAUGUGAACAUGAUCACAAUAAGGUCAAAAACCAUUUUUUUGAGAAUUUUCAAUUGAAAGUGAAACCUUUUGACAUUUACCUAGUAAAGUUAGUUAAACGAGAGAAAUAAAGGGGAAAAGAAAAGUUGACUCAAGUCAAUACAGAAUAAUUAGUUCAAUCUGGAGUAACUAAAACAGAGCCACUAUAUUUUCAAAAAUAUCUGCAUUCAUCACCUUCUCCUCCAGCUAGUGAGCUACACACGAAUCCUUUCCUUUUAGCAUUUUUGCAGCAUCAAUUUCUCCCCUCGUUUGUCAUCAAUUUCUCCCUUCGUUUCACCAAUACCAUGGCUGAUGCAAUCGUUUCCCCUCUCUUGGAGCAGCUGAUUAUCUUUGCUGCUGAAGAGUUGAAACAACAGGGGAAGCUGGUGAGUGUUGGAUGAGUGGAUCACAGCAUGCGCCAAAUCGCAAAAUAGAUCAAUGCUCUUGGUGCUCCUUAUCUGAAGAAGAAGGUGCAAAUUGGGAGCUGCAUUUCACUGUCAUAACAUUUAUUGUAAUUUCAUUUGGAGAUAUGUAAUAUCUGUUGUCCAGAUACAUAUCAUACACCAGUUGCUAUGUAAUUUCGUUUAGGUUCAUUUUUGUUUCUUAAGAGUUUGUAAAAAGAAUGGAAAGAUUUUAAAAUAUAAAUUUCAUAUCUGUUUAUUACUGUUGUUUGGUCUAAUUUCUUAUGUAGAAUUUUCAGAAUCUGUAGGACAUUAGUUUAUAAUUUUGAGAUUUUGCAGCCAUAAAAAAAAUUUUUUUUUUUUGCCAUUUUAUUUUGCUCCUUUAUCUAUGUGCAUGUUGACUGGCUGCAGUGAGUGAAAAUUUACCUAUAUAUGCUGGCUAUUCUUGGACAAUAUUAGAGAAAAUAAUCAUAUUAUUUCGCGUGAUGUGAACUUCCAUAACUUAUCAAUUGAAUUGCUGUAAAAUAUUAAAUAGUUUUAUUUUUCUUUUAUCGUGUAACUUGGACCAAAAAAGGAAAUGAGUUUAACACGACCCUCAAUAUAACCUCCAUUUCAGCACAAUACAUGUUAAUUGUUCCCCAAGGACUUCUCCUGUUUCCCAUUCCCACCUCCAUGCUCUCGAGAGGAAUUUAGCACCCAUCAAUUUUUAUUUUUGAAAACUCGUAAUGGUCUGAUAAAAUUAAACAACAUCAAUAAUGUUACCAGUCUUUAAAUAGUAAUUAAUUUAUUUAAUUUGCCACCUAAAAGAAUCCUGCUGGAAAUAGAGGUUAAAAAUUUUAUUAGAUCUGCUUACCUUUGUUCAUUCAGCAAAAACACUUACAAUUCACAGCUAGAGAAUCUAUCCAUUGACAAUUGUGGAUUAAAAUUAUAACACCUGAAUUCAAACAUAUCCUUAUGAAGUUAUGAAUUUGUUCAUACUUCAAAUGAUUUUUUUUUCCAAGCUAAUAAAGCAACCACUUUGAUCAAACGACGACGUUGAAGGAAUUACGUAUUUUCAAUGUCCUUUUCCAGACAGAUGUUGGAGAGAGGGAAAGGAGAAGACUGGCCUAAUUAAGAUAUCUCACAAAGAUUAUUGAGUUAAAAUGUUAUUGUAAAAGAUGUUUAAUACAAUAAUAGUAAUUCUUUUGCAUUGUUAUAAUGAGGCUGGUGGGUUUCCUCAGAGGAUGGAUAUGGCUCGCUAGCAUGCAUUUGGGAAGAUGCUAAUUAUCGGCCAUAAAAAGUCAGGGGGUUGUGGCUCUUCCGUCGCCCAGAAAUUCCUAAACUCAUAUAUCAAACUUCAGAUGAACUUGGGCAUUAUGUAAAUAUGUAUUUUUGAGAAUUAAACUAGUGCGUUCGAAAAAUUUUGAGCCAUUGUAAUCAUUUUAUUUUGCUAAGAGAAAAUUUUACUUUGUUUCGCUUUGCCUUUUGUUUUUUCUGUGAUAAUAUGAUUCAUACGAAUGUGAUUACACACUAUCAUGCAUCUAUUUUCAUUUGCUUGUCAUGAAUGGUCAACAUGCUCGAAAUAUUUACUUAGGUUGGAAAUAUUUGAAUCCACUAAAAUACUAUACAAACCCAUUUUAAAAUUAAAAAAAUGAUUAUCAUAAUACUCGUGAAGAUAACACGAUAUCAUACAUAAAAUAAAAUAUUUCGCAAAAAAGAUAAGAUACAAAUCUUGAGUAAAUAGGUACAAAAAAUAUUUUAGUGGGUUAAGUAGCACUAAUGCCCCCUUAUCAAAAAAUAAAUAAAAAUAACUAGUCUGAUUGGGUAUACCGUUUAUAUAUAUGUACAUAUUCUUGAUAAUGUGUAAUGUACAUUAUAGACAAAGAUUUUGAAAGCAAUAUUUUUUAAAAAGUCGAGAGAAUAGGAAAAGUCUAAAUCAAUUUUCUAAUCUCUACCUCCUUUAUGAUUUAAACUUUAGUGUUUAGUGUCGCGAGCCACUCAAAUUUUCUAAUCAAAGAGACUAAAUUGCACGAAAUUGUGCUAGCUUAUUUGAUUCUAGAAAUUUCUACUACACUGUAACACACUCUCACGUAGGGAUGGCAAUGGGGAGGGGAGGGGAGGGGACCAAUCUCCCCAUAUCCAUCCCCGAUAUUUUACAUAUGUCCCCGUCCCCGUCAGAAUUGCUUGAGAGAAUCCCCAUCCCCUCCUCGAAUAAUAACAGGGGAUCCCCGAGGGUCCCCGGUCCCCGAAUAACUAAUAAUCUAAUACAUUUUUUUAUUUUCGAUUUUAAAUUAAUCAUAUUAAAAUAAACUCAUACCGCUAUUGUAAGCUCGUAACCAAUUUUGACAGCACAUUAAGGCCUCCAAUGUGCUUGGAUGAAGUCUGUUAUGGUAUGGGCUCACAACUCUACCACUAGUGUUAAAAGCUGAUUCAGAAGCAACUGUUGUAAUUGGAAUUGCCAAAAUAUCUCUAGCAAUUCGAGCUAAUGUAGGAUACCUAUUAGCAUUUGUCUUCCACCAACUCAAAAUAUUAAAAUCUUCCAUCCGAGGUAUAACUUUCUCAUCCAAAUAUGAAUCUAAUUCAUCUGCAACAACUGCACAAUCUCCAUUGUUUACAUAAUCAUCAAAACCUAUCAUCCAUUUGGUUGCUUUCUUAUAAGAAUCCCCUGUAGAUCUAGUAGAAGAACUACUACCAGUAUAAUCAAAGCAAUAAACAGUUGGUGAAAACUUCAAUUAAUACUCUUCAACUAAUUCCCGGCAAAGGAUGACCACUUUCCCAACAUACAACUAUUUUGAUAUUUAUUAUUUUUAACAAUAUUUAUAAUUUUGUUAUUUAUUUAUUAGUAAUUUUAAAAAUAAAAAUAAAAUUAAAAAUUAAAAUGGGGAAAUGGGUAGGGGAUGGGGAUUCCACCUCAUCCCCGUCCCCUCCCCGAAUAAAAAAUUGGGUAAAAAAUUUUCCCCGUCCCCUCCCCGAAAAAAAAAUUGGGUAUAAAAUUAUCCCCGUACCCUCCCCGAAUGGGGAAAAUCCCCGAGGGUAUCCGUCCCCGUGGGGAUUUUUGCCAUCCCUACUCUCACGCUUGUACAUACCUCGAAAUUCUCUAGAAUUUACUAGAGUAGUGUUGCAUGUAGCUUGUACAUAGGUUUUUCUGGAACACUCCAGGCAUUACUAAGCAUGAGAGCCUUGAGAACUCUCUAGCCAUAAAACAUUCUAGGGUAAGCCUACCCUAAAAAUAGGGCAUGAUGCUUGCCACUUGAGCAUACAACAAGUAAGAACAAAUCAAGCAUACUUGUGAGCUCUCAAACUCUCUUAUACACACUUUUAUGAAUAAUAUAUUCUCUCUUUGGCUAUAUUGCUCUCUCUUCUCUCUAGUUUUUUUCGCAAGCAUCAAACCUUAGUUAGUCGAAAAAUUCAAGGCUUACUUUAUAGCUAUCUCGUAAAAGUUGUUUAAGUACCAUAGAGAUUUGCUGUGCAAAAUACUCAUCACAUGACAUUAGCUAAAUAAAAUUGUUUGAAAGCCACUUACCCAAACUAUUAAACGAAUAUUGACUUUUGUCUUAAUUUUCUAUCUCCUACGAUAAAUUUUAUAGUUAAAAAUUGAAAAAAAUUAAUAACUAUUAGAUAGAGCAUUCUUUAUUGUUAAAAGAAAUCUAUAUAGAUAGAUAGAUGGUAAUAUAAAAACUUACUUAUUGUAGUAUAAUGUUUUUAGUUUUUUGAAACACAGAUUCUCACUUUUUAAAGAUAAAAUUCAAAGAAAACAAGUUAAAUGUUGUAGAAAAUCUUCCAGCCAUACAAGAAAUUGUGAUGGCUAAAUGCAAACCUAACUAAAGUAUUAGUUGUUUUAUUACAAUCUCCAAAAAGAUGAGCAAUUCCAAAAUCUUUUUUUGUGACAAUAAACACUACACGUCAGUAAUUAUCCAGGUCAAAAGCAAGCUACUCUAUUAAAAAAAAAAAAAACUUGCAGUGAAUUCGAAGAUAAACCAAUUUUACUAGCAAGUUGGAUACAAAAGAGUAGGGCUUCGGCCUCAAUUACUCAGUGUACCAACAACUCAAUCUCGGUGAGUUAAAAUCAACUUCCAUCAGUCUUUUAUUUGUUGAUAGAUCGAUUAAGGUACCAAAAAGAAUAAUUAAAGAUGUAUUAGUUCAAGUUAAUAAAUUCAUAUAUCUUGUGGAUUUUAUUAUUUUGGAAACUGAACCAAUUGCUAAUGAAUGCAAACAAAUUCCUGUUACAUUGGGUCGUCCAUUUUUAACUACUGCUAAUACAUUGAUUAAUUGCUGGAAUGGAGUAAUGAAUUUAUCUUUCGGCAACAUGACAUUGGAACUUGAUGUGUUCAACAUAUGUAAACAACCUCACCACCAGGAAGAUGAUGAUAAUGAGAAUUAGGAGAUUGAUUUCAUCGAGCCAAUCAUUGAGGAACACAUUCAGAAUAAGAAUUUUACAAAUUCUGUGGAAAUUUAUUCUUCUUGUUCUUUUGAAUCGAGUAAAGAAUUAAAUUAUGAUACUGCUAACAUAUAACCUACAAUUGAUUCUAUGCAGGUACAUGCUGACAAUGGCCAAUCAAACUUUAAAGAUACAGAACAACCUGAAGAACCAAACGAAGAGCAAGUACCAGAGCUCAAAUUAAAGCCCUUACUGGAAGAAUUGAAGUAUGUCUAUCUUGGAGAACAACAGAUUUAUCCUGUGGUAAUUUUUUUCCCAACUCACGCUUGAUCAAGAAGGUAAGUUGUUGUCUGUACUAAAAAGGCAUAAAACUGCAUUUGGCUGGACUUUAAAAGACAUAAAAAACAAUAAUUCUUUAAUCUGCACACACCGAAUACACUUAGAGGAAAAUACCAAAACAACCCAUCAACAUCGACAUUAUAUGUGUAAACAUUAAAUACCAAAAUCAACCCCAAAAACUAUAAAUAAAAUAUCAUGAUUAAAAUGAAGUUUUUUUUUAGAUAUUCGUUGUAGUAUCUCUUUAGAUCGCAAACAAGAGAUAAAAUAAAUAAAUAUUUGCUAUGUAAAUAAAAAUAAAUAAUUUUUUUUAACUGAAAAAUAUUCUCAAAAACUAAAUAGUUCAAACUUUUUUUAACAUCAUGUGUUUCUAGGGUUGGGCAUUCAGUUCGGUUUUUACCGAACCGAACAACUAAAUUAAAUCGAAAUUACCUGUUCGGUUCAAUUGAAUAGACAAAAACCGAAGAGUUUAUAUUUUCAUGAACUGAAUGAUUUGUGUUUCAGUUGAGUUCGGUUCGAUUCUGGACCUGAACCGAACCGAACCGAUCCGUGAAUCGUAAACUGCCCACCCUUACGUAGUAGUUUCCGUUAACCGACGUUGUAUUGCUCGUAUAAAAUUGUUCAAAUGUUCAAAUCACAGUCUCCCGCUCUCAGCUCAGUCAGAGUUUCCAGGUCCAGAGACUUCCCGCUGACUGAGAACUUUUUCGUAGCAGGUCUACAAAUAAUGGAGUAGAGCUGAUUUUAUGAUUAAUUUAUUUCCUUUUUCAAUUUCUCUUGAUUGCGAUUUAAUCUGGAAAGUUAAACGUGAAUUGUUUAGUGCGGAUUAAAUGUUCGACGAAUUUCCCACAAGAGUAUUAAGUUCAAGAGAAAAAAAGAAAACAAUUGAGCGUGAGCGUGAGCGAGAAUGGUGUUUGGGCAAGUGGUGAUUGGUCCGCCCGGCUCGGGAAAGACCACUUACUGCAAUGGCAUGUCUCAGUUUCUCAGCCUUGUUGGCAGGUAACUUCGUUUCUUGAUUUCAAGCAGCUUUAUCUUCGAUGACCAAAAAUAUUGAUUUGGGCUUUGCCAUUAAAUGAAUGUAAGAGCAGUAGGGAAUAACUGAGUUAUAGGAUUAGCUUUAAGUGAACAUUGAUGGUAAUGUGAAGGUUGUAUGUGUUCAGUGGCAAGCUGUAUGCCAAUUUGGUCUAUAUGGUUGCUUAGGUAGUAACUUAUUAAUUUUUAGGCAGGAAGGUUGCAGUCAUCAAUUUAGUUCCUGCUAAUGAUAGUUUGCCGCAUCCUUUGUCAUUGAACUUUCUUACAAAUGCUGUGGUUUGUUGUAGUAUAAUUAGUUCAAUUGGAAAUUUCCUUGAUGUUAAUAUAGAAAUGAGUGUGCUGUGAAUAUUGAGGACCUCAUUAGACUAAGUGAUGUGAUGAUGGAGUAUUCACUUGGUCCCAAUGGAGGUUAGUCAGCCUAUUGUUGUUUACUCUUUCUUGCUUUAUCACGCAAUGAUAUUCCUUUGCUUUACAACAAAUUUCAUGAAAUUAACUUCAAUCAAGUGGCAAUGUUCAUACGCUGUUGAGAUUUUAUGGACAAUGAUUUGGUAGAAUUUAUAUGCCGUCUUCUUUCUUUUUGCAGUGAUAUGCUUGUAUUCAAUGAGCUUGUACUUAUUCUAUGGUUUCUAAAGUAGGUGUUUUUAUGAUAAACUAGGUCUUGUGUAUUGUAUGGACUAUCUAGAGAAGAAUAUUGACUGGCUGCAGUCGAAAUUGGAACUACUUUUGAAAGGUAAGUAGAGGCCAUUUUCCUUCAUUCUAAUGCCAAUAAUGCUGUCAUGAGACUCAUAAAAAUUGUUAAAACGUUAAUGUUUUUGGUAUUUUGCAGAUCGUUAUCUUCUGUUUGAUUUUCCUGGCCAAGUUGAAUUAUUUUUUCUUCAUUCCAAUGCCAAGACUGUUAUAAUGAGACUCAUAAAUAAGUUAAAUCUCAGGGUAUUGUUACAUCUUACAUCUAUGAAGGGACUCAAAGAGUUGAGAUGAAUUCAUCUUUGUUAUUUUGAUGCCAGAAUUGUGCAAUUCUCAGUUUGUUCCUUUCACAUGCAGUUGACUGCAGUGCAUCUAGUUGAUGUGCAUCUUUGCAGUGACCCCAGGAAGUAUGUUAGUGCUUUGCUUCUCUCAUUGUCUACGAUGCUACAUCUGGAACUUCCCCAUGUCAAUGUCUUGUCUAAUCGAUCUGAUUGAGAAUCAUGGAAAGCUAGGUGUGGUUUUAAGUGUAGCUCUCCUGCUUGUUUGUUUAGUUUGAAAUAUCAGAUAUUGUCACAAGAUCCUAUUUGCUACAUUUCCUCACCAAUCAAUUAUUUUGGGUCUGUUGCAGCUUUUAAUCUCGAGUACUAUACAGAUGUGCAAGAUUUGUCAUAUUUACAGCAUGCUCUCGGUCAGGACCCUCGUUCUGCUAAGUACAGGUUUGAAUUCUAGCUGAAUCAAUGAUGCAAAUUAUGUCCAUUGUUAUUUCUGCUGUUGUUUCUAUCAUUUUCAAUUGUUACUUCCCCUUUCCAUCUACUACCACACUACAAUACCCACACAAAUGUUGUGAAAUUUGUCAAUGGAAAAAAAACAGUUCCUCUUUUAUUUUGAUCAGACUCAAUGAAUAAGUGGUUAAAAUGUGCCUGUCCUAGAAAUAUAGAUGUGUGGUUUCGUAAAAUUUUCUUGAUCUUAAGAAAGAGUUAUCUCGAAAAGAAGAUAACAUGGAGAAUUCAACAACUAUACAGUCAUAUUGAUGUCUGUCAACUUGGGUCAUAUGGUGUCGUUUGGAUGGAGAUGUUAGGUCCCAGAUGGUAAACUUGUUAUCGAAUUCCAGUCUACUUCAUUCAUGCUUUGAUGACAUAUACGGUGCAGCUUCUUAUCUAAGACCUGCAUAUGUUCAAUCAUCAUUCUGUUCUGUAUUUGGCUGCCAUUCUUUUCAAUGAAUUCAAACCACUUCUGAAUACUUGCAAAUUCAUCCAGUGUUGUCAUUGAGAUGCCAAUAUGAAAGGAAGCCAUAAUUGCCCUUGAUAGUAUGCUUAUUGAUUGCCUCUUGCCUCACUCAGCCUCAUGAAUCUGCUUGUAUGGUGUUCUUGUAAUUUCAUUUGGAGAUUAGUAAUAUCUGUUGUUCAAAUGUAUUUUAUAUACCAGCAGUUAAUAAUUCUGCUUGCAGAAAGCUUACAAAGGAGCUGUGUGAUGUAAUUUUUCAACCUUAGAUAUCCAGGUCAUCAGUUUCUCUUGAAUUCUUUCUUGAAUUUCUUUGAAUUAUUUGUGAAUAAGAUCUUAGUUGGCUGCUUCUCUUCAGGAUAAGGAAAGUGUGGCAAAACUCGUGAAGCUGAUAUAUAAAAGCAAUGGGUACAUCUUUGCUGGCAUGGAUGCCAGUGCAGUUGAAUUCAGCAAGAUUGCCGUUCGCGAUGUUGAUUGGGAUUAUUUCGGAUAUCCUUCUUUUCACCUAUUUUCAAUGUUGUUAUUCUCAUAUUCAUAAAAUUUUUUGGUUAUUUAAUUAUGGUUCAUCAUAUGCAUCUGCAUCUUCUAACUUGUUCGUUUGAGAAACUAAUUUUGCCGUUAGGUAGGCUUCGAGCUUGAUGAGUUGAUUCAUGCUUUUUUCAUAAAUGUACCAAAAUCAUGGAAACUUCUUUUUCCCAGAUAUUGUAUCCACACUUUUUCCAUGUAAUUGGGUCAGACAAGUUUUGCUUAACAAAGAUAUCUACAGUAGCCGAAGUGCAGGAGAAGUACAUUAAGGAUGAUGAUGAUGUUAACUAAAAUGAGACGUGAAGAUAUGUGGUGUGCGAACCGUAAGCCUGCCUCUUAAUUUUGUGCAUGUUUACUUGCUUGUGAUUCACGUUUGUUAAUCUAUUUUGCUCUCUUGCAGGAGUUAUAAAGUUUUCAAUCAAUCAAACAUUUAACUUAAGUCCUUACCUCUUGCUGCAAAGACAAUGGGAAGUCUCAUGAGCUCUAAAAAAACUGAAGAAGAGUGGAAAAUAAUUUUAAAUAGUGAUUUAUGGAAGGUAAAAGAGAUCGAGAAAGGUGUUCUAACCCCUUUGUGGUUGAGUUAUAAUGAUUUGCCGUCCAGAGGAAAAAGAUGUUUCUCGUAUUGUGCUGUCUUUCCAAAAGACUACAAUAUAAAAAAAGACAAAUUAAUUACUUUGUGGAUGGCUCAAGGUUAUCUUAGUGCAGAAGCAGCAGAACAAGAUGAGGAGUUGGAGACUAUAGGUGAAGAGUAUUUUGGCAUCUUAGCUUCUCGCUCUUUCUUUCAAGAGUUUCAGAAACGUUAUGAUAAUCGUAUUAUAGCGUGCAAGAUGCAUGAUAUGGUACAUGAUUUUGCCCAAUUUGUUAGUCAAAAUGAAUGUUUUUCGUUGGAAGUUAAUGGUAGUGAGGAACUAACCGUCACAAACUCUACAAACUCUCUUGAUGAGAAGGUCCGUCAUUUAAUGUUAAUCUUUAGUAAAGGGACUUCAUUACCUGUUUCCACUCGUAGAGUUAAAAGAAUGCGUACCCUCUUAAUUAACGAUAGUAGAUCUGAUCAUUCAUUAUUAAAUGGUGAGAUCCUAGAAGAAUUAUUUAGGGAAUUGACAAGUUUAAGGGCAUUAGAUUUUGGCAAAUCGUAUAACUCAAGUUGGUCUUCGACUGUGGAGAUUCCGAGAACCAUAGAAAAGCUGGUACAUUUAAGAUACCUUAAUUUGUUUUAUCAGGGAAUAAAGAAACUACCGGAGACAUUAUGCGAGUUGUAUAAUCUAGAAAAGUUAGAUAUUAGUUUAUGUUUUAAUCUUAAAGAAUUACCUGAAGGGAUUGGGAAGUUAAUAAACAUGAAGCAUUUACGAAAUAGAGGUACUAGUUCUUUAAGGUACAUGCCAGUAGGGAUUGGGAGAUUAACGGGUCUCAGGACCUUGGAUGAGUUCCACGUGAGUGGAGGAAAGCGUGUAGGCUUGAAUCUCUUAAAAAAUUGGAACACCUUCAAGUAUGUGGUAUACGUAGACUGGGUGAUGUAUCAGAUGUGGGCGAGGCUAAGCGAUUAGAACUUGACAAAAAGAAAUACCUCUUCAGUUUGACCCUUGAGUUUGAUAAGAAGGAGGAAGAAGAAGGAGAAAGGAGGAAGAACGAGGACGAUCAAGUUCUUCUUGAAGCCCUACAACCACCUCUCAAUUUAAAGGAAUUAGAGAUAGAGUACUACCGAGGCAACACUGUUUUCCCCAGCUGGAUGACGUCAUUAACCAACUUAAAGAGUUUAGAUCUCUCUUCCUGCGAAAAUUG